GUUUGCUCUCUCCAACUCUCAACCCUAAGUCCAACCUCAAAAUUUCCUCCCUCUUUCUCUUUCAAAUUCUUCAGUUGUCGAAUCUCAUAACCCGGUUCUAAGUCUAAAGAAUAGCGGGUCAACACUAGUAGUGAUCCAUAUCGUGUUUGGGUGGAGAAUGACAUGGUAUGGAAGCUUCAAAAGGUUUGAGUUUUUCCUUAACACUAGUUUAAUUUAAUUAGGAUAAUAAUGCAUGUUAAGGCAAUGUUUUUUUUUUAUUUUUUGCAGGCGUAGAAGUCUGUUGAGAGAGCCUUUGCUCAUGCAUUUGAAUGUGUGUCGACAUAAAUUAUACUGCCCACACAACUAACCUCGUCAAAGAAAGACUUUAUAUAUACCAUGCAACAAACAACUUCUAAGAAGCAUUUUGCAUCGAUGAAACUCAAUGUAUGCCCAGCUUGAUCCGUAAACAAUCAUGGAACAACCUUAUAACAUUGCUGGCUAAAUGUGGUCAAUCAUAUUAUAUGUUGUUCUAAGUGAUUUGGGACUAAUUAUAUGCUUUAUAGCAAUUUCUCCUAAAACAUUUUGUUCUUGAGUUGUGUAAGUUUUAUGUUAUUUUAUGUAUUUUGUUUUUCAUCUCUUAUAUGUGAUUGUACCUUGAUUCAGUCUUGACCUCGGGCUGUGAAAUCUCUCUUUUUUUAGUAGCAAUUCCAUACUUUGUAACUCUAUCUAGAUGUGAAAACAUAUUAUUUAUAUACUACAUAUUGAUUGGUCAAUUUAUAUAUAGCACCUUAUAUAUUUUGUUUAGUUUUUCAAACAAUAAUAUCUAAAACUAUUCACGAAUUUUUCCAUUAUCAUUCUUUUUUAUAUUUUCAAAACAUGGCUUCACUUUUAAAAGCAUUGAUACAUAGAGAGUGAAUAAUACAACCAACAAAGUUAAUAGGUGAAUGUAGAAUUUAAAACUUGUUUAGAGUUUUGAGACACCAAAAGAUCAUAGUUUGUUGAGGGGGUAGUACAAGGGAUCAAGCUCUAAAGGAUACCUUGAGAGUCCAAGCUUCUUGAAAGAGGAAGCAAGGGCUUUGAGUUUUAGGUCGGCCUAUCCAAGUUGAUUACUUCAUUUCACCAAAAGAAUGGUAAUUUAAUUGAGCUCCAAAAUAAGCUUGCAAGUUAAGGCUAAAUCUACGUAACAUUUACAUGGUUGAUUCACACUUUUCUUAAAUAAAAGUUGAACAACGUGCUCUAUAAAUAGUUUGAUUCCACCGACAUGAAGAAAAGUAAACAAUAUUUUUAGUGCUUAGUAGAACUAAAUGCUCCGUGUACUAUAACAUAAGUAUCAGAGUGUAUUCAACUUAGUUUCCUACAAAUUUGAAUUCUCUUGUGUUGAGAUGUUAAGAAUUUCACAUUCAAAAAACUAAAGGAGCCCAGACUCCUUUUAAGAUAAAUGAAUUACUUUUUUUAUUGUCAAUUGGUUUUAAAAUGAAACUGCAUAUUAUGAAAAAUAGUAUAAAAUUUUGUAAAGUGUAAAUGGGUACUCGAUCCAAUAAAAUGAAAUUGAGAUUGGUUCAAGAUUGGUGAAGCCUUGGAACAAACAAAAUCAUGAAAAAAGAAUAAAUGAAUGAAGAAAAUGUUGGAUGUGGAAGCCCAUUCAAUGAGAGGGAGUCACUCUCCUCCAUAUAGAGACUUGGCUGAUGGGUUUGGUGUGCUCAUGGACAGCUAGCAUCACCAUUGCAAUAACGAGAGGUAAAAUUAAAAUUAAACAAAUUAAAUAAAUAACAUAUAACAUGCCUUAGUUUCUAUUGAAUAACUAAUAUAAUCAAUAUUGGAUGAAUCCAAAAAAGGUGUCAAUGUAAGGCAAACCAAAAGUUGAGUAGUUUAGGAGUUUGAAAUUUACAAGUUGAAUCAUAAGAUUGGUAAUAAAGUAUAUAAUAAAGGAAGUUGAUAUUUUCGAAUGGGUUUGAGUGAAAUGCUUUGGGAUUUGGGAUAGAAACAAAACAAUUCCGUUAAUUGCGCAAUAAAAUUGAAUGGUUGAAAAUUCCACACUUCCUAUUUUGACACCAAACAUUCAAAUUUUAAGGUAUUCUUAUUUUGGUUAACAAACUGGAAACACGUGUCCUUACUCUUUGCAAACUUAAAUCUUAAUAAAGAAUUUUGUGGACAAACGGAUAUGAAACUUUCUAAAGUUAUGUAUUUCAUAUAAAAAUAAUCAACUCUCCACUUGCAAUUCAUUUUCCACCAUCGCUUUUAAAUUUUAAAAAAUUAGAAAACAUAACCUUUUCUAUAUCUUAAACGUCAUUUAACAAGUUCUCAUUCAAUACUCAUUUUUAAAAUCUUAAUCAAUUUAACUACUAACUUUUCCACAAAUAUAAACCAUAUUGUAAUUGAGGGUAAUUUUUACGUUUUAAAUUCUGCAAACAAAAAAAAAAAAAAAAAACCAAUAAAAAAUUACUUCAAAUAAUAAUGAAAUGAUUAAAAAUAUUUACAAAUAUAAUAAAAUGUCAUAUAAAUCUCUCGUAUCAUUUCCAUUCAUCAAAAGAUACAACAUAAAAAGCAUGUGUACAACCUUAAUUUGAAGAUGAACAAAGGGAAAAUGAAGUAUAUAGCACCAAUUUAAGUUUCAUUUUGAUAUGUGGCAAAUGCACGGUACUCUUUUGAAUUUUAGCAAAAUCUAUGUAUAUUACGCGCGUAUCAUACAUUUUACAGUACUAAAAUGUCUUCGUUGUCACUGCAGUGUAAUUAUUUCAAUAUUUGCCUUUAUAAAACGGUAAUUAAUUGGUUAGAUACAUGUCUAAUUAUAAUUACGAAUGCAAUGUAAUUAAUUCAAUUUAUAUACUUAUACGAAUCUAAUUAAUUUCUAAUUUUUAUAAUCUCUUCUUUCCUAUCCUAACUUCUUUUUUUUUUUUUUUUAAGAUGUUGAGAUUUAGUAGUUUGUUUGAAUAUUUAAACAAGUUUAAUAGUUGUUUUUAAUUUUCAAAUCUUAGAUUAUAACUAUGACUUUUAAAAGUUGCUUUUCGUUUCAAAAUAGCAUAUUAUAUUAAAUAUCAUAUCUAUUUGUAUGAAUUCAAUUGCUAUUAAUUAAGUGUGAAACCCUAAAAUUUCUUAAAUCCUUGGAAUUUAAGGCAAAGAUAAGAGAAAAUAAAAUUUAUAGGAAAAGAGAAUAAAUACGAAAAAGCUUAAGAAUUCAAUGUCUAGAUUUAAGAGAAUGAGAAAAGUUGGAAAUUUUGACUAAGUGUCAAGAAGAGACACAUUAGGCAUUUAAAGGUUAUGUGGACGGCAAAGGAAAGCUAAAAAACCUCCCAAGGAGUGUCAAUGGACAAUAAAGUGAAGGUCAAUAACCUAUAAAGUUAGGCAUUGGACAUGAAGUAGGCUGCCAAAGUACUGAACCUAACCUCUAAAGAAAUGGCUAGGUGAGAUAACCUCCAAAGAGGUUAUCUAAGCGUUGAGACAAGGGCUUGGCAGUACUACAAAACUGGCAAUACUUGACGCUUUUUACCUGUCAAGUAUUGAUUUAUUUGACGCUUUUUACACGUCAAGUAAUUCAGUGUCAGGUAAUUCAUUGUCAAGAAUAAGAGAGUUUUUGCUUGACAGUUUUUACAUGUCAAAUAAAAUUAUACUUGACAAUUUAUAAACGUCAAGAAUUUGUUUAUGCAUAUCAAGACUUUUUUUUUCUUUCAAAUGAAAAAUCGUACAAUUUGAAAUAUCCAUAUAAUUAUAUUUCACCUGUUUUGAAGUCCAACAAUGGUAUACAACAUGAUCAAUUAAACUAUUUACAUUUUUUGAAUCAACCCAAACUUUUAAUCAAAUAACUAAAAAAUUGCAUAUAUAUCAUUGAACACACAUAUAUAUAGUUGGUCAUUACAUACUUACAACAUACAAACAUAUCGUUCUUAUUCAUAUUACAAAACGAGUUAUGAACAUCGUUCUUAAUAAUAAAACACAAAGUAUAUGUAAUAAUAAGAAACAGAGACAUCACCCUCCUCUAAGCACCGCAACACUCUUAGAUACCUCCAAAUUGUUCAAAGUCUCACCAAUUGGUAUACUCAGCUCCUUGAAAUCUACAAAGAAAAUAAGAAUAGCAUUAAAACCAAGAACUUUAACUUCUAAUUCUAAGAACUUUGAUAAUAGAAUUAUGUCCAUGAAAUAGAAACAAAACUUAGGAUCUCUGUGUACUUUCAUUUUAAUCGGAUUAAAGGUAUGGUCACUCCUUACUAAGCCCAUAUCCAUCUUUUGUAAAACAUUAGUAAAAGAAUGCAACAAAAAAAAAUGUAAGAUGAAAAAAUAUGCGAGAAACUCAACUUUUCUAAUGAUACGGUUGCAAAAAUUCAAUGCACUUCAUCUAUAGCAAUUGACCAUGUGCAAGUGUGUAUAAUGUCCCUCCUCCAAUGAAUAAAAAAUAUCCUCAAAGACACUACUCUGUAAGUUCAAUAACAUAAGCGAGUGAAAAUUUUCAAACUUCUAACAAUACCUUAACUAGUUGUGUUGUACUUCGAUUGCUCAUAGACACCACUCUUUAAAAAUUCUAGAAGUGAAAAUCCACCAUAGACAUAGCUGCAGUUUCAUUAAACCGGUAUCAUGCGAUUAUACCAGCAAUAAUGCAAACUAAGACAAAUGGACUAUAAUCAAAAGGAAAUGGUAUUAGGAAAGGAUAGACUUUAAGAGCUAGCAUAAUAGUUUUGAGGUAAAAAAAAAAACAAAAUACUUAGAGUUCUGCUAAAAAUUUAAUACAACUGCAUAUAUAUUUGAAGGUUUAUAAAAACAAUCAAUUCUCCAACUUCAUAAUAUAGUUGUCAAGUAUAUAUUUAUAAAAUGUUAUCUUUUAUCAUCAAUUGCAUUAGACAUAAAAUUAAUGAAACAAAAAUAUAUUAGAUAAAUUUUCAAUGUUCAAAAAUAUUUUUUACUUAAUCUAAAGUCUAAUAUAUAAAUAUAAAACGAUAAUUGACCUCCAUCUUUUAUGUUUACAUAGAGACUUUCUAAAUAUUAGAAUAAGUAUUUACGAUUAGAAAUACUUAUAAACAGUAAAAAAAUCAAACAAUCUCCAAGCUUAUUAAUUUCUAAAUUUUUCCUCUUUGGUACCACACUCAUAUACUAAACCGUCCAUAUCCAUACAUAGGCCAAACAUAAUAUCAUGGCAAAAGUGACAUCAGUCAAAACAUCUUCAAAGAAAAACUAGUUACAUGGCUACAAGAGAACAAUUUGAAACUUACUGUUUUUGAUAACAUUCCUAGCUCUUCCAAAAAUGUAUUUGAAUUUGGCAAUGAGCCACAUGGGACAGUAGGUUCUCCGUGAAAGUCAUGUCAUGGAAUGUUAGAGGCUUAGGCUCGGCCCAAAAACGAGUCCAAAUAAAACAUGAUAUUUCCUUUUACUGUCCUAAUGUUGUAUGUCUUAUUGAAACUAAACUUGAUGUUGUCAACAAUCUGUACAUCAAAUCUCUAUGGAGCUUAAUUAGCAUUAAUUGGGUCUAUAAAAAAGCAGAGGGUAGAUCUGGAGGGAUCAUUGUAAUGUGGGAUGAUACAAAACACAAAAUUCAAAACUACAUAGAAGGUUAUUUUUUAGUUUCGAUCAACAUUAUGGAAGCAGAUGGUUUCAGCUGGGGCUUUCUACUAUAUAUGGCCCUGCCAGAAGAAAAAACAAAAAAUACUUAUAGAAUGAACUAAAUAUGAAAGCCAAGGCUUUUGCUCUGCAAAAAGAAAAAGUUUCACUCAACUACCUCUAAACUUUUUCCCAUCCCAAUUAGUUCCCACAAACCAAUCUCAUCUCAGAAGAUAGGAAGGUCUCCGACGGGUGGUGUCCCAAUUUGGUGGUUUGCAGAUUCAGAGACAUCAACGAAAGUACAUUCUUUGUAUCUUUUAAAUAAAAAAACAUGCUUAGCUUUUAUUUAGAAUUUUGAUUAUAAGUUUUGUCAAUGUACUUGUAUUUUAAGAUUUCUAAAUUAAUUUGAGGAAUGGUUCUGUAAAAUCUUUCGCUGCCAUAGGGAUUUUAUCCCUUCAAUUGAAAUGUAUAUGAUGCUUACUUAUUUCAUUAAUUUCUUUUUUGUGUAUGUCACUACUUUAAGUAGAGAACAUUCCAAUAUUCUUUUAUAGGUCGUUCAACAUCUCAAAGAAGAAAAAACCUAGUUGUAAUGUUGUGAAGGUAUGUGAAUAUCGUUGUUAGAAUAGUGGUAAAUUAUUUAUUAUUUUUAACAUACGUAUGAUUUUUUGCGUGUAUGCACAAUGUCCUAAGAAACUAGGAGCGGUUGAAUGCAAUUAUUAUGUCAUACGGUUUAUGCAUUAUAUAAUUUUGUCAAAAAGUACUUCAAUCAUAGACAUAGUUAAGCAUAACAAUUUUAAAACUAUCAUCAUGUAGUUUAUUAAGAAUGACACUCAUUUACACCCACUUUAGUGUCUAUAGAUGAAAGGUUCACCUUGUAGUUACACACAAGAUGACAUCGACUGUAUAAGGUCUGAAUGGACUGAGUUUAUAGGCUCGCACGUAUAUUUUGCUUAGCAUUAGAUACUUAUUAUUUUUUUGAACUAUUAUGUUACCUAUUUUGGUGUAAGUUAUGUUUUGAAGACGAACGACACAUAUAUACUGAUCAAUUCACACAUUUUUUGGAGGAACUAAAAGAACACGGUGGUAAGUUCCUAGUUCUUGUCUGACAUUUAUAUAUUUUUACUGUAGUGAUAUAUUGGAGAUUAAUGUGUGUAUUUAUAUUUUAUCUUAGGAAGACCUAAUCAUUGUUGAAGUCUAAGUCUGGGUUGAAAGAACCUAUUUUUUUGGGGGAUCAAGCAACUUGGUUGUGGCCAAUAUGUACAUGAUUUUUCUACGUACAUGAAAGUUUUACUAACCCUCCCCCCCUCCAAAUAAGAAAAUAAGGGAAGAAUCAAUUACUAUAAGAAAAAAAAUGAUGUCGAACUUAUGAGAUACAACAUGUAUUGUUGUAUGUUGUCUUCGUUAUUUGCAUGUGUGGUAUCGUUUAACUUGAAAAGGUCAUAGUGUAUGUUUUGGGUUGUGUACAUAGACUUUCGUUGACUAAUAUAGGUAUAGGUUAGUAAGUUAGUGUUUUGUAACUAAAGCAACCACUUAAUCAACAUUUCAAGUACGCAUAGUCUUUGGUGUUCAUUAUGACAUCAAUUUUUUUUUCUUUUUUUUUGGAAAAGAACAAUGACUGUGACUAUUAGGUUUUGCAAGAAUCUAUUGGAGUAAUGAAGUCAUGGUAGCACUCUUAUUGAGUUCAACUCUACUAUUCCCUUUGUAGGAUUUAAAACUUAGAUUGCGGAUGUACCUAUCAUACUUUACUACCUGUAGAGUCUUGUAAACUCUUUACCAAAAAUUGUUAUUAGUCAAACUUUUUGUACAAAUAUUAUAGAGUGUAUGAUAACGUAUAUAUAUUAAAGUUUUCACUGUUUGUUUCCAUAUGGGUAAGUAAUUAGAAGUACUUUGUAAUUGGAUUGGUUUGUGUAAUGACAGGGCUGCAAGAAACAACAAGCUUCGAUUAAUAUAUUUUCUUAUAAAAAAAAUGUGGUAAUACAUGACUAUAUAACAUUUGAUUUUUAAAAAAAUUGUCAAACAUUCAAUUAUAGUCAUGUUAGGCAUGUUAUUGACAUUAAAUGAUAGUCAUGCUAGGUUUCUUCUUGACAUUCAAUGGAAGUCAUGUUGGGUAUGUUCUUGACAAGCAAAACAUGUCAAAUUAUAUAAAUUAGUGACAUUUCAUAACAAUUGUAAAAUUACAAAUAAUUACUUGAAUAAGUGUGAACGAUGACAAUAACUAACUGUCAUAAGAUAUAAAAUAUUUUUUGUUCACACGAAAUUUUCGUAGAAAUUCAAUUCGUGGUGUUGAACUUAUGGUUGUUGUAUUUAUGUUAAUUUGAUGCAAUGUGGUUCGAUUAUAGUAUUUAAUUCUCUGGUUCUCUCUUGAUUAGAUAGUUACGCUUGAUCUAAGGAAGCAGAGUACAUGAUGUUCUUGAAGUUGGAGUCUUGGAAGAAAGCUUGUAUCUUCAAGGGAGCUUUUUCAAUCUUCGAGGGUGGUUAACUUCAGGAGUUAAGAAGUUUUCUAGCUCUUGGGAGAAUUCUCUCUAGACCUUCUGGAGUAAGAAAUUUUACAACCCCACAAAUGAAGAGAACUUAUCUAAUUAUAAAGAACUUAUCUAAUUAUAAAGUUCUCUAGUGUGUUUUAUAGGAUUGAGCCUGGUUGGUCCAUGGGCUUAACCAUAGGAAUUUUGGUCAUAUUUCGCCUUUGUACUAAAUUAAGCUUAUUUUUAAACUCAAUGAACUUUAGCCCAAGUAAAUAAUAUUUAAUUGGAACAAAAUAGUUAACUUGGUCCAACGAUCAUAAUGUAAACACGUGACAUUAUCAAAAUUUGCUAUUUAACGUCAUCAAUUUUAAUUUGGGACACAGGUCAAUUUUUAAGUAGUACCAAAUUCAAUUAUUUGUAUUUUUCAUCAUUAAUUUACUAAAUGAUGUGACAAUUUAUGAUUUGUCUCAAAAUUUCUUAUUAAACAAUGAUAUUUAUUAUUUGUCAAUACUAUUGGAUAUGUGACAUUUAUUUUUCGUCAUGAAAAUACUUAUUGUCACUGUUUUUCAAUUUGUCAUAGAUAACCAUACUUUUACAAGCAAUAUAAUUACUACAAAAAAUUGUCAAGAAUUUUAAAUCUGAUAGCUUUUAAAUGUCAUGGAAUGCCAUUUUUCUUGUAGCGAAUUCUAACAAUGUUUUUCAGAUUAUUUUUACUGUAUUGUGAAACUCCAUCAACAAAUUUUGGAUCUGCUACUGGGUCUAACAUCAAUCAACUGAUAUUCAAUUAUUUUUUAAAUUGGGAUGGAUUUAUUACACUACAAGAAAAUAAGGUUCUCCCAAUGCAGCAAACAAUUGAAGAAAACUCAUAUUGUGUCGACCAAAGUAUUGCCGACAUCGAUUCUUGGAUCUAGAAGAAUGUCGGUAAAAGUUCGUAGGGAAAACUUCGGUCGAUGUCAACAUAGACAUCGUCGGUAUAGGAUUAAACUUGAUGCAACAGAUUCUGACAUGUAAACGACAAUGGCUUUUUAUUACACCCGACGUCAUUGCAGUGCAUAGGGAAACGUUGUCCCAACAUCAUUUUAGUGCGUCAAGGAUAAAGUAAUUUCAAUGUCGCAUCAGGAUACAGUUUUCCCGACAUCCUCCACAAACGUCGGAGAAACUCCUGAUCCUGACGCCAGUCAUGUGUCGAGAUAAAGGUUUUAACUUUUUUUUUCUUUUUUUUUUUUUUUUUUUUUUGUUAUCAUGAGGUAUUGUUUUUUAUUUCGCUUUGUAAGGCAAGAAAAAAGUUGUAACAAAUUAUAAAAAUUUAAAAAUUACAAUAUAUGACACAAGAUAUGAAAUAUAUAUAACAAAAAUUACAAUUACAUUAAUGUUCAAAAUGUUUAAAAUGUACAAAACAAUUAAGGGAAUUUUCACAAAUAGCAAAAUUUAUAAAAUAUUUACAACCUAUAGCAAAUUGUAUCACUGAAAGUCAUUGAUAUGUUAUAGUGAUAGAAGACUAUCAUUGAUAGAAUUUAAAAUUUUGUUAUAGCUUGUAAAUAUUUUAAUUUAUUUUGCUAUUGUUAAAAAUGCACCAGAAAAUUAAAUUAAAAAAAGCAUACACCUAUCUCCUAUUAGUUAGUCAGAGACACCAAAAAAGGAUGUCAAACCUACAAAUGACAUAAAAGUACAGUAAUUAGAAUAUCGCAAAUGGAAAAUAAUACCACAUUAAAUGUUGAAUAACACGUACACCAAGUGAUCACGACUCUCUGUGUCGCCAACUCAUACCCUCUAUCAUCUUCUUCAUGUCCUCCAUUUUAUGUGCAUAGUUCUCUUCCAUUUUUCAAAUGAUUUCUUCCAUUCUUCAGUCCCUCUCCCUCUCUCUUAGUCAUUGUUCAUCAAUAAGACGGUUUAUGAAACCCAAAAAUUUCUUAAACCUUUGAAACUUGCUAAGAUUUUUCAAGGACAAGAGAAUGAAAUUUUUGAAAAAGAAGGUAAAAAUACUUGAAACUUAGAUAUUAACUUGAGGAAAAAUAAAAGUUGAAAAUUUUGACCAAGUGUCAAAAUUAAGUCAUUAGGCGUUUGGAGGUUGUAUGGACGACAAAGGAAGGCUAAGAAAACCUAAAAAAAGUGUCAUUGGGCGGCAAGAAGAGGUUUGAGAACCUCUAAGCAUAGGUGUUUUGACAUAGAGUAGGCGACUAAAUAAGGAAACUAACCUCCAAAGGUGUAUGCCUAGGCGUUUGGAUGGCUAGACAAGAAGACAUUGGAUGUUAGGCUAGUCAUUUGAGACAUAUGUUGGACGACAAGACAAACACAAAGAGAGCCAUGCAUUUGAAGUUGAGGCAAGGCUAGGUGAGAUAAUUUCCAAAGGGGUUAUCUUGGCAUUUGAAGGUUGUCCAUGAGAGGUUGUUCACGCGAGGAAGCCUAGGUGAGGAAGGAAAAGAGGUUAGCAAGCUUGCGGUCAAAGGACUUUGUAUUGAGAGGUUGUCACGCGAGGAAGGUAGUGGCUAGGGUUUUGGAGGUUAGCAUAAGGCUUUUUGGGUGAGGAAGAAAGACUAGGCGAGGAAGGUUGUUAGGCGAUCAAGCUAUGCGAGGAAGUCAUGGAGGUUAGCCAUGCGUUUAAGACAUCAACGUGGCAUAAUUAGGACUUUGGGUUAAAAGUAAGUCCACGUGUCUUCACAGUAUCACCAUGCAGUUUUGCGCCCAAUGAUAAUAUGGAGGAGUUGCUGAGGUGUAAGUACAUGCUUAAGCGGUGAGUCUAGUCAAGGAUUAAGUGUCAUCUUAAUCACAUGCAAAGAACUCUGUAAAUAGGUCAACUUCAGUAUUGAUUUUCUCACAACUUACUCUUACAAAAUCACUCAAAUUGAUCUUAAAAGUUCAAAAAUUGAGUCUAUUUUGUGAGAGAGGGUUGUUGUGCAUUUUGGAUUCAAGAAGUUUUGCGUUUUGAUUAAUAGAAGGCGAGAAGGUCAUUUCUUAGGUGAAUCUGAGCAAGGUGCAUUCCAAGGGGGCUACAAAACUCGUCUUUUGGAAUUGGAUUCUAAAAGUUUGAGGUAAGAAACUUAACUCAUUUUAUUGUAACUUUCUAGAAUGAAGUUUUAUCAAAAGAGUUAUGAAUUUUUAGUUAUAAUUUUUCAAACUUGGGUUAUAAUUUUGAAAGUAAAACAAUGUCUCACUAGUGACCAAGAGGAUUGGAAGGUUAGGCGAGAUGGGCAUGCGCUUUGGGUCAUAGAGGUUAUUUUGGUCAGAUUGCACGCACAUGACAAGUUCAUGACACAAUUAAGCUAUAAGGCAUGCGCUUAGGUUAUGCGCAUGAUCUGCCUUAAGAGGUUAGCGCGGCUAAGAGGUUAGCGCGGCACAUGGUGUUGUUAGAGCACUGACGAAGGCGAAGCACGCAAAGGUGCACUAGGUAGGUAGCAAGCACUGCGCAACAACUUCAUUGUGAGGUUAGAACGCGACACACACCUCACCUCAGUGAGAUUAGCACGUGACAGGCCCCAAGCCAUGCGCACGCGGCCAUCCCAAUUCAUCAUGUAAAUAGGCACCGUUGAGUUAUUUUCAAGUUGUUUAGGGUGUUCCUAAUAUUUUUGAGAAAUUUAAAGGAAGUUUUGGAUAUUUUAAUGUUCAAGAAAUUAAUUAAGAAUAAAAUAUGAACUUUUCAGAACAAUGAGGAUGUUGAGGAAUUUCUGGCCAAGGAUUUGUAUAAAUAUUGUGAGUAACACAUCGAUUUCUAAAUGUUAUUGUUAAACUUGUUUUCAAGCUUUUCAAGUAAUAGCUCGUAAAAUCAUUUGCUAAACAUGAUCUCAAGUUCUUAUAUAAGCUAUGCUAUUGAUAAAUGUUUACUAAAAUGAUGUUUCCAAACUACGUUAUGAUUUCAUGAUUUCAAGGAAAUAUUUCGUGUUUUCAAAUAUUUUUAUCCAUGUCCGAAUAUUCCAUGAGACUUAUUGCAUAUAUGUGGGUAACUCCGUACUCAUGGUAGGGUUGAUGAGCCUAUAGUUUAUGAGCCAUUAUGAAGGGUAUACUGUUAUGCCUUAAAGGACGAGGGUUAGCUACCUAUCGAGUGUUCCAUCUUCGGACGAAGGGGUAAAUACUACUUUGGCUGUAAAGGUCUAUCUUUGAAAAGCUAUGCAAAUGUUUCAAGUUUCAUGUUAUGACUGUUUACUAAUAAAUGUAUUUACGCUUUGGUUUUAUACUAAAAUAUUUAUGAAAACAUGUUUUAUAAAAUCGUUGCUCACUAAGUGUUUCGACUUACCCUUUGAAGAAUGUUUUUCCUAUUUCCAUGUACAGAUUGUGCAUCUCCGUAUGCUGAACUUACUGUUGCUAGGUCAACUUAGUUUUCAUUAUAUAAGGACAUUGUUUUGUUUUAUAAUAGUAAUGUGGCUGUUCAAAUACUUAUAUUUUCAUAUUUUGUUCAUUUUCCAUAAUACAUUUUAUAAAGAUUUCAUAUGGGUUACACUACGGUAAAAACUAUUUCAAGCUAAAAGACUUCCACUAUUGAUUGUUUUACGUUUCCAUGUCAUGUGACAAUUGAGGUUAUUUUGGAGGUGAACGGGUUUGGUCGAUAUCACGCCACAUCUCAGGACGAGCAAGUAGGUACUUGAGAUGGGGUGUGACACGGUUAGCAUUUUAAAGGCUGACCCUUAGUUCGUUAACCCCUAACAUGUGUGCAUGGUUGUCAUAAGAGGAGAAAGAAUUGGAAGUAGAACUCUUCCUGGACUUGGGCUUGAGGCUCCAACAAAGAUCUUUUGAGUAGUUCGGUCAUCUACCCAAAACGGUCUCGCAUAUCUCGUUCUCAGAGAGUAGUUCAACACUCUUUGGGAUGGGCUAGGACUAAAGUUCCAACAUUUGAUUAUGCAUAGUACAGGUUGUAAGUUAGGAGAGAUAUAAUCAAAAUUAAAUUAGAAAGUAAUAAAAAGUUUUGGUAAACUUACAUGUGUGUCCUCUGUUGUCGGUGAAACAAACUUGACAGUCCUACUGGCAUGCGUUUCUAGAAACAACUUGACACAAUCCACCGAGUGACUGCGUUAUUCAGUGAGCUCAGCUCAUCGUUGAAGGAACAACUUAAAUCCAGUCUUAUAGUUUUAAGGUUGCUUUGCUCUAGCAGUGUUACAACCACUUGAUUGCUCCUAUAUCCAAACAAUGAUAAAAACGUUAUAUCCAAACAACAAUUAAAUGAAGUAUUGUUAAUUAAUUUUAAGGUAGAUUAUAUAAAUCACUUGAAACUAUCGAGUCAUGUAAUGGUCACAAAGAAAGUGUCAAUCUGGCAGUCGAUUGACCAAUCUCGGUGGUGGGUUUACACGUGCUUCUUCAGGGUCGCUGUACUUCUUAAAGUGUCGGUGGUUAUCUCUUCUGAAUUAUUUCACAUGUUGAGCAUUUGAUGCUCAACAAACCGAUUAAGUGUUAAAUCUUUGAAAUCAACCACAAACCAUUGCUAUAAAAGAAAUAGAUUUGAGAAUUAGUCUUCUACAUUUGUAGGAUCAACAUAUAUAUAUGUUAAAAAAGAUUACAAACUUACUGCUAGGCCGCCCUUUGAUGACCUCGAUGCACUCUCGUGGUACAUCAGUCCACUUCAAGGUCUAGAUUGAAAACGUGUCUCAUGUCAACACAUCGAUCGUACCGCUGAAAUGAGGGGCAUGUGGCGAGACAGGCCUAUCCCCUCUUGGGGGGAUUGAAAUGGGGAUCCUCUCAUUUUGCUGUACUAUCUCUCCAACUCAAUGUUCCUGAAGUGUUGUCUCCCCGGAACGAAAAUGUGAGAGGGUUGAAACAGAUCUACUAAAAAACACACUAUUAGAUCGAUCAAUAACCAUGACUACAAGUGUUUAGGGUAACGAGACUAAUUUGAUGUAUCGCCUACCGAAGACAAUCCUCUCGCGUUAUUUAACACGUCCAAGUUUAGGUAGAUGUCUUCCUCAUUAACAUUCUCGAAAAACCAUGACUACAAGUGUUUAGGGUAACGAGACUAAUCUAAAGUGUCGCCUACUAAAGACGAUCCUCAUGCGUUAUUUAACGCAUCCAAGUUUAGGUAAAUGUCUUACUCAUUAACAUUGCUCGGAAAUGAUGUCAUAAUUCUUGCAGACAUAAAAACCAACAAGCCCUAAAACAUAAAUAGGGGUUGGAUUAGUUUUGUAUCUCUCUCUUCUCAUAUACUCCAACUUAAAUUACUCCAAUUUAUUCCAUGAAUAAGCUAUAUGUCCAAUCUUCUAUCUUGCACUAAAAUUAAGUUUAAAUCUAAAUUAAGAUUAAAUCUAAACUAAGUUUAAAUCUACUUAACACUUUCAACAUACCUAACACUUGAUACAUACUUAAUUAAAAGCUACCUAAGAAUUUCCAACACUACUAACAGAUUAGAAACUAAUUUUGCGUUAAAAAAAACUAGGCUACCAUAAUUGAAGGAUAGCCAUAAAGUAUAUCAACUACAUAUUACAUUAACCUUUUUAAUUAAAUAUCUAAUAUUUUCUAAAAUUCAAAUUCAAUCUCAAUUCUAAAAACUUACACUACACAUACAUUAUUUAACAUGAAUUUGAAUAUGAAUGUACACGUUCAAUCUCAAAUUUACACAUACAUGUCAUAAAAUCUCAUACGUUCCACAUAAAAACAUACAUUAUAUAAUAUAUUACACAUACAUACAUUACACAUACAUACUACAUAUACAAUCCCAAAUUCAAAUUACACAUAAUACCAAUACACACAUUACAAUAUAUACACACAUAUAUUAUACAAUUUAUACCAUUUAUUUUGAAUACAUACAUUAUACAAUAUAUACAUACAUUUUUAUAAUUUCAAAAUAAAAAAGAAAAUAAAAAAGAAAACUAACCUUACGGUCGGCGACAAGGGAGGACGAACGGUGGUGGGCGGCGGACGGCGAUGGAUGACCGAUGAGAAGAGAGAGGAACGACAGUAGACAAACAGCGACGAGCAGUUUUUCUUCUCUCUUUUUCAUUUCACUUAGUGUGUUCCAUAUUUUGUGAAAACGUUGGAGAAUAGGACUUUCCAUGCCGUCAUAGUCGACGUUCACUAAUGGUGUCAGAGAAUGCGUUGGAAAGUUUAAUAUUAAAAUUUUCAUUUUUGUUUUCACGACGUUUUUUUCAUGUGUGUCAAGGAAAGCUUACUAAUAAAUUAAAAAAUGUGAGGGAUAAAGCCCAACGUAUUGAAUUACUAAACCUCCGCCUCUUUGUUGUAUCGGUAUUGGUGGCUUGUGCCAACGUCGUUUUUUCGAACGUUCAUCUCAACAUAAAAAAUCUUUCGAUUUCUUGUAGCGUUAAUUUUGUCACUUCUACAAAUUUAGAAUUAUUGGGUAGCUACAUACUUAUUUUUAUAUUAAUUUUAUGUUGCCAUGGGUAGAAGUAGACCUUGUUAUAUACAAUUAAAAUAUUAUGAGUUGAGGCAAAACUUUGAUUAGAGUAUAAUAAGGACAAGAAUUCACAUACCUUGUGUUUACUAGCACACUCAAAUGAAUUGCAUUAGACUGUUUUGUUUGCAGUUGAGACAACAACGUGGAGGUGAAGAGUAUUAAUAGUUAUUUUUGUUUUGUUUGGUUUAUUAAAGUGAAGUUUAUACUCGACUAUAACAGCAAAUUGGAAGGAUUAUUAUAUGUUACAUAUUGAAACAUUGGGUUGAGGGUUGAAGUAUGGGGCCCAAGUUUGAAGUUUGAAGUUUGAAAAAUAUAUAUAUAUAAAAGUAGAGUGGAGAAAGAACUUGGAAAUGAAAUAGUGAAGUAUUUGGGCCAGGUGUUGAGGGGUUUAGGGUUGUAUUGUAAUUGGGGGAAUGUGGGUGUGGGCCAAAAAGUAGAAUGUAGAUGUAAGUGGAAGUGACAAUGACUAGUGAAAGGCCACAUCUCUCCAAACUCUCAAAUCCCAAUCCAAAAGAAACAAAUACUCAUCUCUUUCACCUAACCCAUUACUAACUAUGUAUCUCUCUACCUAUGUGGAAUGGACCACUUCUUCCAUUUCUUUUCUUUACAACUACUCCCUCCUUUCUUUCACUCACGGGUUUCCAAUUCCAAUUCCUACAUAGUCAAUUUCUCUUUUAAAACUGCUUAGCCUCUCCCUUCCAUUUUAGUUUUAUGUCAAAUGCAUUUUUAUUCUCAUUCUUAGUUUUAUGUCAAAUGUCAUCCCACUCUUAAUUACUCCUCCUUCAUACUGAAAAAAGAAGUUCAAAGUAGAGAUGGACAAUUAAUUUUGUAAACCCUAUUAAAUUUUGAAAGCAUUACCCUUAUGAUUGAUGUAAUAAUAACAAUAUGUGUAUAAGAAAACCAAUGAUUCAGCAGAAAAUAUACGUACCAAAAGAGUAAUAGCAUACACCUAAAUUGUUAAUGGAAGGAUAGAAACAAAACUUUCUGGUAUAAGAAAAGAGUUUGAAUUAAUAGAGUUGUGGUUUUUGGUAUGUUAGGUCAUUGUCAGGAAACAAAAAAUGAAAGAGAAAACAAGAUUAGAUUUAUAAAUUAAAAUUGAAGAAAGAAAAGAAAAGAAAAGAAAAGAAAAGAAAAGAAAUGAAAUGAAAAGAGUGAUUAAUGAAUGAUAGUGUGUGUGAGAGAGAUGUGAUUCAUGAAUAAUAAUGCAAAGAUUUUGUUUUGAUAUGGGAAGGCAAAAAAGGGUUAGCACUGAAAAAGGCCAUCAUAGAUAUAUGUGGAAGAUGAUCAGUUUUAGGGUACAGAAACAGAAAUAUAAUAUAAGGCUCAAUAACCCAAAAAAUACUAACAAAAACCCAAUGCCCAAUCUCCACCAUUCUGCCACUUCUACAGACAUUCUCAACCAUUCCUACCAGUUUCCCAACCCUUUCACUCUCUUCAUUAAUUCAAUCCUCUAUCCUCUAUCCUCUAUCUAUACUACUCCUCCUCUAAAGAUUCUUCUUCUACACCAAUUCCCACACCCACAUCAAUUAAUAUACAUUACCUCUAAACACAACCUUUUCCACUUCCUUAACUUUUCAAAUACUGCAUUCUUUCCUUUUUACUUUUCACCUUCUUUUUAUUUGGUCUUUUUAAGGACAGCCCCAACCCCAAAUGUAUUAGGAAACUCCCUAUAUACAACUGCACUCUCUUGCCAAAUUAUUAAAUUUAUAUACCCAUACCCAAAUUAAAUGAAUAGACAUUGAAUUUACUUCAUUGUCAUUGCAAUAUGCCCCCGUGUGGGAGCAUCUCUAGCGCAACUUAAUUAACUCGAAUAACAUCUAUACCAAAUCAAACAAAAAGCCUUAAGCUCACUUAACUAUCCACAAAAUAACUCAAAACAAAUUAAAUAUGGAUGCUAAGAAAUAAACUCAAAAUGUAGACUUAAAAUAUAACAUUUUUUUUUUUUUUUACAUGGUAAGUUUGUAACCCACACUUUGUCUCUGCCCUUCUUGACAUUGACCCUUCAAUUUCCAUGCUAAGCCUAUUUACACACUUCAAAUUCUACCCUUUUGCCCCUAUUCUUUUACCCAACUCCCAUUAGCCUUUACUUUUUACCCUCUUUUUUAAGUAACCAAUUAACCAAAUAUUACUUUUUACUUUUUACCCUCUUUUUUAAGUAACCAAUUAACCAAAAUUUACUUACUUGAGAUCACCACCAUGUGAUCAUCCCUUCUUUCCACAGCUACCUUUUAUACAUAUUCAUUUAUGCUAAUUAACCCAUUUCUGACUACAUACUUUAUAAAUAUUCCUAAACCUUUUUCUUUCUUUUUCUCAUUUAACACCCUUUUCCUAGACAGGAGACAUCAUCAAAUCAACUUUUUAGAAUAAUAAUGUAUCAAUUGUUUAAACAAAUCAAAUAUUAAUUAUGUUAUGUUGUUGCUGACUUUGGCUUUUCUAAAGAGUUCAAUGUUUCAUGUGAGUGUUUGUUGGGUAUACACAAACAAAACCCUUUUGUGUUUUUGUUUGGAGAAAAAAAAACAGCUUGUGAGUUUUGGCUUUCAGUAUUUACAAACAAUACAAUAAAAUGAGAUCCAAAUAAAUUAUAUGCAAAACCAAAAACAUGAUUGGGUUUUGUCCUCUAUAUGUAUGGCAAAUUAUUGCAUAUAGAUUUAUCAUUUUUUAAACUUUUGAUUUUUGUAUAUAUUCUUAUCCAUUAACCUCAAUGGCCUAAUUUUCACAACUCAGCAUCUAUUUUUAAGUCAAACAUAAGGAUAUGUUAUAUCUAUCAAUAUUAUUAUCAGAUGUAGUGACACAUAAGAUAAGUAUAUUUUUAUUAUUAUUAUUAUAUAGUUAGAUUUGAUAUUAGGUUUGUCCCUAUAGAUUUUUCUUUUUGUGUGAGUUUUGAAACCAAGAUCCCCACGGAUGAAGAUUUUUGUUUAGAGUAAAAACAGCAUUGAAAUGAAAAUUCAAAUGAGUAUAGAAUGCAUGAGAUUGGAAAACACAAUGAAUGGUUAUUGUGAAGAACAAACCAAAGUUGGACACUACUUUCAAUAUAUGUGAUGUUUGUUUCUUGAUUGACAUUUUUCUCAAUUUGUAUUCUUUGUUUUUUUUUUUGGUGAGAUUGAAAAUACAAUACAAAUGUUAACAACUCAUAGAAACCUGGACAACUUUAUGUCUUUUUAUUUGUUUUAGCCAUUGGCUUUUCCAUCCUUCCUUUUGUUUUGACAACUCUUAAAAUAUAUAUAUUUUAUAUAUGUUGUAUGUGUGUGUGUGUGUGUAUUUGUGAAGUUAAGUUACCAAUUUAAAAGAAGGAAAAAGAAAAGAAAAAGCCUGUACCCAAAAGGGGUAUUGUUGCAAGUCUCUAUCUUUUUAUUCUUCCCUCCAAAAACUCCAUUUUUCAAAAGCUUCAUCUGCAAAAAUCUUCCUUCUCAGAACCAAAAACUCUUUUCUGUCUUUUCACUUUGAUGGAGACCCACAUUAAUUAAUGCAAAACCCAGAAAAUAGAAUUUGAUUAUUUCCUUAAAUAAGCAAUAGAAGUGAGUUAGAUUAAUUCAUUUGCUAAUCUUACAAACAAAGUAAGAGAAAAAUAAAUAAAUAAACAAAGGGGAAAUUUAGUUUUGUUUGUUUCAUGAUCCCCAAUCUGAAAACAGAGCUUCCCAAAUCUCAGUGAACACCUCAAGAAUCACAUUAUGUGAUGAUGAGAAUUCAAAGAGAGAAAACAUUGCAAGAGUUGUUCAAGAUCUUUAGCUGAAAAUAUCUGUUUCUCAACAAUCAUCUCCAACAUUGACAUUCUAAAAUCAUUAUACGGAUCGCUCGAUUUCUUCACCACUGCAAAACUAUCUUUCACUUUCCCUUUCAACGGCAAAACUCCCAUUUCAGACCCCCGGCUCCGGCAUCCUCUUCUCCGCCGCGACUUGUGUCUUCGGUGAGAUGCCGACGAAUCAGAAGAACGCGAUUUCGAAGAGAAAAGGGUGUCUGUUUCAUCAUCAUCAUCCUCAUCCUCGCUACUGUACCACCAUGUACCACCGAAAUUCGAUGAACGAAAGGGGCUGAACGGAAUCUCCUUCUUACUCUGUUUCCUCUGUUUCCUCUGUUUCUUCUGUUUCUUCUUCUUCUUGGUUGAGGUUGUCGUUUUCUGGGAGAUGGGUUUGGAGGGAGAGAUCGGGGAAGCCGGAGGGCAAGUACGGGGACGGGAAAUUGCAGAGGGGAAAGGAGAGAGAGGGAAGCGGUGGGAGAUUUUGCGGCGGGGGAGAAGGAAAUCGGAAGAGGUUUCGGAGGGUGAGAUCUUGCGGAAACUGGCGUCGUCGGAGGAGGAGGGAAUGAAGACGGCUUUAUGGAGGAUAUCGGAGAGAUUACGGGAACGGCAAGAGGCGAAAGAGGAUUGGAAGACACGAGAGAGACGGAGCUUGAAACGUGUGUCCAUUGGAGAGAGAGAGAGAGAGAGAAAGAGAAAGAGAAAAGAGAAAGAGAAAGAGAAAGAAAGAGAGGAGGAAGAAGAAGAAGAAAGAAGGAGAAAAGGGCGAAAUGGAAAUGGCAGAGAGUAGUGAGAAAUGCAUGAGAAACCAAAAGUGGGGAAUGCUUAUUUAAAUAAAAUUUCAAUUGCGAAGAUAAAGAUUAAAAACAAAGACUUGAACAGAAAGAUUAAUCCUCUUUAUAAAACUUGCUUCAUACAAAAGGCUUUUGGGUAUUAUCAUUUUUACUCUUUUACCACUUCUCAUUUGUCAUCUUCCCAAGAAAAUAUAAAUAAUAAAGGAAUUAUUAGAUCUUUCAUGCUACCAACAAAGUUCAAUGAUAUCUAAUCAACUUCCCAAUUAUUAUUCUUAAUCACUUUACUUAUCAUAUAUUCAUUAAUACUUUACAUUAUUUUUAAAUGCUCAAUUACAUUCUUUUAUAUUUUCUUUUAACUAAAUGCUCUAAAUUCUUUUCAUUUUUUUAAAUAUCAAAUAAGUAUAAUAAUUUAUUUUAUGCUCUAAUAUAAUAUGUAACAAUCUUUUCAAACAUACAAACUCAACUAAUUCAAUACUUCACAUUAUGCCUCCACUUCUCUUUCCCACUCGUUUAAACCGUGGUUGUUUUCAUUUGGUUAUUCUUUCCUCCAAUCGUUUAGAGUUAAAUUUCAAUCAUUUUUUCUCAAGAUUUUUUGGCACACGAUCGUUUAGAUUUGAUCCAAUUUGAGUAGCCAAAUUUCAACUAUUUUUUUCAAUAUUUUUGGUACAUGGUUGUUUAUAUUUGAAAAUGAUCGUUUAGAUUUGGCUAUUUUUUUGUACACAAUCAUUUACAUCUCACAAUUCAAUAUCCCAUUGAUUUUUUUUUUCACAAUUUUUAUAUGUGACACAAUCUUAAAAAGUUUGAAAAAAAUAUUAAAAAAUUACAAAAUGAGAGAAAAAGAUGAUGGAAAGAAAAGAGAAAAAGACGUUAGUCCACCAUUGCCCUAUAUCACUGCUGCUCCUCGGUCUUGGUUUGGUAGUUUAGGUGAGUGUUUUAGGUUUUUAUUGUCGGAUUUUUAGUACUCAUUAAAGCUUAAUUGACACUCUAAAUUAUGUUUUAUUAUUGGAAUUGAUUUUGGUUGAAUGUCUUUAGAAGGUCCCCUUGGCAAAGUUGGAGGAUUUAAGUAGUAAAUUUUUCUAUCAUGCUUAGAGGAUUUUAAGUUUAAAAAGAUAAGGUAAUUAAACUAAUAAUUUGUUGGCAAAAAUUGUUAAUUUAAAUUUGGUUAUGCAUAGGUAGAAUAAUUGUGGUUUCGUUUGCAACAAGGAACUUAGCAAGUAAGGGUUCUGCUAUUAGAUCUCUAAUUGAAAGGUUGGAUUAAUGUGUGAUAAUAGUGACACGACUAUAUAUGCAUGUGGCGUAUAAUAUGUUUGUGAUGGUGGAUGUUCUGUAUAGCAUAAGGUUACUCUUAAAUUGUGGAUUACGCUAAGGUUUAAAAAUAAUUAAUUGCAUGUUUUUAACGUGGGUUUUACUUACAAGAUUAAAGUUUUGAUAAAUUAAUUUAAGGAUUAAAGUUUGGAUUUUUUUUUUUUAAGGUUUAAUUGAUAAAUUUUGGAAGGAUUAAUCUCUAAAAAAAAUUCAUCAAGGUUCUAUUGUAGGUAAAUUAAAUUAGAAAAUUUUUGGAUGCUAGUCAUGGAUAAACUUUAUUAAUUAAGGUUACUACAAAAAUUCCUUUUCUAUUUAGGAUUUGAUUUAAUUGAAAUACAUAAUGAGAUGGUGUAGCUGUCAUCUGUUGAUAUGCUGUGAUUAUGCAAUGUUUUAAGGCUUAUAUAAUUAUGGAUUGCUAUGAUUGAUGUUUCAUAUCAUGUUUACUUUAAUUGUUACAUGCUUUUGAAUUGUGUUGUCUGUUAAUUUUGGCUAUUAAAAUGUCAACCUACAUGUACGAUGUCUCUCGGGAUCACCACCUUAAAUAUUCAGCUCCAUGACUUUGUGCAUUCGACACGAGACCAUUAGUAUGUUAGUCUCCAUGUGUAGUAUGAUAGGAUCACUCACAACCUGAUUUAUUGCAUUUUCCUUUAGGAUCAUCAGAUUUGAGUGUUCCUACGAGAUCACUAAGUUCAUGUGUGUUCCAUCAGGCACACGAUACUUUAUGGUACUCCUAAUGGAAAGUUUUAACAAAUUACCUAGCAGGACAAUUAGUGGGUCAUUUACUGUGUAUAUGUUUAUACUCACUCCAUUUUUAUGUUUAAUAUUUCAAGAAAAGGUAGAGGAAAUGGAAAGCUAGCAAGCGACAAAAAGCGCCUGUGACAUGCAAUAUGAGGACUUGAUUUUGAUUUCUCUUUUCAUGAUUCGUUUUCAGUAUUUUUACUUUAAACAUUUAUUUGAAUCUUUUUUCUUUCAAGUUUGUUAGAACCAGUACUUGGAUAUGUUUUCAUGGUAUUUUUAUUGAUUUUGCUAAAUUAUGUUUUAUGAAUAGUAGUUUGAAGUUAUUUUAAUAAAGAUUUGAGUUUUCAUAUUUUCAAGAAAGUGUCAAAAUUGUUAUUUAUCUUUAAGGUAAUGACAUCAACUUAGUAUAAAAAGUUAGAUCGUUACAAUUACCUUUAAUUUUUCAUGAUGUUUCAAAAACUACAUUCAAGUAAAAUUGGAACUUCAAUGGAAAUUGAGACCUAAAAUGGUUGGGGUAUAAUAUGAAACAAUGUAGUAGCUUAGUGCCCGUUUGAUAAUGUUUCCAUUUCCCAUUCUUUAUUUCUCGUUCUUGUUGAAACAAAUGGUUAUGAUUCUUCAUGAAUGGAUGCAUCAUGAGUGAAAAGUGUUAAUAACUAAAGGACAUGAUUUUUCGAGUGACCACGAAAAUUCUAUAAAUAAGUCAUUUUGGUUUAGAGAAAAACAAAUAUCCACAAUCUGACGUUUGGUAGAUUCACAAAAUUUCGUUCGUAGAUUUUCUAUACGGACUAAUACACUUAGAAGAAAAUUGACAUGUUCUAUCCUGAGAGACAAUUACUGUAAAUACUCAAGCACUAGAGUGAGUAAAUUUAUCUUAAGGAGAUAACGUGAAUUCGUUGGACUCAGAUCUAUAUUUAUAUAUGAUAUUCUAUUCACUGUGAUAAUAAUCUUCAUAACAAUUUGAUAAUCUGUAUAACAAUCUUAAGACAAAUUUAAUUUACAAAUGUUUAUGUAUAGUUGCUUUUAGAUGCUUCUGUAUUUCUUUAAUUAGCAAGAUUUGUGCAUUUGAAGUAUUCUUUAAUCAAGCACCUUUAAAAUCAUACUUGUAUAACAUUUUUUUUUUUUUUAUACCGACUGGUUUAUGUUUUAUCUUUAAUAUAUAUAUAUAUAUAUAUAUAUAUAUAUAUAUAUAUAUAUAUAUAUAUAUAUAUAUAUUUGGAUUUGUUUCUAUUUACUCUUUCCAACCCAUUCACACAGGAAAGUGUAUAAAGCCUAUGUAGUAUUAAAAAUAAUGAUCCAUUUAUUUUAUCUUUUUGUAUUGCUUUGUUUAAUUGGUUUGAAUUUUCAAUUUUUGUUCACUGUCUUAGUUUAUUUGAGCCACACAUAUUUAUAUAUAUAUGUAUUAGUUUGUUAUAUAUAUAUAUAUAUAUAUAUAUAUAUAUAUAUAUAUAUAUUGUUUAGAUUUAUUUCUUUUUAUUCAAGUAUCACAGUAAGCCAAUUUGAUUUGAUUUAAACAUUCUUUUUAUAUUCAAAUAUCACAGUAUGUACAUUAAUUUGAGUUUUUUUUUUAAAAAAAAUCUCUAAUUAGUUUGUAUGUGACCGUUCUUAUUUAAUUAUGUGUUUUGAAGAUAUAACUUCAACAAACUUUAAUUCUCUUGUAACUGGUGUUAUCCAUGGGGAGAAACCUGAAAAGUUUGGUGGUGUUGAUUUCAAACGUUGGCAAAAAAAAAUGUUAUAUCUCACCACUUUAAAUUUGGCAAAGUUUCUCACAGAGGACACUCCCAUUUUAUCUGAGGAAAAACUGACAAAGAAAAGCAACUUGUAGUUGAUACAUGGAAACAUGCAGAAUAUAUUUGCAAGAAUUACAUUUUGAAUGGGUUAGACAACACACUAUACAAUUUGUAUAGUAGUGUUGAUUCGGCCAAAAAUCUAUGGACUUCAUUAGAGAAGAAGUACAAAAUUAAAGUUGUUAGUGCAAAGAAACUUAUCGCUGGAAAAUUUCUAGAUUACAAAAUGGUAGACGCCAAAACUGUAAUCAGUCAGAUUCAAGAAAUUCAGGUAAUUCUACAUAAUAUACAUGUUGAGAAUAUGACUUUGAGUGAGUCUUUUCAGGUAGCAUCAAUAAUUGAAAAAUUGUCACCCUCAUGUAAGGACUUCAAAAAUUAUCUCAAGCAUAAACGCAAAGAGAUAAAACUUGAGGAACUUGUGGUCCGACUUGGGAUUAAAGAGAAUAAUCGAAAGGCGGAAAAGUGUGUCGUCACGUGCCCGAGACGACGCGGAGCGACUGAAGUCCUCAAAAGAGCUAGUUUUAAAACAAAAUAGAAGUCGCCACCAAUCUUUUUUUACGGUGUGAUUAGUCACCGAAAUAAAGUAAACAAUUAAAAAGAUGGUCUGCGAAAAAAUUGAGUUGAGUACGGGAGUCAUUUGUGUGUGGGGAAUGUAUUAGCACCCCACGACACCCAUUUAGAUAAAGGGUGGCCAAAUUUCAAAUCUUGAAUUGAAAGUAUUUUUUAAUUUAUUUUUAUAUCAAUGUCUUAUUUCACCAUUAUUACUCCAAUAUUUGAAGCAAUGAUCUCAUAAAAUAAGUUGAAUAAUAUUCCAUUAAUUAAGACUACGUAUUGAGAAAAGUUUCUCACCUUAAGAAAAUGAGAAAUUAUUACAAUUUCUCAAAAUCUAUCAUAGGCUAGUCUUUGAAUAAAUAUUUUUUUAAAACAUUAAUUAAAUUCAUUUUUUCUUGGGAUCAAAUCUCGGACUUCCAAAUAUAUUGAUCCCUCACCUCAAGAAUCUAGAAAUAAUGAACUUUCAGAAAGUUCUAGAUUCCAUCGUAUGAUUUUUUUAAGGAAAACGGUAUAAGUUUUUUAGAAAAGACUGGUUUAUGAAAUCUUAUGAAAUCAUAUGUUAAAUUUUGAAGGUUUUGAAAGAAACAUAAAACAUUUAUAGCAUUAGAGACAAAUUUGCUAAAUGAAAAAAAAAGUUUUUUAUUUAAAACAUAAAGAUUUUUAAUUUGGAAGGAUUUCAAAAUAUUAAAAAAUUUAAAUAGAAAGAGUUAGAUUUAAGUGCAUAUAACAACAAUUAUAAUAUAGAAAUGUGAAUAGUAAAAGAAAGGAAACAUAAUAACAAUAAAAAAAAAUAAGGAAAGAAACAACAACAAAAAAAAAAAGAAUGAACAAAGAAAGAAAUAAUAAGAAGAAGUAGAAGAAGAAAAACAACAAGUAAAAAGAAAAAGAACCCUACUAGUAAUAAAAUAUAAUAUAAUAAUAAAUGAUGAUAAUAAUAAUAAUAAUGGUGAUAACGAUAAUGAUAAAAAUUUUUCGACGUUUUUUAUCUCUAUAUUUUAGAGAAAAAAAAUAAAGAUUAAGAGUUGAGAUUAAAAAUGGUAAUAAAAUACGGAUAAAUAAAAAAGAACAUUUGUCUUAUGUCAUUUUCUUUCUCCCUAUAUUUUUUAGAGAGAAGAAAAAGACUAAAGAAUUUUUUUAAAAAUGAUGAUAAAAAAGUGUAGUACAAAAAUACUGAAAUUUUCCUACAUUUUCUUUUCUUUCUCUUUAUCUUUUAACAAGAGAAGAAAAGAAAAAUAAGAAUUCGAAUCCCAAAUAAAUUACUUGUUGUAUGAGGUACGGAUAAUUGAGAUUAAAUCCCUACCAAAUGCAACCUCCAACUAAGUUUAGUUCAACUAUGAGGUUUAAUUUGCUUAAGAUAAAAUUUUAAAAAAAUAUAGAUACAAUAAGGUAAUGAAAAGAAUAAUAGAAACGCUUUUGCAGAUAUUCACUCUAAAAUUUUUCUCUAUGCGAUCUUUCUAAAAAAACUUUCUCUAAGAAACUUUCUUCAAAGAAUUUUUUUUGUAAGAAAUUCUCUUCAAAGAAUUUUUUUGUAAGAAAUUCUCUUCAAAGAAUUUUUUUGUUUAAGAAUCUCCCCUAAUUUUCCAAAUGACAAAGGCUCCUAUUUAUAUAUCGAGGACGUACCCUAAAUUAGGAAAAAAUAAUCAAAAUUUGACCUUAUAUUAAUAAGGUAAAUUUCAUUUUCCUAAAAUAAAUAAAUUAAAUUAAAUGAGAUUUUGUAAAAUUAAUAAAUUAAUUAAAUGGAUAUUAAAAGAUUUUUUUUGUUGAAAAUUAAUUUUCUUUUUUUUUUUUCUAAAAUGAUAUAAAAUAAGUCAAAAUUGAUAUUAGAAGAUUUUAUUUAAAACAAAUUCAUUUAUUUUUUUCCUAAAACAAUACAAAUAAGAUAAAUGUGGUAUUAAAAUAUUUUAUUUAAAAUAAAUUGAUUUAAUUUCCUAAAAUAAUAAAAAUGAGAUAUCAAUAAUAUAUGUUAUUACUAAUUUUUUUUUACAUUUUUUCCAAAAAUAAAUAAAUAAAAGUUUAGAGAAAAUUAUUGCUAGGAUAAAAAUAGGUGGCUACAAAGUGUACUUUGAAUAGUACAAUAGAUCCCAAGGCCAACACUAUGAAAAAUAGACCACAAAGUAACAAGAAAAUGAAGUUUUUUGGUGAAUGUUCAAAUAAAAAACUGCGAUUCACAAAAAAACAUCCAUAUCUAAACUAAGCAUCAUAUAUCUAAACUAAACAUCAUGUAGUCAAAUCUAAACAUCAUAUAGAUUUGAUACACGAUUGUUUAGAUUUGGGUACAUGUCUACACGAUCAUGUACCCAAAUCUAAACUACCAAUAUUCUAAUGAUUUUUUUCCAAAAUCAUGUACCAAGAUCCUAAAAAUGCAGAAAAAGAGAAGAAAAAAAAAGAUGAAAAGAAAAAGAAAAAUUGGAGAAGAAGAAAAAUAUAUAUAUAAAUGACAACCCUAGAAUAUUUUUAAAAACAGACUUAAAUUUUUUUUUUUAUUAGAAAUGUAAAUAUUUUCGUGUUUUAUUAUACGUAUCAAAAGUAGCUUUAUAAAUCUAAAUAUUCAACCGUUUGAAAUUCAAAUUAAAUUAAACAUGUAAAUACAGAAAAAGAAAAAAAAGUAAUAGAAAAUAAAUCUAAAAUUAACUAUAAAAUUUGAAAAAAAUAAUACAUAAAUUAAAGUUUUAAAAUGUAAUUAAAGAUAAAAAAUGAAAAAAAUAAUGAAGAAGGGAAAAAAUAAAACAAAUUAAAAAUAUUAAACAUCGGUAGAAAAAAUUAAUAACACAAGCAAAGAGGUAAAAUAAAUUAAAAAAUAUUAAAUAUAUAAAUAUGAAAAAUUGAUAAAGAAAGAAAAAAAAAACAAAAUCAUUAAUGUUGGGAAUUGAACUCAUAAAUGAUAGGAGAACAAAUGUUUCAAGCACGUCUCCUAUACAAUCAGCCAAAAUAAUUAAAAAAACGUUUUCAGUAAAUAUAGAAAGUAGAAUGAAAUAAAAUGGAAAGAAGGGAAAGAACCAGAAACGUUUCUUUCUUAAAAAAAAAUGAUAAAUAUUAUCAAACAAGUUAUUAGAGUCUUCAUUUACAUUUUAAAUCAUUUAUACUUGAAUUUAGAUCUUUUCUCUUUAUUAUUAAUCAGUUAAUUUUAAAAAAUUGUAUCAAAUCACAAAAACAUUUAGAAAAAAAAUAGUUUAUGACACUUAUUUUUUACCUAUCCUAAAUAUAACAAAAUUAGUGAUCUCAUAAAACUAUUUACUUUUAAAUUUUCUAUUUUUGCAAUUUAGAAAAUGUUAUCUAUUUACCCCUUUAAUUUAACCCAAAAUAUGUUAGUACACAUUUUGACCAACUUUUUAAAAGUGAGAUCUAGUUCUUAAAAUUUGCUAUAAACACAACCAAAAUCAUCAUCAUUGUUCAAAACAUGAAAUGGAACUUAGUUCAACAACCAAACCUCUAAAAUCUCUCUCAAACUUACAUAACUUCAUUGUCAUGUAUAUGUGUAUAUAAAAAAGAAAAAAAUAUAAUCAUAUUUAUUAUAUGCAUUUUAAGAUUUCAAAGUUUCUCAAUUAACCAUAAAACUGAGAAGAAUGAAUUAGAUAGAAACAUUUUAAAUUUGUAUUUGUUUAAGAUUUGGAAGAAGUUUUGUUUCAAAUUUUAAUUAAAAAGUAAUAGAACGUAGUUAAAUAUAAAACAGAAUGGUAUGUAUUAAAUGAGAUUAAAAUUGAAAUGUGAAAAGGUAAGGAUUGAAAGAAAUUAUUAAUAAUGAAUGAAUUGAUUAAGUUUGAGGAUGAAAGAAAAGGAGACGGUAGGGGUUGACUAAUACACCAUUUUCUUACUAAAUUGAAGAUUUGUUAGGUGAAAAAGAUGUUUAAUUUAAUUGAUUUAUAAAUUAUAAAUUUGUUUUGGUGCAUUAGUUAUGAUUUUUCAAAUUCAAAUUCAAAUUCAAAUUUGAAUUUGAAUUCAAUUAGUGCUACAUACCAUACUUUCCUUCCUCAAAAUAGUGAAGCUUAUCCAUUUUCACACAUCCCAUUAUUCACAACUAAAUCAACAAAAAACUCUCUCUACAUCUUUCAUUUAAACAUAUGAAGUACACCAUUUCUUUAAUUAUCAAAUUAUUGGUGAAAAUCAUUACUGCAAAUUGUCUUCAACUCCUCUAAAUCAAUGUUUGUUACAUCUCUAUUUUUAACCAAUAAAUAUUACGAAAAUAAUUAAUUACUCCAAAUUCUUUUUAUAUUACUUUAACGUGUUAGUGACAUUUUUUUCCCUAUGCUUUUGUUAACAACAAACGUUGAUUCCACUGUUAUAUGUCAGAUAUUGAAUUCUAUAUAACAGCAUAUUUAGUAGAGAAUUGGAAAAUAAAGAUUGACAGAAAACAUAUUGUUGUAUUUAUAUUUUUCAGAUAUGUGUCUACAGAGGAGUCAUAAAAUCAAAUGGGAAUUGUGAUUUGAUAGUAAAAAAAUAUUUUAAGUAUGAUUCUGGUGAGAAACUUUGUGUACUAAUUUUCAGGUAGACAGAGAACUUUUAGAAGGAUAAAAACAGGAAGGUUGAGACAACCAAUUCACCCACACCAACACCCAACAAUAACAUUUUUGAAACCAUCAAUCUUUUCAUAAUAGAAGAAACUAAACACCACCAUUUUUCAACUCAUAAUUUUCUCAUUUUUCAUUACCUAUAUACAAUAAUUAAUUAACCAAUAAUAGUACCCUUCAUAUAUUUCUUUUUUUUAAUAUUAUUACUGUUUUCCAUUUCAAUUCUCAAACAUUUUCUGUCCCAUAUCAUUGUCUUUUUGUUUUUGUUCAAAUCAAGACCCCCAAAGCUUAAAACUCUUUACUUUUUUGGUUGACUCCAAAAACAAGAAAUGAUCAAAGUCCAUGCAUGUGCUUUAUAUAUAUAUAUGUAUUCUUUUUCUUUUAAAUAAAAAAAAAUUGAAAGAAAAAUAUAUAUUUCCCAAACACAAUUAAAUAACUAAUUUUUAAGAAGUUAGUGUUUGAUUAAGUGUUUAGUUUAAAAAAAAUAAGUCAUUUUAAGAAAAAGAAAAAAAUUCAAAAUAGCUUUUGAAAUACAUCCUAUAUUUUAAACAUUUUUCACAAUAAGAAUUUAAACAAUAAUGUGUUUUUCAAAAAUCCCUUUUUUUGUUAAGUUAAUUUAAAUGAGGUUUUUAUAUUUUAUAUAUAACUUACAAAGAUGGAAAGUUUAGUGGUAUAUAUUCAAUGAUCAUUCAAACAUAUAAACUAAUUUAAUUUUACACUUUCUGGCUUUAGGCUUAAACAAAUAUUUCAAAAGGAUGAAAGUUUAAGAUAUUCAUGGGAAAAGUUGAAAAUCUUGAAUAUAUUCACCUUUAAACAGAGUUAUGGAAAGAGAAUCCUUGCUUUACUUCAUUUUCAUUUGGAGUUCUAAUCUUAAAUUUAUAUUAUGUUCUUUGUUUCAACUUAUACAACAACGUGAAUGUGUUAUAUCCUUCCAUGUAUGUGUGUGAGGUAAAUUACAUAAGAUGAAACUUCAUUAUCUAACAUUAUUAUAUAUUGGAAAUAUGUUUGAAAGAACAAUCCAUCGCUUACACCAUUAUUACUAUAAAAAUAUAUAAUAUUGAUUUUUUUAAAAAUCUAGAUCAUAGAUACAAAACACGGUAAUUGAAUGGUGUAAAGCUUUUAAUUAAACAAGCAAUCACAUCAUUUACCCAUUACAACUAUUAUGAUUGAAGUGGUGUAUCGUAUUAUAUGAUCUAAACUACAAAUAUAUUAAUAAACAUCAAGAUGUAUUGGUAGCUAGAGAUAUAUGUAGUAUUUCUGGUAAGAGUGUUGUUAGUUACGUGUUAUAAAGAAUAGAUAUAAAAAGUUAAAAAGAAUAAUAAUGAGGUAAUAAAUGAAAUUCCGAAGGUCGAAAGCAGAUUGAGAAUGGUAGAGAGAAAGGGGUUGGGAGAAGAGAAUCUAAGAUUGAAAGAAGGUUCCAAGCAGAGAAAAACACAAGAACGAGUGCAUAUUUUAUAUUUAUAAUACCAAAUUAAGAACCAAUAGCUAACAGACAGUUAUAUACAGUACUUUGAUUCUACUUUUCUGCUUGAAUUUUGGCUCAUGACAACAACAAAAUAUACGCAAACUAUGGAUUUCCUGACCCACUUUCUUUUUAUAAUUUCCUUCUUCAUCUUCUUCUUCUUCUUUCCCCAUAUUCUUACCCUUUUUUCCUUUUUAAAUAAUUACAAGCAUUGACCUCACCAAUCAUCUGCCAACUUAAUUAUUUCAAAAUCCACUUUACAUUUGCUUCGGUUUAAUUUAUUUGCUGCCAUAUUUUGGCACCUCUCUAAACUCACCCAUUAAAUAAAAACUUUACAAUCACUUAUCUAUGUUUAAAAUCAUAACCAAAAGUUUAACAAAGUAAUAAACAAAAUAUAAACUAAACAGCUUAUGACUUUGAUUUCAAAUUAAUAAUGGAUGUGGAUGAACCGAGGAUGCUACCUAGUCAAUUUUAUUUUAUUCUCUAGCAUUUACGGUUUAUUGAGAUGUUUGAAAGAAUUUUGUGUGAAUUGUACAAAAAUUUUAACAAUAUUAUUCUUACAAUUGAGGAUUUGAGAGAUAAUUGAAUGGGUGUUUGAGUGCAAUAAAUUUUCACAAUAUAAUGUAUUUCUUUUUGUUAGUUGUAAAAAUGAAUCAAAAUAUUUAGAAGAUGUAACAUAAUUUUAUAUCUAUUCAUUAAUGAUAGAUAAUAUAAUUUAAAAUUUUGCUAUAUAUUAAAAAUAUUCUAAACAUUUUCGUCGUUUAUAAUAUUUUUAUAUAGUUUAUUAAUUAUUUCUACUUAUGGAAAAGUUCUUACAAAAACUCUAAUACCAUAUUUGAAAAUCAUUCAACUUAAUGCGCUUAAAUUUAUUAAGUAAUAAUUAAAUUAGUAUUUAAGAAUAUUUUCUAAAUAGGAGGGUGCGUAGUGGCCUAAUGAUUUAGUGAGAAUGAUUGAAAAGGGAAGGAUUGAAGAGAGAGUUGUAAGGUUAGUGUGUUAGUAGUAAUUCUAAUUAGCACGUUAUUUAUGUAUAUAAAAAUGCUUGGGAUUCAAUAAACACAUGACUCAACUAAAAUACACACGAUGUGAUCAAUAUUUUUCUCUCUCCUUCCAUCUUUUAUUCUCAUAGUUUUGUUUCUCAUUUAAUACUUCAAAAUGAAAAGGUUUUGUGAAGAGGGGUUUUUGGGAAGGAAAGGAACUGCAUUUCCCUAUUGAAAAGAGUAUGUGAAGAGAGAGAGAGAGAGAGAUGAAUAUGAAUAGUGAGAGUAAUUAAAUUGUGAAAAAGGUGAAUGUGAAGUCUUUGUUUUAAAUAUUUUAUUUAACACUGUCACCCGUGAGUAUCAUCUACAAUACCCAUCUUCUUCCAAACACUUUCUUCAACACCUGUUUUUCUUCAUUUAAUUAUUUUACUUUAUGGCAUCAUUUCACGAACCCCAAUCUUUUAAAAGCCAAAAUUGGCCUAACCUAUAUGGUGGGUUUCAAUUUUCCUUUUUAUAUUUUCAAAAUUUUAACCAUUAACUUCUCCUCUCGAUAUACCCAUCAUAUAUAUAUAUAUAUUAUUUUUCUAGAAAGAAAAUGCAUAAAAACCCACUUCAAAAGGUCAAAAGAAACCCAAAAGUAAUAUCUUGAUAGAAAAGUUACAGAGUUUGUUAGAAAAGUUGGUCAUAAAUAGAUGAGAGCAAAAUGAAGAAGGUAAGCAAUGAAUUGGGAAUAUGAAUUCGAACUUGAGAGUUAUCUCAAGAUUAGGAGGUGCUCGUUUUCUUUAAAGCUUUUCUAAGCGUCUGACAGCGAUGAGCUAUCUACUAUAUGUACUGAAUAUUAAAUUAUGCGAUUACAAAUGAAUGUAUGACAGUUUGAGUACAAGUUCUCUCAACUUAAGCCCAACUAUAAACUUAUAGAAAGGUUUUUUUGGCAAAAUGCGGGUUAUUUCCAUUCAGAAAGUGAGUUGCUCCGAGCUUGGAAAAGGAGCUCUUAUCUCUCUUGUUUACAAAUUUCUCUUAUCAAUACAAUUUAAGCUUUUCUGUUACUCACUCAAACUAAAUUCCCUUUUAUAUUUUCUAAUUUGAGAGUAAAACGUGUGUGAGAAUAAAAAACUUUGAAGAUAGUGGUUUUAUAAUUGGAAACCGAGAGUGAAAAAUAUAGUGCCCGUUCUGUAACGUUCCUCGUGUUUUUUGAAAAAAGGAAACAAAAAAUGUGUUUGAUAUAUAACUAUUUCUUAUUUAUUGUUUUUCUUCCAAAUUUAUUUUUUAUUUUAUUCACAUCUAAUUUAAUUAGGCAUUAAACAAAAAUAUAUGUUCUGCAUUAAACAUAAAAAAUAAAAUUGUCAAAAGUUUAUAUCAUUUAAUACAAAGAAAUUCCAGUACACAAAUAAAAAUAAUAACAUAAACAUAAAAUUGUAUUUAUCAUUCAAAGGUUAUCCUAGUCAAAUUGAAUAUAUUAUCUCUCAUUCGAGCCAUUUCUCUUAAACGGCGUGGACUCACAUCUAAUUUAAUUAUAUUACUCUGCAAAUUGAUAAAAAAAUUAUGUGUAUCUUCUGUUGAAAUUUUUUGUCCUAAAACUCGUAAUUUGUAAUCAUAUUCUGUUCAAUAAAGUUGUUGUUGAGAAAUUAAAUAUUAUAAUUCUAAAUCCAAUAAAUCAAGUUCCAAGGCUAUUUUUUUUUAUAAUAAACUUGAACUUUAUGUGUAAACAUAAAACGUGGAUCAAGUUCGAGUAUAUAUAGCAUAAAUAGUUUAUAGUAUAUGAAUAAAGGUUGGACGCCUUAUUUAGAGAAACUAUGGAUGCGGCCCACUUUGUAGUACAAACGAGGUGAUCCUAAAUCGUUCAUGUAGAGACAUGAAAGUGGGGGCAUCCUAUGUAAAGUCUUUACAUAAGACUAAACCAUGAAUUAGUCUUGUUUUUACAUUAUAACACCGUUUACUGUUUAAAACUGACUAUCUCGAUUAUUGAUGACCUAGGUAACUUAAUCUUAAUCUUGAGUUAACUAUAAACUCCUGUUCACAUGAGAUUAUCCUCAGAUCUGCAUAGGUGAGGGCGCAUCUCAUCAGCAUUGGCCCAAUAAGCCUCCCAUUUUAGGGAUAAGAUCGGGUGGAUAGCUGUGAACAUAGGGUACAAGAUGAAAUUCACUCCUACCCGCUUUAGGGUUAGUAGAUAGGUUGUUCUCUUAAGCACUGAAUCCAAGGCUUGAACAAGGGGCCCUGCCCUCUCAUUGGCCCGAGAGGGAUUAAGUUUAUAGGUUGAACCUUAAACCAAUUGUUCAUUAGUGGAUUAGUGGGACUUAAGGAGCAAGAUGUAAUCUUGGGGGUAAAACGGUAUUUUGACCCAGCCAAGGUUACGAGCAACCUGUGAAUGAUGGUUUUAUCAAAUGGACACAAAUAUAUCUAUAGUGAGGGGAGUGCAACUACGAGACUUUAGUGGAAUGACCCGUCAGUUAACGAAUGUUGAUUAACUCGGUCUAAAAGAGUUUAGCUAGUUAAUCUUGAAUCGUUGGAGCCCACGAUCUAUAGGUCCAUUAGAUUCCCCUGCUAGCUAAUAUGGAUUAAACUUAGAACAGUGUGAUGAAAUAAGUCGAAUUGUUCGAAUUGGGAGAAGAAAGAGAAACCGACAAAUAUAGUGAUAUAGUCAUCGGUCUUCUAAUUAAAAAUAGAGUUUUAUGUUUUACAUACUAUAAGUAUGAAUGCAGAUUCAUACUCAGAAGCUCGGAAUUGAUGGAAUUGAUCAAAAAUAGUAAAAAGACAAAAUGUUGACUUUUGACUUUGAAAAGUCAAACUUUGACCGGCCUUAUAUUCAAAUGUGAUUUGAAUUUUGGAAAAAUGAAUGCGGAUUCAUGCCCGGGAGGUUGAAAUUAGUCAAGACGGAUAAAAUGGUAAAAAAAUCAAAAUAUUGACUUUUGACUUAGAAAAGUCAAAGUUUGACUUUUGACUUAAAAUAUCUAAUGACCAUUUUACCCUUGGACUAAGUUAGUGGGAAAACCUAACAUUUUGUUGGAUAAUUCCACUAACUCUUAGUGGAAUAUGUGGCUAUAUGAGAUGUAGACGCCUAGCCCACUAAGUUCCACUAAUUGUUAGUGAAACAUUAGGUGUUUGGAUUUUGCAAAUUAAUUACAUGCAUUUUUGCAUGUAAUUAGGUUAUAAAUAGGGGAGUUUUCAAAUGGUUGAAGACUUUUGCCUUUUUUAAUAUACUCCAAUAUCUCAACCAAGAAAAAAAACUUCUACCUUCCAAUUUCCUUUUAUCUCCAUUACUUUCUACAUCAAAUUGGAUCCCACAACCCGGUUCUUUGUCUAGAGGAUAGUAGUUGAGCACUAGUGGUGGUCUCGAUUUGAAUUGCUAAUGAGGUAUAAAGUUUUUUGAAAGCUUCAAAGGUAAUAUUUCCUAAAACCCUAAUUUGAUUAGUUUAGGGUUACUUGUUAAUUGCGGCAAUUAGGGUAGAAAUUCGAUUCUUUUUCCGCUGUGCAUGUCUUAGUUCUAUCAUCUUCAACGAUCAUUAAUUCAUUGUUAAAGUCCUUAAAUAGAUCAUCUUGACAAUCAUUCAAUCUAAUAUAAUUGCGAAUUGUGUAACAUGCUAUUUAUAUAUACUUUGUGUCUUUAUCGAGUAUGGAGGCAUUUGCUUAAGAUAGGAAAUCGAGCCUUCAGCACACCGAAACAACGAAUGACAUUUCACAAUGAAGGAUUUCGAUAGUUAAACACUUCUUCUUUAUCUCAAGGGCGAUGUUUCAUUUCUUUAAAAUCUUGUAAAUGAUAUAUUUGAUCGCGAAAUGAUGCUAAAAAUGUUGACAUAUUUGAAUAUCCUAAAUUGACAAGAUAGUAUUGAUCUCUAUAAAAUAAAUCAAACAAAAAAUUAUCAUAAAGUCAUCUAUUAUUGGAAUUUACGUCCUAAAACUCGUAGUUUGUAAUUUAAAUAUUAUUCUAAUCAAUAAAGAGGUUAUUGAUGACUUAUUAGUGAAAAUAUAAUACUAUAAUUUUGAAUCUAAUAAACUAAAAUCUUGAGGUUAUCUAGUGUAGAUUUGAACUUUAUGUAGAGACAUAAAUGUGGAUCAAGUUCGAGUAUAUAACCCAAAUGAUCUAUAGUGUAUGAAUAAGGUUGGGUGCCUUCAUCUGAUAAAACUAUGAAUGCAAUUCACUUUGUAGUUAGUACAAAUGAUGUGUUCAUGAAUCGUUCAUGUAAAGAGACAUGGAAGUGGGGGCAUUUUAGAAGUAUGCGAGAAUCAUUGACCGAUCCUUCCCAACAAGACAUUGACAUAAUAUCAAUGAAUAGACACACAUUAUGUCACACCCCACUCUUUCCACCUCACGAGAUAAAACAGAGGCUCAACUAUGUAAGCAUAUUCUACAUGAUAUUCUCCGUGAAGUAACGCAUCGAACGAUUAGUGAGCGAAAUUAAAACAAGUGUGAGAAACUUAACACAAAAAAUGAGAGUUUAUUGAUAUUUCACUAUAAGUACUUUUUGUUGGAAUUUUUUGUCCUAAAACUCGUAGUUUGUAAAUCAUAUUUUGUUCAAUAAAGUUGUUAUUGAGAAAUUAAAUAUUAUAAUCUUAAAUCAAAUAAAUCAAGUUCCAAGGCUAUUUUUGAAUAAACUUGAAUUUUAUGUGUAAACAUAAACGUGGAUCAAGUUCGAGUAUAUAGCCUAAAUAGUCUAUAGUAUAUGAAAUAAAGGUUGGGCGCCUUAUUUAGAGAAACUAUGGAUGCGGCCCACUUUGUAGUACAAACGAAGUGAUCCUAAUCGUUCAUGUAGAGACAUGAAAGUGGGGGCAUCAUAUGUAAAAUGUUUACAUAAGACUGAACCAUGAAUUAGUCUUUUUUACGUUAUAACACCGUUUACUGUUUAAAACUGACUAUCUCAAUUAUUGAUGACCUAGGUAACUUAGUCUUAAUCCUGAGUUAACUAUGAACUCCUAUUCACACGAGAUUAUCCUUAGAUCUGCAUAGGUGAGGGCAGCUCAUCAGCGUUGGCCCAAUAAGCCUCCCAUUUCAGGGGUAAGAUCGGGUGGAUAGCUGGGAACAUAGGGUACAAGAUGGAAUUCACUCCUACCCGCUUUAGGGUUAGUAGAUAGGUUGCUCUCUUAAGCACUGAAUCCAAGUCUUGAACAAGGGGCCCCACCCUCUCAUUGGCCCGAGAGGGAUUAAGUUUAUAGGUUGAACCUUAAACCAAUUGUUCAAUAGUGGAUUAGUGGGACUUAAGGAGCAAGAUGUAAUCUUGGGGGUAAAACGGUAUUUUGACCCAGCCAAGGUUACGAGCAACCUGUGAAAGAUUAACUUACUGAUUAUGGUUUUAUCAAAUGGACACAAAUAUAUCUAUAGUGAGGGGAGUGCAACUACGGGACUUUAGUGGAAUGACCCGUUAGUUAACGAAUGUUGAUUAACUCGGUUUAAAAGAGUUUAGCUAGUUAAUCUUGAAUCGUUGGAGCCCAUGAUCUAUAGGUCCAUUAGGUUCCUCUGCUAGCUCAUAUGGAUUAAACUUAGAACAGUGUGAUGAAAUAAGUCGAAUUGUUCGAAUUGGGAGAAGAAAGGGAAACCGACAUAUACAGUGAUAUAGUCGUCGGUCUUCUAAUUAGAAAUAGAGCUUUAUGUUUUACAUACUAUAAGUAUGAAUGCGGAUUCAUACUAAGAAGCUCGGAAUUGGUCAAAAAUAGUAAAAAGUCAAAAUGUUGACUUUUGACUUUGAAAAAGUCAAACUUUGACCGGCCUUAUAUCCAAAUGUGAUUUGAAUUUUGGAAAAAUGAAUGCGGAUUCAUGCUCGGGAGGUUGGAAUUAGUCAAGACGGACAAAAUGGUAAAAAGUCAAAAUAUUGACUUUUGACUUAGAAAAGUCAAAGUUUGACUUUUGACUAGAAAAAUCUAAUGACCAUUUUACCCUUGGACUAAGUUAGUGGGAAAAUCCAACAUUUUGUUGGAUAAUCCCACUAACUCUUAGUGGGAUAUGUGGCUAUAUGAGAUAUAGACACCUAGCCCACUAAGUUCCACUAAUUGUUAGUGGAAUAUUAGGUGUUGAGAUUUGGCAAUUGAAUUGCAUGCAUUUUUGCAUGUAAUUAGGCUAUAAAUAGAGAUGUUUUCAAAUGUUGAAGGACUUUUGCCUCUUUUAUCAUUUUCAUCAUCUCAACAAAAGAAAAAAGAAAGCUUCCAAUCUCAUUUUAUCUCCAUUACUUUCUACACCAAAAUUGGGUCCCACAACCCGGUUCUUUGUCUAGAGGAUAGCAGUUGAGUACUAGUGGUGGUCUCGGGUAGAAUUGGUAAGAAGACAUCAAACCUUUUGAAAGCUUCAAAGGUAAUACUUCUUAAAACCCUAAUUUGAUUAGUUUAUGGUUACAUGUUAAUUGUGGCAAUUAGGGUAGAAAUUCGAUUCUUUUUCCGCUGUGCAUGACUUAGUUCUAUCACUUUUGGUACCAAUUACAAUGCUUAGUACGACCCUUUAAACCUGACUUAAAACAUUACAUGAACUUCUUUGCUUAAUUAUUACAUGUUAUGCAAACAAAUAAUGUUCAUUACCAAAAUGAUGCGAUCAAGGGGCACAGUAGGCGUUCAAAGCUGCAAGUUCAAGGUUGGAUGUCCUUCGCUACAUAGAAGGUGAUAACUCAUAUAAAUACAAGUUACUAUGACCUUUUAGGUAGAAUAAUGAGACCAAAAUGCGUGAUAAGAGUGGCAAAACACAUAGCUUAUGUUGUAAAUGCAUAAAUAUUUAGGAAUAAACUUUACAUAAGUGAUAUGCCUGCUUUACCCUGUUUUUAAUGUCUAAACGUAGGAUUUGCAAAAGAAGAAGUUGGCGAAUUGCAAAGAAACUCGCGUGAAAACUAGGCUAGAAGACCACAUCAAAGCGAAAGAAGAAGUUCACUAGAAGAAAAAAGUGGUAAAUGGAAUUGACUUGACUUGACAAGAUAGAAAACUUUCGACGUUGACAUGUUCAGAAGAUUAAACUUCUCACCUAAAUCUGCCUAUAAAAAAGAACUUCAUACGUACCAUCAAUGGGCUAGACGUCUAAAUGGACUAGCCACUAGAGGUCUAAAUGAGCCAACCACUCACUUGAAGAGGUGGGUGGAAACCUAGAGAGUUGAUGGGAAAGAGUAGCCUUUCCACCACCUGUAAAGUAUUCCUUCAUCUUCUCCGGUCAGUUGAAGAGUGAAAGCUUGAGAGGUGAGUUCAGAAAAGUCCAUCCCACAUUUCCUCCUGACUUGUAAUGUCACUUUUAUUUUUUUUACCAUUUUUGUAUUUUUUUUAUAUUGUAUCUAUUUGUAUUGUACAGUGGCCGAAGACCUUCAUUGUUUAAUACAAUGUAUGUUUAUACCUCAUUCAAUCUAUCCAUCUAUCCUUGUGCUAUUUGUAAUUUAGGUUUAUGAUACAUUCUUGAUAAGGAGCUUUACUUAUAAUUCUUAUUGGUUAGUUGAGCUACUUUCAUCACUUGGCAAGUGUAUAUCGCCAACUACACCUGAGAGGGCAAGUGACAAGGAUAUAACAAACACACACAAGGAAGCGUUUUCUACUAUGUGAGAUAACUUCCAUCAUUUGUAUAACACUGAUUGUGUAGCAAAACAUGACAGUCGUGAGUUUUGAGACUUGAUAUUUUCCCCUCGUUUUUAUUCAUGCAUCGUGAAAUAUUAGAAACGAAUCCAUCGAAAAACUUAAUUGCUUUCAGGAACUUUCAAAACUCAACUCGCUUGCUGCUAGUCAAUGUGUAGCUCACAUGUGGUUUCAUCAAUCUGUUACUGACUUCUAUCAAAUGUAAAUCAUUUUUUAUUUUUUAAAUCUUGUAGAUCUAAUAGGGCAUUCGUGGUACCCUUGGUUUUUCUUUUAAUAUUCAAUAAUGUACCGACAAAGUUGUCACAAACAUUCUUUUCAAUAUGCAUUACAUCUUUUGUGACAAAUAAGUAAUCUUGACCAGUAAGGAAGAUCGAAGAAAAUAAUUUUCUUAGUCCAAUUAAGAAGCUUUAUUUCUUUUUUUAUCUUUUAACGAAUGAUGCUUACUCAUAAUUGGAAACUCCAACGAAUCUAGUUGUUCCAAGAUUUCUUAUCCAUUCAUUACAACUAAAGGUGCCUUAUGCUAUACUUUUUCAUCAUCGAGCCUACUUCUACGUCAAACGUGGUUAUCUGAAAGAUAGCGUCAAUGUCCCAUGAAAGCUAUUUUUUCUCUUAUCCCAAACGACGAUAUAUCAUCCAAUGCAAAUGGGACAUGCCUGAUACCCCUUUGUACUCCACCCAAAUAGAUCACUACCGAAAAGUCGUUAAUUUUCUACAAUAAGGUUGCAUACAACUGAAAAUAUUGAUCUGUAAGACAAUCAUAAGUACCCACAUCAAAAGCCCAUAGAUUUUUCAGUUCCUUGAUCAAUGGUUGUAGGUACACAUCAAUUUCUCUACCAAUAGAUUUUGGAUCAGGAAUGAACAAUAACAUGAAAAAAAUGGACUCUUUCAUGCAUUUUCAUGGGAAAAAAUUGUAAGGAAUUAACACCACAGUGGCAUAUACUCUACGAGAUACUCAUAUGACCGAACGAAUUGAAUCCAUAUGAGCUAACCCCAAAUAAACGUUCCAUGGCUCUAAAGCAAAAUCAGAAAAUUCAGAAUCAAAGUGCUUUCAUCUCUCUGCAUCAACUGGAUGUCUCAACACAUCUUCUGUUUCCACUUGUUUAUUCUUAUUGUCAAUCCGUAAAACAACAAGAACGCGGGUGGUAGUGCAAAUCAAACACGAUUUACAAUAAAAACCUUGAAACUAGUCUAUCGCCUAGCUCAAACUCAACUCUUUUUAAACUACCAAGCGGAAAAAAAUAACGCAUCAAAAGUUAACUUAAACUUUUAUUCAACAACAAGCGUUUUGACAUUAUUAAAUGUAGGGGUGAAAUCGGGUUAGGUUGGGAGACAUUCUCAACCCAACCUAUAUUUUCGGGUUAUUUGGGUUGGCAACCCGAAUAACCCAAAUUUAGUUUCCAACCUAAACCAACCCGUAAAAUAUGGGUUUGGUUGGGUUGGGUCGUAUAGGUCUUUUUUUUUCUUUUGUUUCUAUUUACAUUUAAAUCGGGUUAUAUAAGUUUGUUAUAUUUAAAUUUUAAACAUACAUUAAUUCAAAAUUUCAUACCAUAAAUUCAAGCUAAGCAUUCACAAAUUCAAAGUUAUAAACACGAAUAAAUUCAAAAUUACAAACAAAAAUAAACUCAAAAUUACAAACACAAAUAAAUUUAAAGUUCUUAAAAUACAUAAAUUCAAAAAUUACCCAUAAAUGUUCAUGAAAUUCAUUUUUAAUAAUACAUGAAUAAUAAAAUUCAAGAUACACCGCUGGGUUGAACCGAAUUUCUCAACCCUCCAACCUGAAAAAAUCAUUUUUUUUUAACCCACUCAACCCUUAUAAUAUAGGUUGGGUAGUCUAGGUUAUUCAGGUUCAACCCGUAUUCUUAGAAAGUAGCACAAUAUUUUUUGUGGAAUUUUUUUCCUGAUCUGUUAAACUAGCCCUGUACCGAGACUCACCACAUGUCAGACAUUGUUGUAAAUUAUUGAACUCAUUCAAGAACAAUACACAAUCAUACUUAUAGGCAUGAAUAGCCUCGUAUCCUAGACACAACUCAUAAAUUUUCAUUUGACUUCAUAGAAUGAACUAGGAAUAUUGGUAGCACCCACUGGAAACACACGUUUUAUUCAACCAUUAAGAAUAUUCACAUGCAUCAUCAUAACCAAAAAGUUCAAUGACAAAAAUUUUGAACAGUUGAGGUAUAGCCUACUUGGUUUAAUAACUCCUUAAAUACCAUGUUUGUUCUAUCUUAUUCUAAAUCUACCCCAUUGUGAAAUAACAUUUCAUUUCAUAAAACUUCCUCCAUCUCUUCUACAUGUUCAAUACCAGCUUGUAAAUCAUGCAACAUACUCAACAUUUCAUUUUCUUAAGGAAGUAGAUUAUUGCUAGCUCCUUCAUCAAAAGGAUUACUACUACUCAUUCCUUCAUCAAAUCUUUGCAUACCUUUGUGCAAGUUCACGAGCUCUCCAUGAUACACCCAAUCUAUAUAGGAGGAAGUUAUUCCAGUGAUUAAGAGAUGUCACUUCACACUCUUUAAUGAGUCCCAAUUUGAAUUCAUACAUUUCUUGCAUGGACACCUUAUUUGUCCCUAAUUAUUGAUGUGAUAUUUUGCAAACUCUAAAAGUUGGGAAACUUCUUCUUUGUACUCAAUAGAAAACAUAUCUCAAAGUUUAUCCAAUUCUUGUCCAUCACGUUAAAAGCUCUAACACAUAAAUUAAUUCAAUGAAUAAGUUAUGUCCAAUCUCCCAUUAAUUACACGCCAUCUAACACCCCCAAUCUCAAGUUUAAUGAACAUUCCUCCCAAAUACGUCAGCCUUUUUAAUUACAAGCUAUCUAACGCAUUUGAACACACCAAUAUCAAAUUUAAUGAACACCCCUCCAAAGUACAUCAACAUUUUUAAUUAUAGGCUAUUUAACAUUUUCAAAAAUUGAAAUUGAAAUUGAAACUCAUAUUCAAAUUGAUAUUAAUAUUCAAAUUCAAUUUCAUAUUCAAAUUCAAAUUAAAUAACAAUCUCGAAUUCAAUAAACACCCCUCCCACGAUCUCAAAUUCAAUAAACACCCCCUCCCUCAAACAAAAAUUCAAUAAACAAACACCCUAAAUUCAAUAUAACCACAUAAAUUUCAACAAUAACAAAUUCAAUAAUAUUUCAAAAUACUCAACUUAAUCUUAAAUUCUAAAUCCUAAAACCAAUUCAAAUUUAGUACUAAAAUCUAAAAUUUCUUAACAUACAUUUGAAUAUAAAUCCUAAAACCAAUUCAAAUUUAAUACUAAAAAUCUAAAAAUACUUAACACGCAUUUAAAUCUAAAUCCUAAAACCUAUUCAAAUUUAAUAUUAAAAUAUAAAAAUACUUAACAUACAUUCGAUUAUAAAUCCUAAAAACAUACAUUAUAUCAUAUACAUUCAACCUGGAUUGAGAGCGUGGUAGUGGCAGUCGGCGACAAUAGAAGAUGUUGGGCGGCGGUGUGAACGGCGAAAGACUCUCUACCUCUCUCUCGAUUCUCCUUUCUUUUAUUUCUAAGUGUUUUGUUCUGUGUUCCCAAACACAACAAAUAGAUUAGACAAUCUCCGACGUUCUCGAUAACGUCGGUAAAACAUGUCUUCCCCGACGGCAAACAUCGAAGAACCUUGAACCUUCCCUGAUGAUCCACUAACAGCAUCAGGGAAAGAUGACGUUUCAAAUUUAUUAGAUAAAUUUUCCCGACGUCAGGACGUGAUCAAUGCGACGUUGGUCAAAGGGGACCUAAUUUCGACGUGCCUCUGCCACACGUCGAAAAAAGUUGACGUAUUUAAUAAUUGUGUUCCACUUUCACAUUGAUCAAGAGGACUUGGAAGUCACUAAAUUUGCUUGUAAAGGUUUUUCUUGGUACAUCUCACUCACUUUAUAAGUGAAAACUUGGGCAGUAUUUUACUUCAAACUUCUCACAAUUUUUUUAAAAAAUACUAUGAUAUAUUUCCAAAUUUAGGCCAAAACUUGCUGAAUUUUUCAAAUCUUCCCCAAAUUUGACUAUUUUUUUUUUUUGUAUCAAACGUAUAUCAAAUUGUUUACAUAAUUUCUUCACAUCUUUAACCUAAUUUAUGCAUUCUACAAUUAUAUGAAUUUUUAAAUUUUCAAAUAAAUUUAUUAAUUGUGUUUUCUCCGAGUGGAUCUAAAGUGUACUAUGAAAAGAGUCCCCGAUAUUAAUCAACACCUAGAAAACCCAAAUAUAUAAUCUUAAUGUUAAUUAGACUUAAAGAUAUAUAACAGCAAGAUUCUGUAGAUCAUAGACAUAAAUUUUGAAAAAUUAAAACCUCGCUUAACAUAGAAAAAUAAGAUUUUAAAGUAAAUCUGGAUAGUCAAUCUCAAUGGUAUGUAUUGAGAGAAACAUGCUAGUUUCGAAAAAGAGAAAACUUGAGGAAGCUGUUUUUCAUCACCUUUUUUGACACUAACACUCCUUCACAUCAUCUGUCAUCACUCACUGCUACACCUCCGCGAUGAUUAACUCUGUCCAUUGCAACACGUCACAAACUAGCACUACUUCACUCUACUGCUGGCUAAAAAAAAAAACUCAACAUUGGUGGAAGAAAGGGAGGGGGUUAAAAUUGUUGACAUCAGGAGUUAUUAUUAUCAGUUGUGCUAUUAACCUUAUCCUGAAAUAAAACUUCCAUUUCCUCCAAGCUUUUUCCUUUAGUCUCAGGCAAAAAAAAGUAAAAGAAAAGUGAAGCCACAGCCAUUAUUCCAGAUAAUACCAAAAACAUACCCCCAAAAGUAAUCUCCUUGGAAAUAGUCAAAAAUGUCAUAGACACAAUUCCACUCACCAAUCUAUUCACCGAUAUCGCCAAGCUCGAACCUUGAGCUCUCAUUCUAUUUGGAAAUAUCUCCGAAGAAUAAACCCAUGUAAUCGGCCCAAGCCCAAUUGAAAAUAACGCCACGUCACAACAUAAUGCUAUUACACUCACUGCUACUCCCCAUCUCGGCCUUCCUUUUCCCUUUUUCGUUACUUUCGAGCCCAGCCCCAAUAACGCUAGCGCCACCGUCAUCCCAAUUGACCCCAACAGCAACAGCGGCCGUCUUCCGAAUCUGUCUAGAUAUACUGCUGACAACACAACGAAGCAGGUUUUUGUAAUCCCCAUUACCACGUUCACGCCGAACAGAUGCCGUUUCUCGUGGAUUCCAGCUGCUCGGAAUACUUCCGGUGAGUAAUACAUUACGGCGUCGUUUCCUGAUGCUUGCAUGAAGAAGUUUAUUCCUAUGGCGGCUAUUAACAUUCUCCGGAUUGGCUUUGUGGGCUUUAUUAGUAAUUCCUUCCAAACCCCUUGCCCGUGCCACCCGCUGCCUGCGGCGGCCGCGCCGGUUAUUGAUCUCAGUCUUUCUUCUGCUUCGAUUUCGUUUGAUGAGAUUUUGAGUAACACUUCUUUGGCUUGUUCUGAUUUGCCUUUCAUGAUGAGCCAACGUGGGGAUUCGGGCAUUGUGAGAACGCCUAAUCCGACGGCUAGCGCUGGGAUUCCGGCGAGUCCGAGCAUGAUUCUCCAGUUGAUGUGUGGGGGAAGGCCGGAUAAGGCGUAGUUGAUGAUGUAGCCGAUUAGAAUACCAAAUGUGAUGAAGAUUUCCGGGAGGGAACUGAGGAGGCCGCGGGAUGUGGACGGAGAGAGCUCUGCUAUGUAGACUGGGGCCACCAUUAGGGCGUAACCGACGCCGAUGCCGGCGAUCAUUCGGCCGGCAAGGAGGAGAGGGUAAGAUGGGGCGAGACCCAUUAGUAUAGCGCCGAUUAGGAAUGUUGUGGACGCGAGUAAUGUUGUGUAUCGGCGGCCGAUUGAAUCGGAGGUUCGGCCGGAGGCGAGUGAGCCGAUUAGUGAGAGAAUGUUUAACGAUCCAACGAGGAUUUCGACUUGUGUAGAAGAGAUAUUGAGAUUCUCUUCGAUGUAAAGCACAGCUCCACUCAUUACUCCGAUAUCUUCAAGAAUUGACCCAAAGUAUCAGAAACCCAAAACGCAACAAUAAAAAUAAAUAAAUAAAUAAAUAAAAGGCAAAAGAGAUGAAUUAAAUUAAAGAGAAGAAGAAACAUACCGUAGCCUAACAAAAUGGAGUUUGUGGAAGCCAAUAUAGAGCAAAAUAAAGUGUAUUUGUUGAUCCCAAAUCCCAUGGAUUGCAUUUUGAACCUUUGGUCUUCCUCUUCAAUGGCUUCCACUGCAGUGGCCUCCCUGUACAAUGAUUCGUUGCUUUCCUUCAGCGGCAUUUUGUGAAUAUCAGUGGGCAGUUCUAUUUCGAUGCGCGAAAAUAAAGCAGAUAACAAGGAUGUAAAUGUAAUUCCGAUCUUUUUUUUUGGUAGGUGAGUGAGUAUUUAGUUCUUGGAGGUUUUAGAGAAUGCCCAAAUCUGCUAUGAAUGGCAUCAUUUUAGGAACUAACUACACGUCGCCUCCUAGUUUCAUACGACGUGCCACUUGAAAGAUAUUUUGUCGAUUUUUUUUCUUGGAAGUUAGUAUAUAAAUUAAGCAUCAAUUGCUAUGGGUAUGGCCAAUUAAAUAUCUUUAAUUAAUCAAUGUACAACUUAGAACAUGCUUUCAUUCAAAGCAUAAUAAUUAGAAGUCCUAAUUGUAAAAUACAUCGAUAUACAACAUUGAAUUAUGUUCAACGUUCUUCACUGUUCUAUUUUCUGAGUGGCCCAUGAAACAAUGGCCGCCGGUUGAAUUAUUUACAACGGCAAAGGAUAUGUAUUUAAUGUUUUUCACAUCAGUUGUACAUUAUCAAUAUACUGAUAGACUUCUAGUGCAACUUCGGAUAUCCAAUUUGCAGCUGUGCCAAAAAAGAGUUCCCAGAACCAGAGGUCGACGGCUAGGACUGACGAGAAUAUUAGCAGUGCCAAGGUUUGAUAACGGUUCAAUGGCCAACCUGAGACAUCAGCCAGAGCCUUGAGAAAGGGGAGAGAACUGCUGCCUAGUUUUCGCUUUGUAAUUGACCAUGCUGUUAUCCACUUUACACGACACGGGAUGAGAUCGAACUCUUCUCGUAAUCGCCUCCCCAAGUCGGGCAUGUGGCCACCGCCAUAUAGUAUGGCGAUUCUGUUGUGCCCCUUAUCGAGGGCGUCUCUAAGCGCUUCUGUUGCAGCUUUAUUUCUCUCACCGAUGAUAACAGAACUCUCCUCCACCUCAGCAGUUACUUGAGUAAAUCUUCACCAACAAUGAAUUACAUCAGAUCGAUAAACAGUUGAACUAAGACUCACCCAUUCAAGCAUUUAGUGAUUUCAAUUCCAAACAGCCUCUAGAUUUUAGCUUUGAAAUAGAAAUGAAGUGUUUGAAUGAAUUAUAGUCCAAAGUUCCAAACUAACAAAGGAACUAACGUGCUAAAGAAUUCGUAUACGUACUCAGAUGUUAGACGCUUUGCCAGAAAAACCUUCAUCGCAGCACCUAAAUCAAGCCUUGACAAUGCUUCAAAUUCUGGAAAUUCUGAUGCUUGACUUCCCCCAUCUGCACAUACACUUCCAAUGAUAAGAAGUCCAACGAGUGGCAUAGGAAGCACACGAGAUGCCCAGAGAAGCUUUGAUUUCCAAGGUUCAAGAUCUUCUGGUACUGUAGUUGGCUGAACCAUAGCUUUGGUGGAUCGUAUAGUCAUGUCUCUUGCAAAUGUAAAGAAGUUUUCCCCUUUUUCUGUCUGUAACAUGAUACCAUCAAAUCUAGUGUUGAAAUAUCAUCAUAUUACAUCGACCUUCAGGUGACAAAGACAAUCCAAAAUUGUAAAAAUGAUUCGACUAUUUGAAGUAUAUUCUGUCAAUUCAACAAUUUCCACUUCAUAAAUGAUCAUACAUAUACUAGUUAAGUGAAAAAAUCAACCAGUGAAUAAAAAUGGCCAUUUCCAAUCACCUACAUCUUGACAUCUUUAAAAGUGUUUCUUUUAAAUAACUUUCUUGCUCAAUCGAUUGUGUAAAUAAGAGAGGAAAUAACCUGAAGUAUUCUGAAGGUUUCAUAGUCUAAAUCUGCAUGGUACCAAUUAGAAGCCUGGUAAUCAAGGCAAUCUAAUUGGAAAUCCAGCGUCAGAACACGAGCCAUCUGCCGUUGAAUGCAACCUAGAAUAUUAAGACCUCGUGACCGUGAACUUUUUAGUUUUUUCAUAGCAGCUGGAUUUUUUCUGUUUUCUAAGCUCUCCUUACUAGCCACCAUCUCAUACAGUAUAGAGUCAUAGGACUCGAGUUCUUUCUGUAGGGCCUUAAAAUACCUAUGCAAAAUCAAAAUGGAUGCAACAGAUAAUAUCAAUGGAAAAGCCAUGCAGUAAACCAACUAAUAUGCAAAAUCAGAGUUAGCAAUCAUUAUGAAAGGAAAAUUGCCUUGAAACCUGUAGUUACACCCAAUUCAAGCCCUGCAUCAGUUAAUUUAAAACUCAGACUACCCACAUAGCAAGGAAAAUAGUACAGGCUCAUGAAAAGAGAGUUCAUGUCAGUGCCCAGAACACAUAAAAUGACAGUUUAUAAAUUUGUAAUGCUAGAAAUCUGCUGUCUUUAUUCAAUAGAGGACUCUGCCUGCCAUCUUCCAAAGCUAAUUUUAUCUUAUCCCUUUGAAUUUAAUUGCAGAUACAGAACAGUUUCUACAAAAUGUAGCUCUUUCCUAUUUCCUAAUGAAACAGUUUCUCAUAUUGUUGCGGAUCCCUUGUUGUGACAUAAACAUAUAUCUGGCCCCUUUCCUUCUCAACAUCUAAACAACUCCAAAGAAAAAUAAAAUUCCACAAAAACUAUAUUUCCUAGACAUGAAUUUACAGCCAACAAUUUACGAGCAGACAAACAGGAAAAACAGAAGAUUAUAAAAUGAGUAGGCAUACUCUUUGUCUGCAAUAUGAAUUGUUGAUACCAAAUCAACCUGAAAAAGAGUAGAAACCCCAUGUAAGAAAUAAGAACACCGAUUUGAAGAAUUAGAACUUGGAGGCGAAACCUGAACAAAUGGCUGGAGAAUAGACCAUGGAAACUUCUUUUUGUAACUAACAAUAGCAGUCUGGAGCUCCGCAGAGGGUCCAUCCCGUUUGAACCUCAUGAAAUCAGCAAUUGAAUUGUUCUGGAAAAAGGGGUCGGGGGAGGCAUCGUCGCGUAAUUGAUUAGAAGCGGAAGAAGAGGAAGCAGGAAUUUGGCACCGGAAUAACCUAAAACUCUUGGGGAAUCGGGAAGAAUCUGAGAAGAAGGGAAAUUUGGUGGGGAUAGAAGAAGAAGAAGAAGAAGAAGAAGAAGAAGGUGAAUCAGGUUUGAAAAUGGAAGGAAAGGAAAUGGGUAAGAGAAGUGAGAGUGAGUUAGAGACCAUAUCCUCUCUGGAGAGGAAGCAAGGAGAGGAAGAGAAUUGUGAAUGCAAAACCCAAAAUCUGAUAACGUUGGGUUGGGAACAUACAACUGAAAUGAAUAAUAACAAUAAUAUAUUCUCCUUUUUUACAACCACAUUAAUAAUAUAUAACCUUUUCGCCUCUCGUAACUCACACCACUCUUUCCUCUUCCAAUUAUAACGAAUGUUACGUUUCUUAUACUUUCCUAGUUCCUCCAUAAUUGAACUCAAACUUCAAACCUUGGCAAUCUAUUCAAUUUUUUGUUUGAUUCAAUUUACUCCAUAAAUUUUUAAAUAUACAAACCACUCUCUCCUUUCUUUUUGUUUUUGCUUUUAGGAAGUUAAUCUUCGUAAGUAAAAAAAAAAAACAUCAAAAUGUUUACGAAUGUGUAAUAAAAUCAAAAAGCUUACGAAACUAACCAUUUUUUAAAAAAUAUUUCAACUUUCUCUUUCAUUUUCAUCUUUUUUCUUCUUCUUAGAAGUUUUGUGGCCCACAAAUGUUGUUUUGUUCGGUUCUCUCCUUGAUGGAAUCACGUGGCAAAAAGAGAGUGUUUAAAGAAAGUUUCUUAAAGAAUAUUCUAUAGCCACUAGGAUUUUGUUUUUCUUCCUUGCUAUUAUUCUUUUUUUACCGGUGAAGAUUUGUUGUUGGAUUGGCCUUCUUUGUAUGGUUGAUUGGUUCUCUUUCAGCCGUGUGCGAAAAGUGAGAGUAGGGUUUUCUGUAGUUAUUGUCAUCUGAGAAAAGAUAGCGAGUAAACUUGGUCGAAGUUCUUCUAAUUGAGUUAUUUUGUGGACCAACGUGUAAGUAUCUUUUGAUAAUGUGAUUAGUUGUUGGUUUUCUUUGAUGUAUGAGGUUAAAACUUCCUUAGCAGACGGAUUAUAGAAACACUAGUUACGUCUUGAUGAAGGACGAUUUUCAGAAGGAGGCUCUUGUGAUUAACACCUUAAUCUAUUCAUGAGUGAGUUGCAUGAUUAAGAAGGAGGAUUUUCACUUUAAGAAGCAUCGGUUAUGCUGAUGCAGCGAUGCGUCGUAAAAACUCCAUUAUGUAUCGGUGAAGGCUACACUGAUGCAGAAAGGCACGUUGGUACCGGCAAUGUGAUUGGCGUGUCGUAAAUCAGAACAAAACGUUGGCGGCAUAAAAGUUUGGCUGACACAUGAUUCGUCGACAAAGUCAACACAUCGACAAUAUGCUAAUUUCGACGUAAGGUCAGAGCGUCGAAAAAAGUGUUUUACCAAUUUUUGGUCAACGCGUCGACAAUAAGGAAUUACCAAUGUUGUCGUGUACAUCGGCUUAAAGCUAAGCCGACACGGUGCCGGCAUAACUUGGAACGACGCCACAUUGUUAGAUGUCGCCAUUGGCAACACCUCUUGUGCAUUGGGAAAACCUUUUUACCAAUUUCUUAUUAUUGAAUUUUUUGUUAUUGCUAUUGGGAUCGAAAUCAAUGUAAAUUGACUGAAAUUAUAAAAUAGGUCAUAUAAAAUUAAUAAAAUAUCAAAUCGAAUAUAUAUUAAAAUUAAUUCAAAUAUAGAAAAAUACACAUGUUUGUAGGUAGAAAAAUUACAUGAAUAACCUAAACUAAAAACUAAUCUAAUCGAUGCGAAUGCUGUCCCCCCAUGUCUUCAAACCUACAAUGACACGAAAUAAAAGUUUUAAAUAUAUAUCAACCCAAUAAAAAAUGAAAGAGCAUAAAAGUUGAAAAUUACGUACAUUAAAAAAAGAAAUCAAGGUCCUCUCGCUGCCCGAGUGAGUUCUUCAAUCAUCUUCCUCAUUUCUUCAAUCUUUUGAGCAUUUUCCUCGUGCCUCUGUCUACUUUCUUCCUCUACUUCCUGAGACGAGUUUUUAGCUCGGUAGCCUACUUGACGUGUAUCUCUCGCUCGUGGGAUGUAGAGGAAGAACUGUCAGUAAUGUGUUAGGACUUUGGCAUGGGGCUCUAACCAAGACCUUUUGAAUAGCUCAGUCGUCUACUCAAAACUGCCUCGAAUAUCUUGUCCCCAGAGAGUGGUUCAGAACUCUCUAAGGUGAGUUGGGACUAGAUGACCAACAUUUGAUUCAAUAAUAAAUUUUUUAUUGAUUAAGUAAAAUGUGUAAUCAAAAUGUAUGUACAAAAUAAGAUAAAAGCAUAACAAAAACGUACAUGAGCAUCUGCAGCCGCUGGCAAAAUGAACUGGUCAUCCUGAGCGUGUGUUUCCUUGAACAACUCCACUCGAUCAAUUGGAUGAUUCCAUUUUUCAAUGAGCUCGUGUGCUCGUUAUAUAAAUGACUUGACGUCACUAGUGUGGUUGUAUAGGGCUGCUUUACUCUAGCAGCCAUAUUCAUCGUUGAUUGCUCCUACAUGCAAACAAUCAAAAUGUUACAUGAAAAAAAUGAACUACUGUUUGAGAACAUUAAAAGUUCUAAAUAACCUGAAAUUAUCGAGUAAGGUAGUGGUCGCAUAGGAAGUGUCAAUCUUCCAUACGAUUCUUCAAUUUAGGGGUGGGUUGACACAUGCAUGUUCAGGAUCACUGAAUUUCUUGAAAUGACGAUGAUUCUGCCCCCUGAACUCCUUUCAGGUGGUGAGCAUUUGAUGCUCAAUGAACCGCUUAAGUGUUAGAUCUGUGAAAUCCAACAUGAAAAAUUGCUACAAAAGAAAAGUACACACGAAUUAGGAUUCUAUAUAUAUGCGUGUGAUUUUAAGACUUACCUGUAAAGAGCCCUUCACGAGCUCGAUAUACUCUGGUGUAACGUCAGUCCACUUAAGAAAGAACUAGAAAAGUAUCAUGCAUUACCACGCCAAUGGUACAACUGAAACGAGGCGUAGGAGUACGAGUUGUUUGAGAGCCAUCUAGGGAAACAUAAUAAUUUUAAUACAUUUAAAUCUUUCUAUAACAAUCAAAAUCUCAAUUUCAAUAAUUAUUACCAACCUAUACAAUUUUAUUUUACAAUCUAAUUUUACUUAUUCAUACAACAAUUUAUGUCGCCACGUGUCCGAGACGACGUGAGCGGUCGACGUCCUCAAAAGAGUUAGUUUUAAAAGAAAAUAAGAGUAGUCACCAAUCUUUUUUUAUGGUGUGAUUGGACACCGAAAUAAAGUAAACAAUUUAAAAAGAAAUGGUCUGCGAAAAAAUAGAGUUGAGUUCGGGAGUCAUUUGUGUGUGGGGAAAAUAUUAGCACCCCACGACACCCAUUUAGAAAAAACGGUGGCCAAAUUUUAAAUCUUGAAUUGAAAAUAUUUUUUUAUUUAUUUUAAAACUAAUGUCUUAUUUCAUACCUCAUUACUCCAAUAUUUGAAGCAAUUAUCUCAUAAAAUAAGUGGAAUAAUAUUCCAUUAAUUAAACUAUAUAUUGAAGAAAAUUUCUCACCUUAAAAAAAUGAGAAAAUAUUACAAUUUCUCAAAAUCUAUCAUAGGCUAGUCUUGGAAUGUAGAUCUUUUUUAAAAAACAUCAAUUAAAUUCUAUUUUUGUCUUGUGAUCACAUCUUAGACUUUCAAAGAUGUGAUCCCUCACCCCAAGAAUUCUAGUUAAUCGGACUCCCAAAUUUCCUAGAUUUUAUCAUAUAAAUUUUUAUAGCGAAAUAGAAGUGAGUUAUUAAAAAAAUUGAUUAGGGAAAACUUAAGAAAUAUAGAUUUAUAUUUUAAACAUUAAAAAAAAAAAAUGAUAGUUUUAAAGUAAAAUUUUCUUAACGGUUAAAAAAGAAAUUUAAGAAAGGUCUUCAAAAUUAGGUCAAUAGGAAAUAAUGUACAAUGAAAUCAAAUAUAUUAUACAACAAAUUAAGCAAGUAAGAUAAAAUUUUAUUUUUUAAAAAAUAUUGGGAAUCGAAUUUUGCACUCCCAAAUAACCGAUUCCCUCACCUCAAAAAUUUUAAAAUAACGGACUCUCAUAUAUUUCUAAUUUCAUCGUCGAAUUUUUUUUAGAAUGAUAAAAUGUAAAGAUAAAUAUGAUAUAAAAAAAGUUGAUAUAAAAUACCAUAGUAACAUUGCAAAGUGUAAAAAAUAUUCAUAAAUUUAAUACUACAUGAUAAUAACUAUUAUACUACAUGAUAAUAAUUAUUAUGCAUGCCACGAAAAUAAGUUAAAAUAAAUAAAUAAGAAAAUAGAAACAAUAGACAAGGAAUAUAUAUAUAUAUAUAUAUAUAUAAAUAAUAAUAAUAAUAAUAAUAAUAAUAAUAUAAUACACAUAAAUUAAAAAUAAUAAGUUAUAUAUAGAAGUAAUAGUAAUAAUAAUAAGAAAUUAAAAGAGAAUAAAAAGUAGUAUAAAAAAAUAUUAAUAAAAGUAUAGUAAAAAUAAUAAAAAACACUAAUAAAUAUAAAGAUAAGUACAGUAACAAUAACAAUAAUAUAUGUUUUAUAUUAUCAGAGAGAAGAAAAUAAAGAUCAAGAUAAAAAUAACAAAAAUCUUAUGUCUCUUUCUUUUUCUCUAAAAAUAGAAAUAAAAAUAACAAAAAAAAAUCAUAUGUCUCUUUCUUUCUUUAAAACUAGAGAGAAGAAAAGAAGACUAAAGGGGUUUUAAAAAAAUAACAAAGAAAGUAAAAUAAAACCAAAAAAUAAUAGAAAAAUUCAUAUACGUUUCUUUUUCUUAAAAAAAGAGAAAAAAAAUUCAAAUCCCAAAUAAAAUUAAUGGUCGAUGAGGUGUGGAUCCUUGCGAGUAAAUUAUACCCAUUUGAUUUGCUAACGAAAUCUAUUUCAACCAUGGAAUUUGAUUUGCUAAUGAAGAAUAAAAAAAAAAGAAAAAAAUAAAGAUAAUGAAAUGAAUUAGAAAACUCACAUUUUUAAGAGAUUCUCGCUAAAUAUUUUCUUCACUUACUCUAACUAUUUUUUUCUAAGCCAUUUUUCUCUUUCAAAGAAUUCUUUGUUUAAAAAACUCCUCCAAAGAAUUUUUUGUUUAAAAAAACUCUUCUUUUUUUUCAAAUGACAAAUGUCCUAUUUAUAGAUCCAGGUGUACCAUAAAUUAGAAAAAAAUAAUCAAAAUUUGAUAUUAUAUUAAUAAAGUAAAUUUCAUUUUCUUAAAAUAAAUUAAUUAAACUAAGUGAGAUUUUUUUAAAAAUAAAUAAAUUAAUUAAAUGGAUAUUAAAAGAUUUUUUUUUUUGUUUAAAAUUGAUUUCACUGUCUAUAAUGACAUCCACUCAAAUGAAGUAUUAUCAAUCUGUUUUUCCCGCAAUGUGGAAACCAUUAGAUAUUUCUAUACCCUCUGGCAAGCCUCAAACGUUCAAGAUGAUUCCGCUUGCAAUCCUUUGAGAAUAUCACACAGAAUUAGUGAGAUUCCAAAAUCUUCAUCCUUUGAGUCUUAUUACUCUUUGCAUGAAACUUCUUCCCAUCCUCCUAGCUCUCCGACCAAGGUUUCAGGCAAGGGCACUUCUCCCGUCAAACCUUUUGUGGCUUCUCGUGCAUCAUCAUCUCGACGCUCUAGGUUUAAUGUUUUUGACUCUGCUUCUAUUGAGAUAAUUGUUGUUGGUUCUGACUCCACUAGUGAAGACAAUGUGGUUCUCUUUGAUAUUAUGAAAAGGAAAGCAUCUAACAAUGUUUCUCUUCCCAAGAAGCCAAAUUCUAUAAAAAUAAAUAAAUCUUUUGUCUCUCAUCCCUCCAAUGCCGAUGAUCUGUAUGAAGCCUUGUUUGGCACUCAUUCUUCACCACACCAGACGUCAUCUAAGUGUCCAUUUUUAAAUACUUCUGCCCCUAUCUUAUCCAAUGCUAAAAAAUCUAUUGAUACCACUAUUGAGGACUUGUUCAUCGAAUUUGGUUGGGACCCUAAGGUUUUAGACUUAGUGAUGAGCACAACACUCCGGGAACUAAACAAAUUGCUACCAAGUUAGUUUUUGGUUCCUCCCUUGGUCCUUUAAAUUAAAGUUUCAGGCUCGUGUUCCUUCUCGUGGGUAAAAAGUUGUUACAUGGAGUCUGGUCAACACAAGCUUCCUCAAAAUGUACCUACUGUUUAAAUUGAUGGAAUAUCAUUUCAUUUUGAAGACUGUGUUCACAAGUGAAAGUAGGUUGUACAACGUCGUAUUGCUGAUAAGUCUAAAAUUUUUAAUCAACAUUGUUCCAGUUAUGUUGUGAUUGAUUUGAUCUCCUCUAUUGGACUUCUCUCUACUGUUACAGCUGUUGGUAACUUCUUUCCUAAACUUAUUUGUGAGUUUGUUGUAAAUCUUCUUGCUAACCUCAAUAAUCAUGGAACGCUUGACUUUCACAAAGUUCAUGUUCGUGGAAAAUGUUUUAAUUUGUCUCCUGCUCUUUUGAAUUCAUUUUUUAAUAUUGUUUUACCUACUGGUUUUUUCUGUCUUUUACCUUCUUUGGAGAACUUGCUUUAGAAUUAUCUGGUGGUUUUGCUCGCCAUUGGUCGUCUAAUGGUCAGUUUCCUGUGAUGAAACUGAGUAUUAAAUAUGUCAUCCUUCACAAGAUUGAGAUUGCAAACCGGCACCUCACUUUCCAUCAAUCCACUAUAUCUACUAUGUUAGUGUAUCUGAUCUAUCAGAUUGGAACCGGUGCCAAAGUUGAUGUUGAUGAGCUGGUUUUUCAGCAUAUUAUGCGUCAUGUUGAUAUGUUUGGGAUAAAUAUUCUCAUUUGCUUCCCUCGCCUCUUAUGUGGCUUUCUAUUAUCUCAACACCCAAAUAUCAUUUUUGAGUCGGAUGUUGCAGGUCCUCCUCCAAAGUAACUGAAGCUAAGUUAUAAACUCUUUCAAGGGUCUCAUGUCUCGAAUCCUCCUCCCUCUUUUAGACCCCUUCAGGUUGGUUUCUCUCCUUUAGCUUCCACAAUGAUCGUACCUUCUUUAGGCGUUCACUUGCCUCGGGAGUUAGCCAUCCAUCUUCUUCAACUGCUAUCCGACGAGACUUGCUCCCUUAGUAUUUCUAUUCAAUCUCAUACCGAUGCUAUUGUUGCCUUAACAAGUUGUCGUGUUUCCAUUUACUCAGUUAUCUAGGCUAUUCACAAUCUUGACGAAGGAUGAUUUUCAGGGAGAGAGUCUUUUGAUUAACACCUUGAUCUAUGAGUGAGUUUCAUGAUUGAGGAGGAGGAUUUUGCAUAAUUAACGUUUAUAGGUUUAAUUUACAAAAACGAAAACAAAAAACAAGAUAGUUACCAAACGAGACCUAAACUUUUAGUUCUUAGUUUUUUAGAUUGGUUUCAAUUGAGUUCCAAUGUCUCAAAACAUUGCACUAUUGAGAUUUGAGUUUUUUUUCAAUUUGUUUCUUAGGUUUCAAAAUUUACACUUUUAGCUCCUAUUUUUCAUUAACUAUUCACUUUCAACAUUUGGAUUGAUGUUUAUUAACAAAUAAACACUAACACCAAGAGGAAUAGUGAAUAUUUAUGAAAAAUUAAAGUUAAAAGCAUAAAUCUUGAAACUUGGAGACCAAAUGAAAACAAAAUCUAAAUCUCAAAACGUGAAAUCGUAACAUCAUGAAACUGAAAGAUUAAACUCAAACUAAAGUCUAAAUUAAAGACUAAAAGUGUAACCUUUUAAAUAUUAAGACUAAAUAAAGAGUAGAAACAAAAUUUGGAGAUAAAAAUGUAUUUUUUUUGAAGUGUUUAGUACAAAAAAUAUUUGGAACAAAUAUAUUUAAGGGAUAACUAUGACAAUAGCAAAAUUUAGUAUAAUAAAUCUGAAAAAUAUUAAGAAUUUUGGCAAAACUGGUCGUUACAUAAUUUUUUGAAUUUUUUUUACCUGUUUAUAUCCAUUAAAUAGGAUAAUACGUGUUUUAAGAUACAAUAUAUUUGCCAAAUCACAUAUACAAUGUAAUUACAAACUACAAUUAGUUUUAAAAAAUAUUAACUAAUUUGGAUUAACAAGAUUUCUCCCGUAUAUUCUAAAUAUAUGCCUAUAAUUCAUAACAAAUUUUUUGGAUUUUUAGUAUUUAAAUCAAAUUAAUUCACAUUUAUUUAUUUAAUUCAUGUUUAAUAAAAAUUUCUCCUACAAAAUUGUAAAAAGAUUUUCAACGAUUCCUCAUUUAUUAGAUUUCAUAAUAUUUUGAAUUCAAAUAUUAUUAAAUCUAAUCCCUAAAACAAUGACAAUCACUACUUCAUUAUUUUCAUAUGAUAAUACAUAGUACCUAUGGUCAAUAAAAAAAAUGGUUAUGAGAAUUUCAACCAUUCUCAAAUCAUUAUAUUUCAUAAUAUUUUGAUUUCAAAUAUUACAUCAUAUCCUUAAUGGCAAACAUAAAUUAAGCGUUGCGUAUUAUUAAUAUUUCAAGUUAUUUAAAGAAAAUUAUCAGAUAAUACAUAGUACGUAUGGUUAUUAAUAAUUUAAAAAUAAAGUUUUAUCAUCACUAUAAUCGUACUAAUUAUGAUUAUACACUUAUUUUGAUUGUUUUUAUUAAAAAAUAAUUUAUUGUGCCUCUUGUAUCGGAUAAUUAUUUUUCACGUUGUGUUUUUUAAUUACAUUAAUAUUCAUAUUUAUUUUUAAUAAUGCAUGUGUAAUCAAGAAGUAUAAUAUGUGUCUUAUAUCUCUUUAUGUAGGAUAAUACGUGUUUUACUUGUAUUUGCAUGAUACAAAUAACGAGACCAAAUAUCAUACCAUUUAGUGUAUUUGCAAACUUUUGAAAAAUAUUAACUAAUUUAAGAUAUUUUUUAGAUUGACAAGAUUUUUCCAAUAUCUCCUAAAUAUAUGCCUAUAAUUCCUAACAAUUUUUUGAAUUUUUAAUAAUCAAAUCAAAUUAGUUAACAUUUAUUUAUUUAAUUCAUAAAACUUAUGUUUAAUAAAUAUUUUCCCUAAAAAAAUAUUAAAAAUUUUCAACUAUUUCUCUUUCGUUUGAUAGUAUUUUGAAUUUAAAUAUUAUAAAAUCUAAUUUCUAAAAGAAUGACAAUCACUAAUCCACUAUUUUCAUACGAUUUAUAUUUCAAAUUAUUUUUAAAAAUUUUAUUAGAUAAUACAUAGUUAUUUUAAUUUAUAUUUAAAAUUUUACACUUAUUUAUUAAAGAAGUGUAUUUUGCAAACAACAUUCAAAUUUGGUAAAUGUUAACUAAAUUUGGUAAAUGUGAACUAAAUUUGCUAUUUUGUUGCUAGAUUUAUGUUAAUGGCAAAUAUAUAUACAAUAAUUUCAAAUGUGUUAUAUUUUAAACAACUUAUUAAAUAACACAUAAUAUAUAGAUUUUAAUAAAAAAUUUAAUUUUAAUUUUAAUAUAUAUUUUGAAUUUAAAUUUUAGGAUUUAAUUAUGCCUUAACGACAUUUUUGCAAUUAUUUGAAUAUUCUUCUUUUAGAUUUUAUUAGAGAAAAGAAAAGAAAGAAAUUGGGAGAGGGCAACAGACAAGAGAUAAACACAAUGUGAAAGAGAAAAUUUUUAUUGCAAACAAGAGAAAAUAACUCAAAUGAAUCUCAAAUGUAUGAAGAACUCAUCGAUUUAAGUGGACGAACUCACCGUUUUGAGUGGAUGAACUCAUCAAUGCGUAUCUUGCUAAGAUGUAUAUAAGUUUUGAAUUCUAUGGUAUAAUUUCAUGAAUUCAUCUUUAUUAUAAUAUCAACAAUACUCUCACUUUCAACUUGAAGCUUUCGGCUAUGAUUGUUCGACAGGUGUAGAGCCAAACCCUUUAAUUGAAUGUGUCUCAAUUUUGCAAUUACUCAUUUCAAAUGAAUUGCAUCUUUUGGACGUUGAAAUAGAUUUUAAAUUUUGCAGGCAUGAGGUGAAGCUUCUCAUUAAUGACAAAUUUUCUAAUUUUUAUGUUUUUGCAAAAAAAAUUUUUUUGUAGUAUGUGUGUUAUUUCAAUUACAAUGUAUUUGAGGUUUAGGUAAAUAAUUGUACUUUUUUAUAUUGGAUAGGGGCAUUUGAGGGAUGGUUUAAUUUAUUUAUUUUUCUAAUUUUUAUGGUUUGCUAUUAUAACAAUAAUUUAAAAUUAUUUUUGCUAUUUUUCCAAAGUAAAACUCAUGAUUUGCUAUUGUUCUUGACAACCCUAUAUUUAAAAUGGUUUGGUUGCUUGCAAACUAGGAUUGUACAUAAAUUGAGUUGGGCCAGAUUGGAGGAAAAUUAUGGAUCAACCCAAAGUAUUCAGAUCGACAAAAAAUGAACUUUAUUGGUUCAAUAUAUCAGGUUAACUCAACCUAACCCAAUCCAAAAAAUUAGGUUGUAUUGGCAGAUUGGUUUUUUUUUCACCUCUCCAUAAUUUGGACAAAUUUUCAUAUUGUUUUUCAACAUGAAAUUAGGAGAAAAAAUUGUCAUUCGAGGUGCAAGGUGACAUAAAUAUGUUAUACAUUCAAAUUCCAAGUCUACAAUCAAAGGAGAUUUACUUUUAGGUUUUAGGUUUAUAUAUAUAAUCGGGCUGGACCGAGUCAACCCAACCCCUUGCUUGCAUGACCCGACUACUUGGCUCAACUUUUUUUCUCCAAUUUUCUAAUAAUCCAACUCAACCCACACACAAAAUUUAACUCAACCCAACCCUUACUGUUUGGGUUGGAUAAUUUGGAUUGAUUGGAUUAUCAAUUUUUUUGAACAUGACUAAUGCACAUCCAAAAGGAAGAGGGAGUUGAAAAGUUUUUUUGCAUAUACACUCUUUCUUAUGUUUUGUUGACAGAGAAUUAGAAACGAUUAGGCUCUAAAAUCUAUGAAAUAUGCAAAAAUCAAGAAGGUAAAUUUUCAUAAAUAUAACAAAACACCAAAAUAUUUAUAGCCCGUGUAACAAAAUCAAAAAGUCAAGCUGACCAUUUUUUUAAAUAUUCCAGAUUUUCCUUUCCUUUCAUCUUCUUUCUUCUGCUAUUUUUUUUGGGAAUUGCAUCAGAUGACAAAAAACAUUUAGAAGAAACAACCCAUGACACAUCUUUUUUGCAUACUGCGAAUAUGACAAAUAUGACAAGUAAUUAGUGAUAUCAGACGGUUAUCAGAUGACUAUUAAAAGACUAUCAGAGGGUUAUCAGAGGACUAUCAUAGGAUUAUCGACUUUAAAUUUGCUACUUUUGCAAUUUAGAAAAUAUAGUAACUGAUAGAACUAAGUCAUGCACAGCGGAAAAAGAAUCGAAUUUCUACCCUAAUUGCCAUAAUUAACAUCUAACCAUAAACUAAUCAAAUUAGGGUUUUAAGAAGUAUUACCUUUGAAGCUUUCAAAAGGUUUGAUGUCUUCUUACCAAUUCUACCCGAGACCACCACUAGUACUCAACUGCUAUCCUCUAGACAAAGAACCGGGUUGUGGGACCCAAUUUUGGUGUAGAAAGUAAUGGAGAUAAAAUGAGAUUGGAAGCUUUCUUUUUUCUUUUGUUGAGAUUAUGAAAAUGAUAAAAGAGGCAAAAGUCCUUCAACAUUUGAAAACAUCUCUAUUUAUAGCCUAAUUACAUGCAAAAAUGCAUGCAAUUCAAUUGCCAAAUCUCAACACCUAAUAUUCCACUAACAAUUAGUGGAACUUAGUGGGCUAGGUGUCUAUAUCUCAUAUAGCCACAUAUCCCACUAAGAGUUAGUGGGAUUAUCCAACAAAAUGUUGGAUUUUCCCACUAACUUAGUCCAAGGGUAAAAUGGUCAUUAGAUAUUUCUAGUCAAAAGUCAAACUUUGACUUUUCUUAGUCAAAAGUCAAUAUUUUGACUUUUUACCAUUUUGUCCGUCUUGACUAAUUCCAACCUCCCGAGCAUGAAUCCGCAUUCAUUUUUCCAAAAUUCAAAUCACAUUUGAAUAUAAGGCCGGUCAAAGUUUGACUUUUCAAAGUCAAAAGUCAACAUUUUGACUUUUUACUAUUUUUGACCAAUUCCGAGCUUCUUAGUAUGAAUCCGCAUUCAUACUUAUAGUAUGUAAAACAUAAAGCUCUAUUUCUAAUUAGAAGACCGACGAUUAUAUCACUGUAUAUGUCGGUUUUCCUUUCUUCUCCCCAUUCGAACAAUUCGACUUAUUUCAUCACACUGUUCUAAGUUUAAUCCAUAUGAGCUAGCAGAGGAACCUAAUGGACCUAUAGAUCAUGGGCUCCAACGAUUCAAGAUUAACUAGCUAAACUCUUUUAAACCGAGUUAAUCAACAUUCGUUAACUAACGGGUCAUUCCACUAAAGUCCCGUAGUUGCACUCCCCUCACUAUAGAUAUAUUUGUGUCCAUUUGAUAAAACCAUAAUCAGUAAGUUAAUCCUUCACAGGUUGCUCGUAACCUUGGCUGGGUCAAAAUACCGUUUUACCCCCAAGAUUACAUCUUGCUCCUUAAGUCCCACUAAUCCACUAUUGAACAAUUGGUUUAAGGUUUAACCUAUAAACUUAAUCCCUCUAGGGCCAAUGAGAGGGUGGGGCCCCUUGUUCAAGACUUGGAUUCAGUGCUUAAGAGAGCAACCUAUCUACUAACCCUAAAGCGGGUAGGAGUGAAUUCCAUCUUGUACCCUAUGUUCCCAGCUAUCCACCCGAUCUUACCCCUGAAAUGGGAGGCUUAUUGGGCCAACGCUGAUGAGCUGCCCUCACCUAUGCAGAUCUAAGGAUAAUCUCGUAUGAACAGGAGUUUAUAGUUAACUCAGGAUUAAGACUAAGUUACCUAGGUCAUCAAUAAUUGAGAUAGUCAGUUUUAAACAGUAAACGGUGUUAUAACGUAAAAAUGACUAAUUCAUGGUUCAGUAUUAUGUAAACAUUUUACAUAGGAUGCCCCCACUUUCAUGUCUCUACAUGAACGAUUAGGAUCACAUCGUUUGUACUACAAAGUGGGCCGCAUCCAUAGUCUCUCAAAAUAAGGCGCCCAACCUUUAUUUCAUAUACUAUAGACUAUUUAGGCUAUAUACUCGAACUUGAUCCACGUUUAUGUUUACACAUAAAGUUCAAGUUUAUUCAAAAAAUAGCCUUGGAACUUUGAUUUAUUGGAUUUAAGAUUAUAAUAUUUAAUUUCUCAAUAACAACUUUAUUGAAUAGAAUAUGAUUUACAAACUACGAGUUUUAGGACAAAAAAUUCCAACAGUAACAUGUGUCCUAUUAUCUUAAUUUCUUUUGUUAUUGUUGCAAAUGUCUGGUUGUUUGAGUUGGGACAUAGUAGUUUCGCAUUUGUGUAAUGCAAUUGCAAUACGUCACUAAGUAGGUUCAUUGCGCGUAAUGUGAUCACCAUAUCUUUCUGUAUUGCAUGCUUAAUUUUAGGCGAUAAGUCACAAUUCUUGAUCAUAGCAUGCAAAAUGCUCACUAUGUACCUCUUCAUCGCGUAAUACAUAAAUCCUCAUUCAAUAUAAGUUUUCUUACUGCUUGCCCAGGUGCAAUUGAAAAUAGUAGGUUUACCUUGGUGAUUCAGAAUCGAACACAGGAAAUUGCUUCAAGACAUUAGUUCUAGGAAAUUACUCAUCAAUUUAGGCAAUAUGAAAGAAUUAAAAAAUAACAAAUAUAAAAAAUGUUAAAUUAAGCUUAAUAACUAAACACGCAACGAGAGUUUGUAAAAAUGGGACAAGAAAAUGGUAUGGUAAUGCAAACUAGCUUGUAUGAUAGAAAUGAAAGAAGGAAUAUCUACGUAUUAUCAUGUGAAUAAGUAAUGAAAUAACCUUGAUGCGAUGUAACUCACUAACCAUACUUUUAUUUAAGGUUUGCUUCUCUCAAACUCGUUAUAUGCCACACAUGGUCGCUCUUGGAGAUCCAUAUGACAAAGUAUAAAUUGACGAGUUAUAUCUAGAAAGGACUACUUAUAAAUCGUAUAGGAUUCAACAAUUAAGGACUGCAACCUGUCGGUGCCCAUUGUCCACACUUUUUCUCCUUUCGUGAUACAAAUGUUGAAAACGAUCUUGCAAGGAAGGGCGAGGCUCUUCCCUACGUGCAUUAGUUAGGUCCUAGCUACUUUCUCUUUCAGGUAGUUGGAGACUUACACUGGCCAGACGAUGAGAAUAGCUGGACUAACGUAAUAGGACUUCUAAGCAACACUUCUUAUCAAGAACUCACUACUACGAAACUAGCAAUACUUGACGCAAUGUAGCGGGCAAGCGACAUUUUGGCAACCCACAUCAAGUAACGUUUGGGCAACCUACUAUCGACAACCUCACAUUAUUUCAAAUGACCCACUCCUUCUCAUCGACGGUGACCCAUGGCUGACGACAACUCGAAGAGAAAGGUACCUAGUAUUCUUUUCUCUUUGUCGAUUAUCUUUAAUUAAAUUGUUCUAUCUUGUUCCCUUCCAUUUUGAGGUUUUCAGUUUAUACUACGCUAAUGUUUUGGUUGGAACGUCGUCGUUAGAUUUCUUUAUGGCAUUGGACAUCGGAAGCGAUUUGUUUUGGUUACCAUGUGAAUGUUCCAGUUGUUUUACUCAUUUAAACACAUCAAAUGAAGGAAAGGUAUUUAAACCAACUAUAUGCAAAUCUUGAAGUUGAUGUUCUCUUUGAUGAAAUCAACUGGUUAAUUCUUGUUUUGUUUAUCUUUCUACAAUAUGUUUUUUUUUUUUUUUUUGUCAAUUUCCUCUUUAUCUUUUUGUUAUUUUCUUAGUCUAAUUAUUGAAUAAAAGAAUAAGGAAGAAAGAGAAAGCACAAAAGUUGGGGCUUUGCUCUGCUUUACGUUCCCUUCCAAGCUAAAGAACAUAGAAAAAAUGGGUUUCAUUUGGAGGCUUUAAUCGUUUCCCUUUUCUCUUGAGUGUUGCUUAUCGAUCAGUAAGAGAUUUAGUGUUAAAAUUACAUGUUUCUUAGCAUUAUUGAGGCUUGUUUCUUUAGUCUUUUUGGACCGUGGUUUGUGCUUUUCUUCAUGGUUUCUCUUAUUAGUUAUUAGAAUCAAGUUUUGCAUUUUCUCUUUUGAAUGAUCGUAUGAAUUCUUAGACCAUGAGAAUCUAUUGCGGCUUCACUAAUUGUCAGUUUUUUUUUUUUUUUUGUCAACUUAAUUAAGAAAUGAUUCCCAGUCAAUAUGCAGUUACAUCGUUGAAGAGGUUAUUUUCUGCUCAUUUUGAUAGAACUAAGACAUGCACAGCGGAAAAAGAAUCGAAUUUCUACCAUAAUUGCCAUAAUUAACAUGUAACCCUAAAACAAUCAAAUUAGGGUUUUAGAAAAUAUUACCUUUCAAGCUUUCAAAAAACUUCGAUACCUCCUUAGCAAUUCAAACCGAGACUACCACUAGCACUCAACUACUAUCCUAUGGACAAAGAACCGGGUUGUGGGACCCAAUAUGGUGUAGAAAGUAAUGGAGAUAAAAGGGGAUUGGAAGGUAGAAGUUUUUUUUUCCUUGGUUGAGAUAUUGGAGAAUGAUAAAAAAUGCAAGUUUUCAACCAUUUGAAAACACCCCUAUUUAUAACCUAAUUACAUGCAAAAAUGCAUGUAAUUAGUUUGCCAAAUCUCAACACCUAAUGUUCCACUAACAAUUAGUGGAACUUAGUGGGCUAGGUGUCUACAUCUCAUAUAGCCACAUACCCACUAAGAGUUAGUGGGAUUAUCCAACAAAAUGUCGGAUUUUUCCACUAACUUAGUCCAAGGGUAAAAUGGUCAUUAGAUAUUUCAAGUCAAAAGUCAAACUUUGACUUUUCUGACCAUUUUGUCAAACUUGACUAAUUCCAUCCUUCCGAGCAUGAAUCCGCAUUCAUUUUUUUAAAAUUCAAAUCAUAUUUGAAUAUAAGACCGGUCAAAGUUUGACUUUUCAAAGUCAAAAGUCAACAUUUUGACUUUUUACAAAUUUUGACUAAUUCCAUCAAUUCUGAGCUUCUUAGUAUGAAUCCACAUUCAUACUUAUAGUAUGUAAAACAUAAAACUCUAUUUCUAAUUAGAAGAUCGACGACUAUAUCACUAUAUUUGUCGGUUUCUCUUUCUUCUCCCAAUUCGAACAAUUCGACUUAUUUCAUCACACUGUUCUAAGUUUAAUCCAUAUGAGCUAGCAGGGGAACCUAAUGGACCUAUAGAUCAUGGGCUCCAACUAUUCAAGAUUAACUAGCUAAACUCUUUUAGACCGAGUUAAUCAACAUUCGUUAACUGACGGGUCAUUCCACUAAAGUCCCGUAGUUGCACUUCCCUCACUAUAGAUAUAGUUGUGCCCAUUUGAUAAAACCAUAAUCAGUAAGUUAAUCCUUCACAGGUUGCUCGUAACCUUGGCUGGGUCAAAAUACCAUUUUACCCCCAAGAUUACAUCUUGCUCCUUAAGUCCCACUAAUCCACUAUUGAACAAUUGGUUUAAGGUUCAACCUAUAAACUUAAUCCCUAUUGGGCCAAUGAGAGGGUGAGGCCCCUUGUUCAAGACUUGGAUUCAGUGCUUAAGAGAACAAUCUAUCUACUAACCCUAAAGCGAGUAGGAGUGAAUUCCAUUUUGUACCCUAUGUUCCCAGCUAUCCACCCGAUCUUACCCCUUAAAUGGAAGGCUUAUUGGGCCAACGUUGAUGAGCUGCCCUCACCUAUGCAGAUCUAAGAAUAAUCUCGUGUGCACAGGAGUUCAUAGUUAACUCAGGAUUAAGAUUAAGUUACCUAGGUCAUCAAUAAUCGAGAUAGUCAAUUUUAAACAGUAAAUGGUGUUAUAACGUAAAAAAGACUAAUUCAUGGUUCAGUCUUAUGUAAACACUUUACAUAGGAUGCCCCUACUUUUAUGUCUCUACAUGAACGAUUCAGGAUCACCUCGUUUGUACUACAAAGUGGGCCGCAUCCAUAGUUUCUCUAAAUAAGGCGCCCAACCUUUAUUCAUAUACUAUAGAAUAUUUAGGCUAUAUAUACUCGAACUUGAUCCACGUUUAUGUUUACACAUAAAGUUCAAGUUUAUUCAAAAAGUAGCCUUGGAACUUGAUUUAUUGGAUUUAGGAUUAUAAUAUUUAAUUUCUCAAUAACAACUUUAUUGAAACAGAAUAUGAUUACAAACUACGAGUUUUAUGACAAAAAAUUCCAACACAUUUGUCUUUCAGCUGUCUAACAUUAGAAGAGACCAAGGGAAUUGUCUUUUGAAUUUCCUUUUGGGGUUCAAUAUGAGGUAUGAAGGGGAAAAAAUGGAAAUGUGAUAUUUCAGUAAUAGGUGAAAUAACCAUGCCUAAGCUUUUCUUAGCUUGCUACUGAGUUCAUUAUCCCAACUUUUGUAUACAUUCUUUGAUAUUUUUUUUUGUGGAAAAGUACAAAUGUAGUGUGCUUUGAUAUUGUUGAUAGCAUAGUUUGGGUUUAGUGGCAAUCAUUAAGGUAACCUUGCAAAUUCUCAAUUUCUAAGGUCAGUUGCAGUGCCAAUACCAUACAAGCUACAAUACUAUACAAGCUUCACAUUCUACCUUUGAUUGGUGUGUUAAGACACUUUACUAUUCUUUGACAUGUUGGUCCUAUCUCAUGUUUGCUUGUUGAAGAAGAAAUUAUUGUACCUUUUAGUUAUUUACUCAUUUUACUUGUUAUUGCAUAAUUAGUUUAUACUAAUUAGUUGUAAGAAAUUUUCACUUUCUAAUGUACCGUCUUCUUUACCUUUUAUUUUAAGUCACUAUUUUCUAAUACAACAUUUUUUGGACUUUUGAACAUAGAUUUUUAUGAAAUGAGGAAGUUUUAAUUCUUGUUAAAUCUUAACUGAAAUAGGUGCUUUAGUUAUUUGUGAAAGAGAAUGUUGUCAAGUUACUUUAUGCCUCAUUGUAACAAGUUCAAAGGAGAAGUAAAUUUGUUUUAGGCUAAGUUAUAAAAACUAUGGCUGGAGUUUGGAAAGGAGGAAAUAUUGUAGUAAAUUUGAGAUUCCAAUUCUAUUUGCACCACAAACACUUCUAUUUGUCUCUUUAAAACCAAUCAUGUUCUUUUUAAUUGAGUAUGCUGAAUUUGUUAAUUGUUCUCUGUCAUGUUAGCAUGCUUUGGCUGCGAUUGUCAUCUUUGUUGUAACAACUUUGGUAAGCAUUGCUAAUCUAGCAAAUUUUUUUUGUUAGCUUGAUACUCUGAUCAUGUUAACAAAUGAUGAUUAAAUGAACUUGAUUGAACUAAUUGUGAAAGCUGUGUUUAUUUUCAUUUGUUGAUUGUGAAAGUUGAUUAAUUUUCACUUGAUUGAACUAAUAAUGCUUGUAUGUGCAUUUGAGAAACCAAAAUAUGAUUCUAGGAUUAUUGGAAACUUGCACAGGAACUAGAAUAGUUAUAGUAGCACUUGGGCGAUAAAUGAAUGAAAAGCUAUUGUAACCUAAGCCAAAUAAAAGUCAAGAACCUUCUCAAUCUAUUUUGACUAAGCUGGAGGAAGAAUUUUUGUGUUGUGCCAUUGCUUGAUAAUUCAGAGGAAGUUUGAAGUAGUAAUAGAAUAUAUGAGUUAGAUUCCCUUCCCCCCACCCCAAUUUCGGGGUAAGGAAAAAGAAAUUAACGAAAAAUGGUCAAAGUUAGGAGGCAAGUUAGUUCCUCCAUUUACAUGGGAUGUGCACCACUUUUGGAGGAUCGGGUCAAAUCAUUGAGGUUUGAUGUAUAGUUAAAAAAAUUUAGUUCUUUUAACCUUCUUCCUUUCUAAUCUUGUUUCAGUGAUUUAUUUCUUGGUUUUUCUUUUCUGGUUUGCUUUAGGAAUCAUGUGGGCAAUGCAGGGGAAUGGGGGUUGUGGAGGGUGCCAUGAAGGUUACAGUUACUAUACCUAAUGGUUGUUUAUCAUGUUGGAUUUUGACUGAUAAAAUAUAAUGAAUAUACAAUGUAGAAUAACACUUUCUUUACGUAACUGCAACACUUUAGUCUGCUUAAAGAAUUGAAAUUAAUUAGAUUGCAUUAGAUAUUAUUUCUUUUAGUUGUCUGUUGUCUAUUUAGAAUGCACUUCCGUUUAGUGAAAAAAAAGAAGAAAGAAACGGAAAGAGAUAACUCAAUUUCCUAAAUAUUUAAUUUUUUUAUAAAAGUAUUUUAUAUUUUCAAAAAGUUGAAUUGUUAAAUCAACCAAUUUUUUCUACUACAAGUCUUUUAUUAAACUUUGUUUUUUUCUUAUUAUUUUACAAUUUCAACAAAAAUAUUUUACAUAAAUGAAAAAUAAAAUAAUACAAUUGGUCUGUACUGUACUGUGGUGUAUUGUGUGUGCGGUCCAAAUUGUUUUUAUACAAAAUCAAUUUAAAAAUUAAUACAUAUUUGAGUAUAAACAUUAUUUUAAUACAUUUUUUUUGUCAUUUUGGAAACCGUAUUAACAAAAUAAAUAAGUUUAAACAAAUGCAAAAAAAAAAAAAUACAAUUUUUGUUUGUAUUUGGUUUACAUCAAACAUUCCAUAAGCAUUUCUUACAUAUUAAAAAAAAUAGCAUAUUUUUUUUAAUGUAUUGGAUUUAGGGAUCAAAUUGAACUACGAAUUGAAGACAAAUGAAAAAUUAAAUAACACAGUUCUGUGUGAAUUGAAUUUACGGUAUAAAUUUCAUAAACAUAUUUUACACCACCAUACAAAAAAUUAAUACACUUUAUUUUGUAUACUUGAUUUAAUGUUAUAAAAGAAAGACUAAACUACUAUACAAAUGAAAAAAAAAAAAAAACUUUACUUUUGAAAGUAUAUUAGGUGUACGUUACAAGUAAAAAAAUAUUUAUACAAAAUCAACAAAAAAAAAGAAAACGAUACAAAUUUUUUGUGAAGGCUUGGAUUAGGGCACAACCUAAGUGAAAAAUUGGUUGUAAAGAUUUUAUGGUACGAACAAUUUACACAAAUGCAAAAAAUAUUAGCACAUUUUUCAUUUUGUAUUGGGUUCGUGACAAAAAAAAAAAAACAAUAAUUUCAUUUUCAAGAAAAAAAAAUUAUGUAUUUUUUCUCAUAUUGGGGUUAACGUACAAAUAAAAAAAAUUACACAAAUGAAAAAAAUACAAUUUUUUUGUCAUAAUCCUUUCCACGUAAUGCUUCCCCCAAAUAAUCAUUUUUCCAAACAAAGGUUAUAAUAAUCCUUCGUAAUUCUUUCGGUUAAUCAUUCCUCCAAACAAAGAUUAUAAAUAAUCUUCCAUAUUAUUCCUUUCACUUAAUCCUUCUCCCAAACAAGGAUUAUAAUAAUCCUUUCCUCCACUUAAUCCCCGUUUCUUAUUCCUUUUUUCCCUUUUUCCUUUUCUUCCUCAAAACGGCCCUUUCAAGUCUUACUUGAAACAGACUUGUGGAGUAUUAUACUUGAACUGAAGAGAAAAUGAGAUAUUACAAUGAAUUAAACUUGAAUGUGGUGUCCAAAAACUUAAGUUAGGUUACAUUUGAAUGGUUCACAAGAAUUGUCCUCAGUGUUCUUUAGUUUUAGUUGUAUGAUUAUUGGAACAACUUUUAACUCAAAAGAAUAUAUGAAACUUUACAAUGAUUUCUAUUUCAUAUAGUUGUUUUUUAAUAUAUUUUGUUUGUAACUUUUGUUGUGCAUUAGGGGUUGAUUCUGGAGAUACCAUUCGUGUACCAGAAGCUGGUAAUAGUGGGGGAAGAGAAACUCAUCCUGGCAACUUGAUCGUUAAAUUGAAGGCAAAAACAACUAAUAUUUUUCUUUAGCUUACUUUACCAAUGUUUGUUCUUGAAAAAGCACAUGUUUUGCUGUUGAGAUGUUUCUGUUAGUCUCAUUGAGUUUUGUGUGAUACGUUUCCUUCUAAACCAUCUUAUCAUUGCUAAUGUGCUCAAAUCUUACAGAUCUAUUGUAUUGCAUAGUUUCUUCCAUUAGUACACCCCCUGCCCUAAAACUGUUGAUUACUAUACUAGAAUAUGAAGUUUUAAAGGAGGUGGCAUACAAGGCUACUUAAAAUGGUUUAAUAUUCAUGGAUGAAAAACUAUCUGAUAUACACUAUAAGCUUAUGACAAAGCACAAAAUUUUCUUUGCAAGGUUCAAAGUUUGCAGCAUCAUUAACUCUGUACAUCCCUUUCAUACAAUUAAUUUUGCUUAAGAUUAGGGUGCUUUCAGAUUUGAAAUUCUAUCUUUCUAACUGUAUUGAAUUAGCAUUUUUACAUGGUUUUUAAAUAUAAAACACAACCAUGUGUGCAUCUAAUUUGUUAUAUCAACAACAAUUUUAUGAUUUAUUAUAUUGCAUCUUACAAUGUGUCGUAGCUUUAUGGUUAAAUAAUGGUUGCACUAUCAAGGUCUUAGAAUGCCAACGCUAGGAGUACAAUCACUAAUGGGAGCAUAGUAGUCAUCAAUUUGGUAUGUUGUGUUUAAAUUAUUAUUUGAAUUAUUUUCUACGGUUCAAGUAAUCAAAGUAUUAACUUUAAUAUUUUGGGUUUCAUAUCAGAUUGAUACAAAGAGUCCAUAUAGUCAAUUCGAGUUGGAUGAAGUGUGAAUGAAGCUUGCUAAAUUUUUGGGUGGCCACAUUUGAUUAUGGUGAUUAUAUUUUGGGUUAGAUAGACAAGUUUUGUUGAUACUAGAUAUGAGUGUGAUAUUUUGUUGAUAUACUUGAUAUGGUUAGGUGUAUUGGUUUUAUUGAUAUUUUGUUGAUACACCUAUAGUUAGGCUAUACAUAGAUAUGAAAAGUUUAGGCUAACUAUAUGUAUGUACAUGGUUCAUUGAUAUAUAUAUAUGUAUAUAAUAUAUUAAAAUAUUAUAAGUUUUUUUAUGGAAAAAAUUUAGUUGAUUCAAUUGUUAAAUUAAUGUGUACUUUAGCACAUUUGUACAUGUACUCUCUUUCUUUACUUAUAUAUGUUUGAUAUUGUUGAACUUCAAAACAGGUACAAAAUCAAUUAUAUAGAGAUAUUUUAAAAUAUAUAAUUUUUUAUUUAAAAAAAAAACUUGACAUGCAAAACGUGUCAAGAGUAAACAAAUUCUUGACGUAGAAAAUGUCAAAAAUCUUAUAUAUUUUACGUUUCUAAAUAGUUAAGUACAAUUUUACUUGAUGAGUAAACACUCUCAAACAAAAAUUAUCUUACUCUUGACACUGGAUUACUUAACGCGUAAAAAACGUCAAGUAAUCUCAUAAUACUUUAUGCUUUUUACCUGUUAAGUAAACUAGGUUUACUUGACGCUUAAAAACUAUCAAGUAAACCUUCAUUUUUCUAAACGAUCAUGUACAAAGGAAUCUUGAAAAAGAAAUCUAAACGAUCUUGAUACAAGCUCGUGUACCAAAUAUAUUACACGCGUGAUUGUCAAUUAAUCACGCGUUGAGGGAGCAUUUUGAUAUUUUUUAUUAUGGGUCUUUGAGUUUUUUUCGUUUUCAAAAUUAUUUUAUUUGAUAUAAAUAUUUUGCAUUUUUGUUAUACUUUGAACGGUUAGCCAUUUUUAAUAUAAUAUCAAUAUUUUUACGUCUAAUCUCGAAUAAUAUAAUACAAACACGUUUCUCAAGUGCAAUAUUUCAUGUUGGAGUUUUGUUUAGGACAAAAUAAAACUCAUAUAGGAGACUGAGUUUGUUGAGCUUGGGAAUGUGACAAUCUAAUGUCAAACUUUUUAGCUUGCACGCAACACUGAAUAAUAUUUCAAACACUCCUGCUUUCUUUGAAUUGAUUCCAAUCCAUAUUUCAUUACUCAAUUUCUAAAUAAUCAUAUCAUAUGCCAUUUUUAAUUAUUAACAUUCAUAUCUAAAAAAAAAUUACUAUAUUUUCAACUAUCCCUAAAAUGUUUUAGUUAAUAGAAGAUCAAAAUAAACUAGUAUAUCAUAAAUACACAUAUAAUACUCUAUUUACAUCUAUCACAUAUAGAUUAUAAAAUUUUAUUAUAUUUAAAAAUUAUAUCAUUUAAAAUAAUUGUUCAUUCCAUAGAUAGGAUAUAGUACUUUUGUCUUUUUAUGAUGAUAGGUUGAAUUUAAACUGCAAUCAGCUAGGAAAAGAAGGAAAUUUAGUGUUAUUUUAAGAGAGAUGGUUAACCCUUUGAAGUCAUAUAAAAAGUUAAAAUAAAUCUAUAUAUAUACUCAUUUUGUAACACAAUUUUGUUGGGAAGAAUACACCUUUCUUAUUUAAUAAAAAUAAAACACAUAUUGAAUAUAGUUUUGAUUGGUUUCAAACAUUCAAAAUGUUAUUUUUUAUUUAUGAAUUUUUUUCUUAAGAAACGAAAACAAACUAACAACCCAGACGAGUGAUAAGAGGAUAAUAAAGGCUGGACAAACACCAUCAUAAUAAGAAAAAAGGCUAGAAGAGGAGGCCAAACAAACUAAAUUAUGGAUAACUUUGUUCUCUACGUCUACCAAUUUUACCAAAAUAUAAAUUGAAAAAUUGUAUCAUAUUUAGAAAAGAAAACAACUCAUAAAACAUCAUUUAUACAUAUUGCGAAUAUGACAAAUAUGACAAGUAAUUAGUGAUAUCAAACGGCUAUCGGAAGACUAUCAGAGGGUUAUCGACUUUUAAAUUUACUAUUUUUUGUAAUUUAGAAAAUGUAGUGACAUGAAUCCUAUUAUCAUAAGUUUUUUUUGUUGCUUUUGCAAGCACUCCAAGUAAAUUUACAUAGGAAGCAAGGUUACGUUUAAAGCCCCCUUCACAGAAAAAAAAAAACACCCUCGAAAAAAUCAAAAUCCACAAAGUUCACUCAUAACCUCUAAAGAUUUACAUUCGAUCUUCAUCCAAGAACUUUGGCCAUAUCAUCAACGAUCCAACUCCUCCUCAAGCCUUCAACAAUGACCUUAGAUUUAAGAAAGGGUACUUACAAAAAUAGCAAAAUAAUAUAUGAUAACAGGAUGCAUGUCACUAUAUUUUCUAAAUUGCAAAAGUAGAAAAUUUAAAAGUCAAUAACCCUAUGAUUACCAUCUGAUAAUCGUCUGAUAUCACUAAUUUUUUCAUAUUUGCAAUAUGCAAAAAAUAGGUGCCAUGAGAUGUUUUUUUAAAAAUGUUUUUGUUAUUUGAUGCAAUUUUCCCUUUAAGAACCUGCACAACCUAUUUGUAACCAAUGAAACUUAUAACCUUUCAAAAUAAGCUCAUCCAGCGAAUCUCUCAAGAUCCAACUAGCUUAAACCCUUCUCUAACGGAAUUUGACAAAGUUGCAUUCCAAUAUAAUGACCCUUCAUGGGAGCAACCUAAACCAUACUUUAAGAGGAUGUACCUCAACGAGGAAUGAUAGAAGGGGAGCACAAGGCGUUGUAAAAGAGAAAAUAGCCACAAAGGACUCCAAAACUUGAAAGACAGUGUUUUCAUUAAACAUCACUAGUAUUUUCCCUUACUUCCAUAAUCUCCCAAGUAUUGUAACAAGUUUCGAGAAGUGCCUUUUAUGAUAAUUUUUUUUUUUUAAAUUUACUCCCAAUAAUUACAAGUUGAUUAAGAACCCCCUACAAACCAAAAAACACAAAAGCAUUAAAAGGAAAGAAAAAAAAAUCUAAAUGGACUCGAAAUCUUCCACCUUUUAUUAUGAUACAUGCUUUUGAAAUGCGUCUGAUAAAAUAGAGGUGUACGAAUAAUCCAACAACGUGGACUACCAAACCCAUAUUAUAUGGGUUGAAUUGGGUUAGAUUGAAAUGUGGGCUGGGUUGAGUUAAAAAUUUUGAUUUUUUUCAAGUUGGGUUGGGUCAUAUAUAUAUAUAUAUAUAUUUAUUUAUAUUACAUAUUACAUAUCUUUUAUUUAAUAAAAGUAAAGUUAGGAGUAUUUUAUUAAACGAUCAUGUACGAAGUUAAACAAUCCUAUGGGAAGUUAACUAAUCGUAUAAGAAGUAAAUGAUCAUUUGAAGGUAGAAAGCUAAAAAAUCGUGUAGGAAGUUAAACGAUAGUAUGAAGAGUGUAAGAAGUAAACGAUCGUCUAAAGGUAGAAAGCUAAACGAUCGCGUAAGAAGGUAAACGAUUGUUUAGAAAGCUUGUAAGCCCUCGUUCUUUUCUCCUUUUGUUUAUUUUAAUAUUUUCAAAUGAGUGAAAAACAAGUUUAAAUCUAAUUGUAAAUUCUUUAUGGAUUGAAUCUUUUUGUGGGGAAAAGUUUAGAAUCAAUUUUAUUUUAGGUAUUGACUAGGAAAUUUAAAAAAUGAUGGAAAAACUAAGAAAAUAGCCAAGAUUGAAGUUUGGUUUUGGAAUUGAAGGCAUAAAGGUCCUUUCAUAUUUUAUUUAUUAAAAAAGAAAAACAUCUAAACUCUCUUUCUCCUACUCAAUUUUUCUAAAUCAUCAACCACCCAUCCUCCUCUCGAAAUUUUCCUUCCCCUUCGUUUCUCUAUUCCACCAACCGUCUCUCUCACGUAUGUCGGGAACUUCCACCUUUGUCGGGAACUUCCACAAUGCUUAAAACUUUACACGUGUAAAUUUAAUAUCAUGCUUAAAUCGUUAAUCUUACACGUUAACCUUUGUUAAAUCAAAUUGACAUUUUCUUUGUUAGACAUUUUUUCUAACCUAACUUCAUAUUGCGAAUAACUUCAACCACUUAACAUUUCUCGUAAAUAACCUUAUCAUGUGGUAACAUUUUUACUCCAAGAAACCUUCCUCGCGAACUAACCAAUUUUUACUCUCAUAGAACACUUAUCGCGAACUUAAACUUCAAGGUUUCCUCACAGACUUCUUUUACACGAAACACUUGGUUCUUCUCGUGAAGACUAUCCAAAACGCCUAGUCUAAAACUUAGUCAAAACUUUCACUUCUUAACUUAAAUUUCAGGUACAAGUCUUAAUAAACUAUGAAAUGAUGAGUUACUCUAAAAUGCCAAUUUCCUUAUAUUUGAUUAUAAGGUUGAACGACAACUUGAGUUGUUUGAUAGUGAUUGAUAAAAAAGCUCACUCACUAAGCAUUUUCAUGUAACCUUUCAAAUGUUUAUUUCAUUUCUCCCUAGGUAGUGGGGACAUCCAGCGUUGAACUUACAGUCGUGAUUGCCUUUUGUGUCUUGUAAUCACAUCAUUUUGGUAAUGGCCACUAUCAUUCUGCAUAACAUGUAGGGGUUAGACGAGUAAAGUCGCGUCAGUUCGUAUUUUGUAUCUUUUAGGGGACUUGAGUACCUACGAUUAAGGUACCCUUAUAUUUGUUCAUCAAUGAAGUGUUCUUUUUUUUUUUUUUCAAUAUUACCUCCCGCAUUUAAAAUUCUAAAUUAUGAAUUUGUUCCACUUACUAGGCGUUUGGCGCAUCAUUUCCCGAGAAAGAUGUCUUGAAUGUCUAGACAACACACCCUCCAUUUCUUGCAAAGGUGUGAAAACUACGCAAGGAAACCUCUCAUUGGAGACAUACUAUGCCAAAAUUAUGACAAUAUGGUAAGAAAUUUUUUAAUAUCACCCCCUUGAUGACUGCACAUGCGGUGGAUUAAAGAAAAUGAUAGAGUUUCUUGAAUGUUGAAUUUGUGAUGAUUUUUCUAAUGGGUUAAAUGAGUCUUUCUCUCAAAUCCGAGCAUAGAUUCUUCUCAUUAAUCCUCUGCCACCAAUUAAUAAAGUUUUCUCCCUCAUCAUCCAAGAAGAAGAACAAAGAUCCAUUGGCACAUCUCCAUCUACCACAACUAUUACCCUGAUAACCAGAACUAAUAAACGAACUUCCUCUAAUUGUUUCAAAAAGAAAGAUACACAUCCAAUCUGCUCUAACUAUGGUUACGAAGGCCAUGUAGUUGACAAAUAUUACAAGUUAUAUGAUACCCAUCCGACCAUAGACUUGUGAACUGCAACUCAGUGCAUCAACAAAAAUAGAACAAUUUUGUCCAAGCUGGAACUGAUAAAGGAACAAAAGCAUCUAAACCAAAUCAAUCUGCAUUCUUUUCGAGUCUCAGCAAUGAUCAAUAUUCACAACUUCUAAAUAUGCUACAAACACACCUCAAUGUUUCCCAAAAUGGUGAAAAUUCUAAAACAGAAACUACUCAUGUAGCAUAUACUUGUCUUUUUACUCUACUUACCAACUGUCAAAAUUAUCUAAUUUAGGUCAUUGAUUUCAGUGCAUCAACACAUAUUUGUCAUGACAAAUCAAUUUUCAUUGUUCUUCGUAGUGCUUAGAAUAUGUAUGUUAUUUUGCCUACUAAAACACGUCUGACAGUUGAAUUCUUGGGUGAUAUUUUCAUAACAAAGGAUGAGGUACUACGUGAUGUUCUUUACAUACCAUUUUAGUAUAAUUUACUAUCAGUAAGUGCAUUCCUCAAACAUAAAAAUACUCUAUUUUCUUUUCUAACAUCGAUUGCAUCAUCCAGGAGAAGUUGCUUUCGAAAACAAUUGGAAAUGUUGAAUUCAUCAAUGGGGUUUACCUACUCAAUAUAUCAAGAAAAGGAUAAAAGUUGCUCAAUUAAACACACUACUUUGAUAUGUAAAGCUUCAACAUCUAUUUGGCACAAACGAUUGGGACACCCAAUCAACUGGUCAAUUAAAGGACCUAUCACACGUGCUAGAAUUUUUUUAUUCUUUGAAAUGUAAAGAAAAUAUGUCAUAUUUGUUCUCUAUCUAAAUAACAUCGUCUUUCCUUUCCUGCCUUAAAUAAUAUUGGUGAACAUAUUUUUUACUUAGUACAUUAUGACAUAUGAGGUCCUUUUAAAACCUAUACACAUGUCAGUUGUUCUUAUUUUGUCACUAUAGUUGAUGAUAAAUCAAGAUACACUUGGAUCUAUCUCUUGAGAAAUAAAAGUGAUGUUUUAGAAGUCAUUCCAUGUUUCUUUAAACUCAUUGAAACUCAAUUUUAAAAAGUAAUUAAAACCUUUCGUUCUGACAACGCCCCCAAAAACUAAACUUCAAGGAAUUUUUUGCUACCAUUGGUACUAAACAUUAGUUUCUAGUGCUAAUUACACUCACAAUAGAAUUCGAUUAUUGAAAGAAAGCACCAACACCUUCUCAAUGUAGCAAGGGCUUUUAUGUCCCAAUCUAAAGUACCUACAACCUUUUGGGGGGAAUAAUGUGUACUAACUGUUGCCUAUCUAAUAAACAGAAAACCCAUGGUUCUGCUUUCAAACACGACUCCCUUCACUGUCCUAUUUGGAAAUUAAGAUGCAGAUUAUACAUACAUAAAGGUGUUCAGGCGCUUUGCCUACACUUCUACACUAUCUAUCAACAGAUCCAAAUUUGAUCCAAGAGUACAUCCUUGCGUCUUUAUGGGAUUUCCACCAGGUAUGAAAUGAUAUAAUCUGUAGGACAUAACUCAAAGAAAAAUUUUUGUUUCCAGAGAUGUCUUGUUCUUUGAAGAGCAUUUGCCCUUUCGUUUCACUAAAGAAGACACCAACUUUGUCACACAUGAUUUCCUAGAGCAGUUUGUCAUACCUUGCCCCCUAUUUGAAAUCUUUGAGAAGAAAAGUGACAACCAUCUCCUACAUACGACAUACAUGAAACCAUUCACAAAGCAAAUCAUGACGAAGAUCAUACUAAUGAAAACCAUAAUCGCUACAAGAAAAAUGGCCUACGAAGACAGUUAAAAUCUAUCAUAUUUAAAUUCUUAACAGUUUUUCAGUCAUUGUAUCACCUAUCAAGGUAUGACUAUCUAUGAUAGAUUGAAAAAAUUGUCAUAACAAAUCUCUAUUCAUGACAGAAAAUAAAUGUCACAUAUCCAAUAUUAUUGACAAAUAAUGAGUGUCAUUAUUUUAUAUUUUAUGACAAUAAUUGAUUGUCAUCAACUCACACAUAUUAGAGUAAUUAUCUGUCAUUUUUUGCAUAUUGACAACAAUUAUAGAAUGUCACAAAUUCAUAUAAUUUGACAUUUUUUUCCUAUCAAGAAUUUGACAAUCUUGACAGUUUUUUAAAAAUCAAAUGUCAUAUACUCCUUUAUUACUACAUUUUUUUACAAGAAAAUACAUUAAAUGACCAUCUCUAUUUUUCUUUCUGCCUUACUAUUACACAGACCAGUUCAAUUACAAAGUACUUUUGAUACAACACACUCAUAUGGAAACAAACAGUCAACACUUUAAUAUAUAUACCUUAGCAUACACUUUGUAAUAUUUGUACAAAAAGAUGACUAAUAACCAUUUUUGGUAAAGGGUUUACAAUGAAAAAAUAAAUAGAGACGUCUUUUGCUACAAACAAGCUUAAAAUAAGUACAUUGCAACCAAAAUUUUUGCUACCAACCCUACAAAAACUCUUAUAAAUCAAUCAAUUGCUCCAAUAUGGCUUCACCCAUCCAAUAGAUUCUUGCAAAACCUAGUAAGAAAAUAAAAUAUCAUUUUAGAGUAUGACUCUACACAUCAAUAUAAGAAUAUAACAAGGUUUUACUCUUUGUAAUGCCAACAAAGGUACAAAUGUAAAAGAAAAUCAACUUUUGAUAUCCAUGAGUCUCCCAAUCAACUUUAACACACCUCAACUAAUCUCAAGGUCAAGAAACCUUGUAGGAUUUUAAAUCUAUGGUAUGAGACCACUAUAAUUCGAACUCAAUCACUCAGAGAUUUUUUUUUUCAACGGUCUCCAUGACAAUACUUCUAGCCCUUGUCACUUCUUAUAAUUGGCCCCUUAUUACUCAAAUGGACAUAAACAACACUUUCUUAAAUGGAGAUUUUUUCUGAAGAUGUUCAUAUGUCCUUACUAAUGGGCUAUAACUUUCAAAGUGCUAAGAAAAGGGGAGAAACUAGCCUACAGACUAAAUAGAUCAAUCUACGAUCUUAAACAAGCUUCAAGACAAUGGAUUGUUAAGUUUGCAUCAACAUGAUCAUUACACGGUUUUCAUCAAUCAAAGUUCGAUUAUUCAUUAUAUACUCUAGGCAACGAAGAUGGUUUUGUGGCACCUAUUAGUAUAUCUAGACGACAUAUUACUAACUAGACCAUCCCUCAAGUAAUUGACUCUGUUAAAAGUGUUUUAGAAAGGACACUAUAAACUCAAAGAUUUGGAACAAGCUAAAUAUUUUAUGGGCUUAAAACUGUCUUGUUCUAAAAAAGGACUCAUGCUUUCCAAAAGAAAAUAUUGUCCGCAGAUACUUGAAGAUAUGGAUUUUUUAGAUGCAUAAAUCAGUAACGUUGCCUAUGGAUCCCAAUCUAAAACUCUCAAAAGAUGAAGUAAAAUUCAUUGUUGACGAGGAUAUCACUUGCUACACAAGAUUGAUUGGAAGAUAUUAUAUCCACAAAUAUCUCGUUCAGAUAUUUGUUUUGUUGUCCAUCGCCUUAGUCGGUUCCUUCAAAGGCUCACAAAAACUCAUUUAGAUACCACACGCCACUUGUUGAAAUACUUGAAGAGAUCGUCAGGCCAAGGCGUCUUGAUCAAACCAGUUGCUACUUUUCACCUAAUAGCCUUUGUUGAUGUUGAUUAGGGAGUAUGUCUCAACACUGGUCGAUCCAUAACUGGCAUUUGUAUCUUUUUGGGAGAUUCCAUAGUUUAUUGGAAGUAAAAAAAAAAAAAAAAAAAAAAGCAAGUCAUAGUCUCGAGAUCGUCUACAAAAGUCAAAUAUAGAGCACUAGCUUUAGUUACAAGUGAACACGUAUGGAUUACACAAUUACUCACUAAUCUACUUGUAAGACCCUCGUUACUAACAAUAGUAUUCUAUUCUAUGAUAAGCAGGCCACAACUGCAAUUGCUUCCAACCCAACAUUCCAUGAGAGGGCUAAACACACAUAGAUUGACUGCCACUUUGUUAGAGACAAAAUCGUCGAUGGAUUCCUCGAAGUCGUGCCCAUCAAAUCUAGACUACAACUAGCAUAACAAUUGGAAGUUUGUUAGGGUAAAGAGGUAGGAGCUUGUUAGAAUAUGUUAAACAUCAAACUUCCCCAACAAAGGACUUGAGCUUUGUAUUUAAUUAAUUGGUGGAGUUAUUUUCUGAUAGUAAGAUAAGUUCCUUUAUUCAACACUUGGUUACAUCUUAGAGUGUUUAAAAUCUUUUGAAAUAUAUACAUAUAUAUAUAUAUAUAUAUAUAUACACAAAGAUUCAAAUGUAACACAUUAUAGAAGAAAGAGGUUAUGUUAAUUAAACAUUGAACUCAUGUUAUCUACGUCUCUUUGAUUUUGCAAAUUGUGAUAUGGGGAAAAAAAGAGGACCACUACCUAGAGGGAAGAUUCAAAAGCAUGAUACGUGUAAGGCUCCAUCACCCUCCCUUUAGGAGUAAUCUACAUCCAGCUGGACAUACACAACACAUGAGAAAUGAUGCUGACAUCGACCAAAGGUCCCACGUGUCAUCUUUGUCAUACAAGGAUUAGGUUGCUUAUCGUGUGGUCAUCACAGUCCUUUCUUCUCGAAUUUACCCGCAACGCCACCGCCCACUUUGAUAUUUCAUUCGCCCUCUAUAUAACUUUUCCAAAAAUAUCUCACAUUUCAACUUUUACCCGUUUCCCAAAACCAAAACAAAUUCGAGUUAUUCUUCUCUUACAUGAAUUCCCACUUUUUCUGCAACUCUAUCUUCCAUUAAUGACUACGCUCGCCAAGCUCCACGUCUACCCACAAACUUUCGAUGGUCCAAGUACUAGAGAUGGGCAUCUGUUCGGAGCUCUUGGUCCGGGACUUCACCGGUUUGAUGCUGGAGUAUCGACAAGACGUGGUCGUGGGUUGUGCUUGAGAAAGUGUAGAUCCUUCAGAGGAGGGGAUGGUGGGGAUUUUGAGAAGGAGAAUAGUAAAGGGAGGAACCGGAGAAAUUCGAGGUUAAAAGAGGUGAAAAUGAAGAAGGAAAGUCAGUUUUGGAAAUUAUUGAGGUCUGGUGUUUUGGGUAAGUUUAAUUUGCUAAUGGGAUCGGAUGUUGAUCAGGGGAAGCUUAUGGCUAAUAUGGAGGGUUUGCUUUCUUCGGUGAGUAUUGCUCUGUGUUGCUCUUCUUAUGUUCUUCGUAAACCCUGUCUCAAGUUCAUGUAUUCUUUGUUCAUCAAGCGAUAUUGAGUUGUUUGGAACAAACUUGAGGAUUUUUCAAAUAGCCCCCUGAUACAUGGUUCUUUACCAUUACUUGGCUUGUUGAGCAAAUGUGCAUGUAGUUUUAGCUCAAAUCACUGUACCUUGAUGUUCGAUUUUUUUUAGUAUAAGAAACCAAUCUUAUAAAAGACAUUAAAAAAAUAUACUCAUACAUCCUCCAAGAAUGGCUGCAUUCGAAAGAAUGAUACUAAGCUGAUAAUUACGAGAAGUUUGACAAACGGAUGCCCAUAAGGAGGCUUUAAAUCUCGCCCCCUCCAUAUUUGUUCUAAGGAAUUCAAAUUGGAAGUUUUCGUUUUCGUUUUCGUUAUUUGUUUUUAGGAUUUCGAAUUUGAAUUUCGUAUAAUUGGAUAAAGAUAUGAAUGAACAAGAAGGAAACUACUCUGGCUACUGUGGCAUCAAAUUGAACCAAAGCCAACUUAAGUCGUAAAUGUAUAGAUCUAUUUUUUUCUAUAUGGUAGAUUUGAUGUAUGUAUACUCAUGAACCAAGGACAUAUGCUUUAAUUUUUUUAUUGGAGACUGUAGUAGUAUCACUGACUGUAGCUCCUUUAUUAUCUUUAAUAAAUAGGCUGCAGUCCAAAUUGGAAGAUAUAUUGUUACAAUGAUGAGCACUGGUGUCGUACUUGCUGUCGGGUUUCAGUUAUCAGGUAUACAACAUUUUAAAAUUAAAAAAAAAAAUACUAUUGUCAUUGUCGAUGUUAAUAUGAAUUCUGUUUCUUGAAAAUUAUGAAGGUGGUGACAGCCAGAUGAACACCUUGAUUUGGUAUAGUUGGCUCGGAGGGGUUAUUAUUGGAACCAUGAUUGGUGCGAACAUGGUAUUAGAGGAGCACUGCAGUGCUGGUCCACGCAAUGUUGUUAUAACUGGAAGGUAACUAAUCACUCCGCAGGGGGAAUGUAGAUAAUUGGCACAUUGUUUUAAUAAUUACGUGGUGAUAGGAAGAUUACUUUAUCUAAUGUUCAUUGUUGGCUUGUUUGAUCUUCCUUUGAUAUAUUAAACUGCCUGCCAUGCUCGUAACAUGAAGACUCAUAUAUGAUCUGUUGUCUGUUACAUGGAUGGUUGAUUAUGCAGCACAAGAGGAUUGGGGAAAGCACUAGCCAGAGAGUUUCUUCUUUCAGGAGACCGUGUUGUUGUAGCUUCUCGCAGGUGGUUUUCAGAAUUAAAUUAAAGUUCUGAUACUUAAUAUAUCAAGGUUUUUACACCUUGCUCACAUCACAUUUCCUUGCCCAAUAAUUUUUUGAAGACAGCUCUGAAUCUGUUCAAGAAACUCUAAGGGAGCUCGAGGAAAACUUAAAAGGUCUAAUGGUCAGAAGUGGUUCUUCCAAUAAAAGCCUGGCACAUGCUAAAGUUGUUGGCACAACGUGCAAUGUUUGCGACCCUGAAGACGUUCAUAAAUUAGCCAAUUUUACUUUAAAUGAACUUGGUUCCAUUGACAUUUGGGUGAGUCAUGAACUUACAGUGAACUUUUCAUGCUCAAACUUGUACUAUAUGCUGCUUUUCUUGAAGUCUUUCUGUAAUCAUAAUUUGAUUUUAGAUCUACUGAUACAUUCUUAAAAUAGUGCCUUCAUGCCUUGUUCACUUUGAGGGAAUUUAUCUUACUAUAAAAAAAUAAGCUAUGCUUAUUCACAAACAUUUAAAUUUUACAUCAUUAAGGAUAUCAAAUCAUGCCUAUUUUCAGUCUUGUUAAAAUAAAAUCUAAUUCAAGAUUUUAUUUUAACAAAUUGUGGACAGAUAAACAAUGCGGGCACGAAUAAAGGCUUUAGACCAUUACUGCAGUUUACAGAUGAAGAUAUUACUCAGGUAAGCUAAAAUUAUUAAUUCUGAAUUUCCCCCCUAAACUUCUCUUGAUAAAUCUGAACAUAAUGUUCUCCAAUAGAUAUGAGCUCUUUGAAUAUGUUGAGCGUUGUCAGUUUAUUGGGCAUAUUUAAGAUACAACUUACAAGUUGAUUUAAUUUCAUACACUGAUUAUUUGAUAGAUUCUCUCAACAAACCUCGUUGGUUCCCUUCUUUGUACUCGAGAAGCCAUGCGUGUAAUGAGAAAUCAGGCUAAAGGAGGGCAAAUAUUUAACAUGGAUGGUGCUGGUUCAGGAGGUUCAAGUACUCCUUUGACGGCUGUGUAAGUUCAUUGGCUCUUUGCUUACUAUGAAAUGUAAAUGUAGUUGUUAUGUCUAUGAAACCAACGUUGGUUUUGGUGUUUAUGCAAUUUAGUUUACUGAAUUUCCAGGUAUGGAUCGACAAAAUGUGGACUUAGGCAGCUUCAAUCAUCUCUUUUGAAAGAGUGCAGGCGGUCCAAUGUAGGAGUACACACCGCAUCUCCUGGCAUGGUUUUGACUGAUCUCCUUCUUAGGUGAAUCAAGUUUCUUCUUAUUAUCCUCGUAUCUCUAUAUGCAUCAGAUAAAUUGCUAGAAGAACACAGUUUUCUUAUCAAUGAUUUACGUCUUCCACUUUCCCAAGAAAUAUCUGAGCUUGUGUUAUACUUGGUUGAUCCACAUUUUUCUGUGGGUAAGUAUUAUCAAUUGGAACAGUUCUUACUAAACUUGUAAUACUCGUGGCUUCCAUACAGUGGUUCAACUGUGAGAAACAAACAGAUGUUCAACAUCAUUUGUGAGCUUCCUGAAACAGUUGCUAGAACAUUAGUUCCCCGUAUGCGGGUUGUGAAAGGAACAGGAAAAGCCAUCAACUACUUGACUCCUCCAAGAAUCUUAUUAGCUCUGGUCACUGCCUGGCUGCGACGAGGUCGUUGGUUUGAUGAUCAGGUAAGUUCACUUCCAUCAUGGGAAGUAGCAAACACAGAUGCUUCAUAAGUUCAAGGAUUAAUACAAUUCAAAAUUUCAUCAAGAACCCAAAUGAACAAUUGUGGAGAGUUGUGUUAUUCAUCCAGUCUGUCAUAUUAUUGCAGGGGAGGGCUUUGUAUGCAGCUGAGGCAGACAGAAUCCGAAACUGGGCCGAAAACCGCACACGUUUCUCCUUCACUGAUGCAAUGGAGAUGUACACAGAGAAUACCUGGGUGUCUGUCUUCUCCCUUUCGGUCGUUUGUGCCUUCAUCAUCCUCUCAACCACAAACAACACUCUUCCCGGAACUUGAUUCUUUUCAACUACAUCGAAGACAACAUCAUUCACUUUACCGAAUCAGAAGCAGCAUUGUUAGGUACUGAUAGGGGAGAAAAGAAAGGAGAAAAUGACAUUGUUAGUUCACCUAGCAUCCUUGCACACAAAGAAAAACCAACCCCCACUACCAUUAGCUAAUGUAUUGACUGCCUAACCGCAAAGUAAAGGCUUGAAGUGGGUGGCCUCUUGAGGCCUAUUUAUUUAUUUACUUCAAUUGGACUGAUCUGUAUUGAAAUGUAAUGUGUAAAUCUACACAGGCAAGUAAAGUUUGUACCUCUUUUUUUUCCUUUAAGAGCCACCAGAUUUCAUUUUUCACUCUGUGUGCUGUGGGACUUUGUCAAGUCAAAUGCUUUGCCAGUCCACAAAUGACAAAUGGCUUCUGCUGUGUUUCAUUCAGCCUUACACAUUUGACCAAGCAAACACCGUGUUUUUCUCCAAUUCAUCCUUGGCUGGCAGCCGGUGGGAUACGUAUUUUUGUUGAAAACAUAAUGAACGUAUAGGACUAAAGAUAUUAAAAGAAGCAUAUCUUAAUCAUAGAAUCUUAUGGCAAAUAUUUAAGUUUAAGCAUUGACUUUUGUUUAUAUCAAACGAGUAUGUGGGCUUAAAAUAUCCAUCCGAACCACAUUUUUUUUGUUUGCUUCCAUGAACAACUCAUUUACAAUUAAUAAUUAAUAUAAAAUAUUUUUAAAAAAUUACCAAAAUAUUUCAGUAAACAAGAGUUUAAUUUGAAUUUUAAUAUCUUCGUAAAUUGUAUUAUGCUAUACGAACGAGUGUUAAUUCAAAUGUACAUGUUUAAAUUUAUUAUAAAAAUAUCGUUGGAAUGCAUUAAAUUUGUUAUUCAGCACUAGAAACUAUCUGUUUAAUAAAAUUGUGUAUUGUGUAUUGUGCGACAAAUAUUUAGGUGGGUAUUAAUUCAUAAAGUCUUAUAUUUUAUUUCCUUAGUUUGACGCUUUCUUUAUCCAGGCUGGUAGGAGGGUUUGGACAAAUUUGUGGAUUUUAUAUAGCGUAAGAGAUGGUUUAGAAGCAAUUUAUAAUAUUGAACAUGAGAAUAUAGAUUAAGGAACAAAAAGUGAAAUCUAUAAUUGGAUUCACAGAUGUAUUAACCAAAAGAAAGAGGUAUAAAAUGGAGGAGAACCAAAUGGCACAUGGGUGGACCUCAUACUUUCCCUAUUUACUAAUUAGUUAUCCAUAACUCCUAUUUCACUUCCGUUGAACCCUACCUCACUUCACUUCAAGGGAAUGAGAAUCAACCAAAGUGACAUUUCGGUUUGUGGGGUCUAUAAUUCUUUCUUUUCAUUUUUCUCCAUCAUUGCAUCCUUAUUGUUUCAUUUGCAAUUAUUUUGGGUAUACAAAUAUCCCAAAAAUCUCAUACUAAUGGAAAUAAUUGUUUUCAUUUAUAUUCUCAAUAUCAUCUCUUUAUCUAACUACCAAUGUACGACUUUGGUUACAUUAUAAUACUAUUAAUAGUUCGUUUUCAUGUAUUUGCAUACUUGUUUAAUAUGAAACUUUUCUACUCAUUUGGUUGUAUCAAUUAUUUUGCCGCUAACCUUGGUGAUCCAAUCAUAGUUAUCCACGUAGCAACCUAAUCUCACAUGUAAUGGUAGCCGUAUGUCAAAGGAUAUCCUUGUAAAUAACAUUACUCAAACCACCACCCCGAAAGAAAGAAUAAGUAAUCUCCCACAUACGACCUACCUUUAUUUUCCCUCUCUCUCUAUAUAUAUACAUUAAGCUUGCUCACUAACAAAACCCACAAAACUGUUAUUAAAUAGUUUAAUUUUUAAAUUGUUAUUAAACAAUUUAGUUGUUUAUUGUUAUUAAACCGUUUAGUUGUUUCAAUUUUAGUUUAGUUGUUCUACACUUUUUUCUACUACAUUUCUCUUUAUAUAAAAAGAAAUGUGUUGUAUCUAAAGAAUUCAGUUCAGAAAAAUAAAUUCAAAUAUUUUCUCUCUACAUUUUCUACUACUCUUUCUUUAUGGUAUCAGAGCCUCAGCUUCACAGCAAUGGCUUCUUCAAGUUCAACCCUAAAUCAUGGAACCUCCUCUUCCUCAAGAAAUUAUUCAAUAAUAAUCAACCCAGGGCAUCAUUUAACCGUGAUUAAACUCACAGACAACAAUUAUCUCACUUGGAAAUUGCAGAUUCUGAACACCAUAUAUGGACAUUCCUUGGAAAAUCACAUCCUCAGUGACUCCAAACCAGAAAAGAUGAGAUUGACCAGUGUUGAAGUUGAAAGAAACACUAAAAAUACAGAAAACGACUCCGAAAGAAACACAAACAGAGAAGAUUUGAUAGAAAAUCCUAAGUACAUCAGUUGGAUGAGGCAAGAUCGUUUAAUCUGUUAUUGGUUGAUGGGUUCGAUGAAUGAAGACAUAGUAACUCAAAUGAUUGGGUGUAAUACAGCAAGAGAAAUCUGGUUAACUCUUGAACAAACCUAUUCCUCAUCAAACACAGCCAAAAUUAUGCAACUAAAAGGACAAUUGCAGAAUCUGAAAAAGGGAAACCAAUCAAUUAGAGACUAUACAGCAAAGGUGAAGAAUCUUGUUUCAGCUUUAAAAGAGGUAGGUUGUCUUAUCUCUCUACAAGAACACACAAUAUAUAUUCUUUCAGGAUUAGGGUCAGAAUAUGAUCCUAUAGUCUCUGCUAUAUUUGCAAAUCCAAAUCGAAACCACUUCAAGAAAUUAUCUCACUUCUAAUGGGUCAUGAGAGUAGAAUUGAAAGAAACUCAUUAAUAAAUAUUGAUGGUACUCAACCUACUAGAAAUCUUGUUUCUGAAAAUGUUGAUAAGAAACAAGGACAAAGCCAAGAGCAAAGAAAUUAGGGGCAAAGUCAAUGGAACCAGUGGCAAAAUAGCAACGACGAGGACGAAAUAAUAAUAAUGGUGGAAAUCGAGGAAGAGGGAAAAAACUUUUGAAUAACUCCAUACCACAAUAACAAAAUUGUGGAAAAUUUGGCCACACAGCCAUGAGAUGUUAUUCUUUAUAUGACCCAAACUUUCAAAAACAGUUCACUGGUAAUACUCCAUCUGGAAUGCCAAGGUUCAAUAACCAGAAUUAGUUCGGAAAUAAUCCCCAUCAAGCUUAUAUGACUUCAACUUCACAAGACAACAAUAGAAAUGGAUGGUAUCCGGACACUAGUGCAACUAAUCACAUCACAAAUGAUCUUGCUAACCUCAAUUACAGCACAAACUACAGCAUAGUAGAACAAGUUCAUGUUGGUGAUGAAACAUGUUUAAAAAUCCUAAACUCUGGUCAUUCUUUCUUUAUUCCUUAUGAUAUUUCAAUUUCUUUUAAUAAUGAUUGUCCUAUUCUCUCCAUACCAAAUCUUCUUCAUGUUUCUCACAUAAAGAAAAAUCUCCUAAGUGUAAGUCAAUUUACAAAAGAUAAUCACCAUUUCUUUGAAUUCCAUCCAACCGUUUGUUUUGUUAAGUGUCAGAAAACUGAGAAAAUUUUACUCCAAGGACAACUUCAUGAAGGACUAUAUCGUUUCUCACUAGUGAAAGCUAAUCCCAAUUCAGAGUCAGUCACCUCUCAUCAAUCACAACUUGAGAACCCACAUGCUCUAGUAGUCUCCACAAAUCAUUUUCCUCUCAAUUCAAGCACUCAAACUCUUUGGCACAAUAGAUUAGGCCAUUCAUCUACUAUUGUUGUAAACCAAGUACUAAACAAAUGUAAUAUUUUCUUACCAAAUCCAAAUAAAAUAGCUACAACUUGUCAUUCAUGUACUCUUCGAAAAAGUCACAAACUACCCUUUUUCAAAUAAAAAAAACAAAUUAUUAUGCACCUCUUGGGCUUGUAGAGUUUGAUUUAUGGGGACCAUCACACACCAUUUCAAGAAAUGAAUUUCGCUAUUAUAUCACUUUUGUUGACAUGUUCUCCCACCGCACUUGGAUAUAUUUUCUCCAAUCCAAGUCUGAAGCCUUAAAAUCAUUUCUACUAUUCAAAAAACAAGUCGAAAACCAGUUUAAUACCAAAAUCAAAUCUCUACAAACAGAUGGAGGAGGAGAAUAUCGCUCAUUCACUCCUAUCCUAAAAAUCAGUGGCAUAAUUCAUUGAUUUACAUGUCCCUACACCUCUGAACAAAAUGGUGUUGUCGAGAGAAAACACAAACACAUUGUAGAAACCGGUCUUACUCUUCUAUCUCACUCCUCACUACCUCUAAAAUUUUUUGGGAUGAUGCUUUCUCUAGUGCAGUUUUCUUAAUAAAUAUAUUACCAUCCACUGUCCUUCAUGGAUAGAGUCCUUUGGAAAUUCUAUAUAAAACUACACCAAAUUACUCCUCAUUAAAAACCUUUGGCUGUCUCUAUUUUCCAUAUCUCAGACCUUACAAUCAUUACAAAAUUACAAAUGAGAUGUUCUCCCUGCAUCUUUAUUGGAUAUAGCCACAAUCAUAAAGAAUACAAAUGUCUAGAUAAUUUAGGAAAAGUUUUUGUCUCUAGGCAUGCAAUAUUUGAUGAACAUGCUUUUCCUUUUGCUACAAAAACAACCAUACCUCACAACAUACACAACCAACCUACUUCAUCCCUCUCUGUACCCAUCCUAGCACCUCAACCACCAAGCACCCCUGACCAAAAUACCACCUUAGAGUCACCCAAUCACACCCAUUUAUCAAACCGCAUCUCAUCCAAACUCACCUAAUCCCGAUCAAACCAUCUCCAGUCAACCAAGUGAACCUGUUCCACCAUCACAAACCUGUGCUACUACCAAUGUACAUCAAAUGGUUACAAGAUCAAAGAAUGUGAUUCGAAAGCCAAAAACUUAUAUCACAUAAUUACAUGACAUAGAACCUCACUCUGCCAAAGAAGCAUCAAAAUGUCCUCACUGGGUCGAAACAAUGAAUGAAGAAUACAGAGCCCUAAUGAAAAACAGUACUUGGGAACUAGUUCCUAUACCUCCUAAUAAAAAAAUAGUUGGCUCAAAAUGGAUUUUCAAAGUAAAGAAAAACUCAUAUGGAUCCAUCACAAGAUACAAAGCACGGCUAGUGGCUCAAGGCUUCCACCAAACAGCAGACAUAGAUUAUUCAGAAACUUACAACCCUGUGAUAAAGCCUAUAACCAUUCGAGUUAUAUUAACUGUGUCUCUUGCACAUAACUGGUAGAUUAGACAAUUAGACAUAAACAAUGUCUUCCUCCAUGACAUUUUAACAGAGGAAGUAUACAUUGAACAACCUGUUGGUUUCAUGGUUGAAAGUAACUCACAGAAACCACUAGUGUGCAAACUAAAGAAAGCCUUAUAUGGCUUGAAACAAGUCCUAAGGGCAUGGUUUGACAGAUUAAAAACUUUCUUGUUAUCUCAAGGUUUCACAAACUCAAAGGCUAGUUGCUCACUGCUUAUGAAACUAACAAAUGGCUCCUCAUGUUACAUUUUGAUAUAUGUAGAUGACAUCAUCAUAACUGGUUCCUCAAGACAUGACAUUGACAAACUGAUCUAUCAAAUGAAUGACACUUUAUCCUUGAAAGACUUUGGAAAGUUAAGCUACUUCUUCGGAAUAGAAGUUUCUUACCCAGAAUCUGGUGGACUAUUCUUAUCCCAAGAAAAAUACAUCACAGAGAUACUACAAAGAACAAAGAUGACUGAUGCAAAUCCUAUUGCAACCUCUAUGAUCAGCUCUACCAUCUUAUCAUCUAAAGGUAGUGAAAAUUUUGAAAAUUCCCAUAUGUACAGAAGUAUUGUAGCAAGACCUGAAAUAACUUACUCAGUGAACCAUGUCUGUCAAUUUAUGCAUAGUCCAAAACUAUCACAUUGGCAAGCAGUGAAAAGAAUCCUUUGAUACCUCAAAGAAACAUUGAAACAUGGGUUGCUACUAAAGGAACCUACCCACUUUACACUUCAGGCCUUUGUUGAUGUUGAUUGAGCAUUAGAUCUUGAUGACAGACGCUCAACAUCUGGAAUAUGUGUGUAUUUUUGUGAAAAUUUAAUCACUCAGGGAUCUAAAAAGCAACACACUGUGUCUAGAUCAAUUACUGAAGUAGAACUUUGCUGCCUUGCAAAUACAGCCACUGAAGUUGUAUGGUUAGCCUCUCUCUUCAAAGAACUGAAGAUCCUUCCACCAAAACAACCAAUAUUGCGGUGUGACAAUCUUGGAGUUGUUCACCUAAGCGCAAAUCCAAUACUUCACUCAAUAACAAAACAUGUAGAGCUAGACAUUUAUUUUGUGAGAGACCUUGUUCUACAACCAAAGAUUACAGUUCAACAUCUUCCAGUAACAGCUCAAGUUGCAGAUAUACUGACCAAGCCACUAUUUGCACAUUCCUUCAUUCCACUUCGAGUGAAACUAGGUGUUACACAUGUUGCAGAUAUUGGCUUGAGGGGGGAUAUUAAGGCUGCUCAGUAAGAAAACCCCAGAAAAUUGUUAUUAAACAGUUUAGUUUUAAAAUUGUUAUUAAACAGUUUAGUUGUUUACUGUUAUUAAACAGUUUAGUUGUUUACCGUUAUUAAACAGUUUAGUUGUUUCAAUUUUAGUUUAGUUGUUAUACAGUUUUUCUGGUACAUUUUCCUUUAUAAAAGAAAAUGCAUUGUAUCUAAAUAAUUCAGUUAAGAAAAAUAAAUUCAAACCUUUACUCUCUAGAUUUUCUCUUUCUUUAUCACACACAUAUAUAUAUUUGCUUAAUAAUAGUUGUUGUGUUUGAACUUUAAGCUUUCAUAUAUUUGAUUUAUGUAUGAUCAAAACAUUUCUUGGUGGGUUCAAAAUCUUAUUAAUAAUUAUAAUUGAUGUCUUUGACUUAAUAGAAGCUUUUUUAAAAGGAAAAUUGCAUUGAAGUGACAAAAUCAUUUAGAAAAUACGACUCAUGACACUUAUUUUUUGCAUAUUGCGACUAUGGCAAAAUUAGUGAUAUCAGAUGACUACCAGACGAUAAUCAUAGGACUAUCAGACGGUAAUUAUCGACUUUUAAAUUUACUACUUUUGCAAUUCAUAAAAUGUAGUAACAUAGGUUCUAUUAUCAUAAACUUUUUUGCUAUUUUUGUAAUGGCCCUUUUUUAAAAAGUAUCAGGCUAAGUUACAUGAACUUAACAUAAAAUUUAAAAUAAUAAAAUUUUUAAAUUUAAUUACAAAUUUAGUUAAAAUGAAAAAUUUUGAUUUUUAGGACAAAUUGAGGGUGAAAUGUCUAAAUUACUCUUCAUUAAUUUUCCCUUUCCGUAAAACAAAACGUAAAGAAAAAAGAAAGAAACUCAUUCGCGUUUUUCUCCACUUGAAAAAAACUUUCUCGCUUCUACUUCGAUGUCCUACGAUGAACUUCAGUUUUCGUUGAUUCAUUGAACAUCGUCUUUCCACGAUCAACGUUCACCAUUGCAGUUUUCAGUUUUCGUUGGAACUUCAAAGCUUUCUUGUGGCAGUCGAAACCUCUUCUUGCGGCUUUUUCUUCGCCAAAUCUCCAUAGGUGAUUUCCUCUUGUAUGUAUUUUUUUUUAAAUUAAAUUUAUAUAAAUAUGUGAUAGUUGUUGGGUGUUUCUUAGCCUAUUUGAAAAUUGAAACUAGGUAGCAUUCAAUAGGAUCAAUUUCUUUAGUAAAGGUGGAAGAUAUAAAGUUGUAGUUUAGACUAUAUGUGUUGAAUCCUUUGAAUGGUAGGCUUUCCUCUUAUUAUUAAUACUAUAGUUUCUUCUUGUUGGAUAGGUUUGGAAUUGAAUUCACUAAAACUAACUGAACUUUCUUUUAAUCCCUCUUAGCCUCUGAUUUUAUAGAUUAGUAUUUCUUUUUGCUUGAAUUGUCUCAUCAUCAUGUGUCAGUAGUUUUGCACUACUUAGAAAUUUCAAUACCAGUUUAUCAUAUAUGCUACUGCAUCAUUUUAGAGCUUCUCAAGGAGAUGGUGGGCAACCAUGUUAGUAGAAAAACUUUAUUACAAGUUCUUAGUAUUUGCUUGAGUGAGAAAGAUUCUUUUCGGGUUUACUGUUAAAGGAUAUAUGAUCAUUCAUAUAGAUUUCUAGAAGAAAAUAGCUCUAAAAUCAACACUCUCUAACAUGCUUUAUAAAGACAACCUCAAAGCAUCUUUCCUUCAAAGUAUUACAUACUUCAAAGAAAAAUGCAACAUUUAUAUAUGCCUAGGAAUCAUUCAAGGUGUUACAUAUAUGUCUAGGAGUGCAAGCAAUUCAGUUUAGUAAGUCUCUUAUGCACUUAUGUUUUAUCUUGCAUGCAUCUCGCAUGCAUCUUGCACAUUCCAAUAUUUCACUAUGGGUUAUGAAAUCAAAUUGCUACCUCUCCUAAGCCAUUUGUCCUAAGCCAUUUGGAGUGUUUCUAUAUAUGUUUAGUAAGUCUUAGACCCUUAUAUUUUAUCUCAUACACCUCUCACACAUUCCAAACUUUCAUUAUGCAUUUCGAAAUCAAAUUGCUACCACUCCUCUACCAUUUGGAGUGAUUAUGUGCAUGCUUAAUAAGUCUCUUAGGCCCUUAUAUUUUAUCUCGCACACUGAUAACUUGUAGAAAUACAAGUUAUGGUAGCCUUUUAAGUGAAAUAAUGAAGUCUUACCGUAUGAAAAUAAAAGAAAAUAGAUAAAAAAAAGUUGGCUAUUUGAUUACUCUACAGAAAGUUAACGCAAAAGAACCUCAUCCUUGUUUUACUAUGUUUAAGUGCUCUUAUCGUAGGAUUCUAAGCGAAGAAGAGUGAAGCUCAGUGAAUAGCAUGUUCUACGUGAGGAGACCCAGCCAACCUCUUCAGCAUGAGGAAGUACAUGUUAGGCAAUUAAGCCGCUAGCAAACAAAAGAGGUUGGCAUGAAAGUCAUAAAAUGAUGACUCGGACAUACUGUGCAACAUAGCUACAACUUUUCAAAGAUCUUAAUGGCUCGUACCGCCCUAUCAACACUAAUCCUUGUAUAAGUAAGGAUUAGCUACUGUUAUUGUAUUUGAGAUGAUCAUAUACAAAUUAUAACUUAACUAUGAGUAUUUACAUCUCGAGAGGCGAGCAAGUAUGACAGAAGCGCUAAGAGGUUGCUCGCAUUAAUUCUUAGUUAAUACAUGCUUUGUGUCACCUCAAGGUAUUGAAGCAUUAUUUGUUGCAAGUGGUUGAUUCAAUUUUCCUUCUUCACCAUGACUAUGUUGAGUUCAUAUUUCAUUACGUCAUACCACGAUGAUCAUUAUGCAUCGCCAAGCACAGUAGUGUAAAUAGUUCGAUAAAUAGUAUAUUGUUCAUAUUUUUAAUGUAUAGUGAAUAUCGCAUGAUUUAGUAAAGUGAUUAGAUAAACUAGGAGCUUAGAUUCCCUGUGUUCGACCUUGGACUUUCCAGGAAACCUCUCUUCACUUAUACUUGGGUGAUAGAGAGGAAAACUUGUGUGCAACAAUGUUUGAUCAUCAUAUUAGCAACACAUGAAUAAGAGUGCACCUUUUAUCGCAUGAUCCUAUUUCGUCGGCCGUUAGUCUGUAAGGUAUAACCAAUCAUGUUAGAUAUAAGAGCAUAACACUUAAGGAAUUAAAGCACGCGACUUGAAAUAACAAAUAAAAGCACCGUAAAUCACAUAAGCACAAGUAUAUAAUUCAUUUGAGAUUAAACAUUUGAACUUAAGAACCUACAAGAUGAAUAAAUAAUAACAAAUAACUUGCUAACAUGCUUUGAAAAAACUUUGAAACAAUCCUCAAUCAACUUAAGACAAUUAAAAAUUAUAUUAGGUUUAUGCAUUUAAGAUUCAAAUGUUCCAGCAAAAGAAGAGAGAAAAAAAACUAUAUAUAACACAACACAGUUUGGAGGAAAAAUAACAAAAAAAAAAAAAACAAAAAACCUAAAAGCUUAUGGACCGCUUGGUAACGUUCUCAUUCCCUGUUUUCUAUUUAUGUUUUAAUUUUUUAAGAAACAGAUGUGUUUGGUAACGUUCCCUGUUUCUCGUUCUAAAAAAAGUAGAAACGUUUCUCAUUUUAUACGGAAUUAUUGGAAAAAAAAAAGUAGUUUCUCAGGUUCCGUUUCUCAAUUAUUUUUAUUGGUUGUGUUUUUCUUUUCCUUUUUCUCAAUUAUUUCUAUUGGUUUUCUUUUCCUUUUUUCCCAAUAAUUUUUAUUGGUUUCCUUUUCCUUUUUCUCACUUAUUUUUAUUGGUUUCCUUUUCUUUCUUCUCAAUUAUUUUUCUAUUUCCUUUUUCUUUUCCAUUUUUCCAUGUGAUUUUCUUUUUCUUCCUUCUAUUUCCAUCUUCUUCCCUAAAUAACCCCUCUCUAUAUGGUUUCCUUUUUCUUCUCCUCAUAUCUUCAUUGUCUUUUCCAAAUAACCAUCGUCUUCCUCUUCCUCUCAAUGUUUUGGUCAUCUUCCUCCUUACUUCUCAUCGUCUUCCUCUACGUGAUGUCUUCCUCUUCACUGGAUCUGAGUUUUUCCCUUCUUACGGAUUUGAGUUUUGGCUGAAUUUGUGUUUUCGCCGUGGAUUUGUGUCUUCCUCUUCGUCGUGAAUUUCAGUCCUCUUCUUCAUCGUGGGUUUUCAUCUUCCUCCUCGUCGGCUCUAUCCUUCAAAUCUCAAUCUUCAUCUUGAUCUUCAUAAGAUUACUAGAAGACCUUCCUAUCUAAGUUUGAUAAAAUAAAUGGUGUAAUGUUUAAUUGAAUUAGAUGUGAAUAAAAUAACAUGAACAAAAUAAAAAAUAGAUCUCGAAUAAAAUAAUAAGAAAACAAGAAACAAUUAUCAAAUACAUUCAUGUGCUUGUUCUAAAAAAAGAAGAAACGGAGAACUGGGAACAUGAAACAAGAAAUAGGAAACCAAAAUGUUACCAAAUGGUCUCUUAUUGGACAAUACGAGAACUUGAUCAAAAUUUGCUAAAUAAUCUAUAGAAUCAGAAGAGAGAUAAGGAGAAGGGAGUUUGAAAGAGGUCGGAGAGAUUGAGAGGCUAGAGAUCGAGAGUUUGGUUUUAAACUGAAAGGAAAACUAAUGAAGUGUAAUUUAGACAUUUCACCCUCAUUUUGUGCUAAAACUCAAUUGGUUCAAAACCAAUCUAAACAAAAUUUAUCUCUCCAAUUUGGACUCUUUUUUUUUUUCUUUUCGGCAAUUUUCCAACUUUCCUCACUUUUCAUAAAUAUCCAAGCAUAUUAUCCACGUGCAUUUUAUGUCUAUAAAUAAAGUGCUUUUUUAAGUCAAAAUACCAUCUUAUAUUUAUCUCUUUAGUUAGCCCUCACAUUUACAAAUAUACCAUUUUAGUUCUCCUUUUAAUAAAUUUUGUUGAGACAUUUUAUUAUCUAACUGAAUUUUUAAUUAUAAAUUAAAUAUUAUUAUUAUUAUUCAACCCUUUUUUAUCAUUCAUAAAAAAAAAAAAGGCAUUUCUUUUGUAAAAAUACAUUUAAUUUUAAAAAUAAAUUAUUUAAGAAAAACUAGAGUGUCGAAUGACAUUUUAAUUAUAAUAAAUUUCUCAAAAUAUAUAGGGUAUUUUAGUAAUUAUGACAUCCAGUUCGUCACCCAAAUUUAACUAGAAUUCCCCCUAUAAUUAAAAUUGAAAAAAAGAAGAAUAAAGAAAAGUAAAAGAAGUUGAAGCAAGGUUGAGAAGAAAAAUCUUUGGGCUUUUGGUCACAUAAUUGUUUAUGCGAGUGGAUUUAUUAAUGGGUGAGGGGCACGUGCCCUGUUUCACAUUUCUGAUUUUUUAUAUUUUAAUAUUAGUUUUAAAGUGUCAAAUUACAAUAUAUCUUAAAAACUGUGUUAUUUUAUUAUAUUCUGACUUUGAUACCGUGGUUGCUUCUUUUUUCUUUAGUUCAGCGUAUCCCCACUAAUUAAUGAAUAAGAGAAAAUUAUAUUAGAUGGGUUUUAGAUCUUCUUAAAUUAAAUCUGAUGUGUAUUAUAAUAAAAAUAAUAAUAAUUUGUGUACAUAUAAAAAUUAAAACAUAUUGCUUUAUUGUGAAUGUGGUGUGUCUUUUUGUUUUGUUUCAUUCUCUUCCAAUAGAGGUGUGGUACGACGUCCAACAACUUCCCUUUUUAGUACAUUAACACUCUAUCAAAUUGUAAAUCUAUUACUAUUCUUCUUUUUCCUUCUACAAAUAUUACUACCAGGAGUUCUUAUAUUUGUAAUAUUUUUCGUAUUUAAUGUGACAAAUCUACUCUUACCUCCUAUAUUAUUUCUUUAAACUAGUUUUAAGUGUUUUUUUUUUAAAUAAAGUGUAAAAAUAUUUACAUCGUAUAGGAUAAUUUUGAAAAAUAAUAAGAACCCACAAGUUCAUAACGUGAAAUAACAAAAAUAUCUUGUGAUUAAUCGGUAACGCGCCUCAAAAACUAUUUUGUACACAAUCUAAAUAGUCUUGUACCCCCGUCUAAGCAAUCUUAUACUGUUGUACUAAAUUUAAACAAUCUAUUAGUGAUAAUGGUUUGUCUCUGUCUAUCCAAGAUAGACAACUGAUGAUGAGACUUUCUUUUUAAAAGUUACAUUUAGAUUUUUCUUUAAAAGAAAAAAUAAGAAUGCGAUAUAUAUGAGACAAAUAUAUGUAUAGAUAUUUUCUUAGGUAGAUAAAGUUGGGUGCCUCAGUCGGUUUUGUUUGUUUGCCCGGAGAUGGAGAUGGAGAUGGAGAUGGAGAUGGAGAUGGAGAUGGAGAUGGAGGUUUUGUGGGAGAAGCAAUGAAUAUGGAUGUUGAUUUGGAUGAUCCAAUAUUGAAUCCUUCCCCUCCCACUAUUUCUCAACUAAUCUUCAAAAAAUUAAAACUCCAUUUGUCCAUUUGAAGAAUGUUAUGAGAGAGAGAAUUAAAUUCAAAGUUUUGAUUGAAGUAAUAAAUUGACUGCCUUAAUUAAAAAAGAGGAAAGAAAAAAGGGUGUAGUAUUUGAUAGGUGGAGGGAACCCAAGGUCCACCAUUUUUUCAUUUUUGGGAAAAACAUAUGAACUUCCAGUUCUAUAUAUAUAUUUUGUAGGUUUUGCAAAUUUUUAAAAAGUUAGGAGUUGAAAAAGUUAAGAAACAAAAAAUAUAAAAUUUGAAAUUCUAAUAUAAUAAUAUGCUCUCGGAUGAUUUUAGUUUUGUAAAAAAAAGUUGAAUUAUGGGGGAGGGGGUGAUUAGGCAUAUAUUCCCCCAAAUAAAAAAUGAACAUAAAUAUAAAAGAGGGGGAGGAAAGAAAAAUGAAAAAAUAUAAUUUGAUAUCACACUUUCAGCUCCCUUGGAAAGUAAAUUAAAAACAAAAAUAAUCCAAAAUGCGAAAGGGAAAGCAAAGGAGAAUUAAACGGAGAAUUAAACGGAGAAAUUGGCGGGUCUUGUGGGUCCCACUAUCUUAACAUUAUUUCUUUUUUCUCUCUUUUUAAAAAUAUUGCUUCCGAGUCGACAGCUCACACAACUGCUUUACAAAUUAUAGAUUUGGUAUUCUUCUUCUUCUUCUUCCUCUUCUUCUUCUUCAGCUUUACUGCACGUAUUUCCAAUCUUCCUUCACUUCUCUUCUUAAUAUGAACCACACCCAUUUCCUUCCUUUCUUCUUUUGCCUUCUCUUCCUCUCUUAACUCAUAUUGUUUCUCUUUUGGACAAAUGUCGUCUCCCUCUCCAACUUCGCCGCCCGCCACUAACACUACCUCACCCCCAACUCCCACCACCAGCGCACCACCUCCGGCAACCCCAUCUCUCUCACCGCCUCCUCCCGACUCUGCCUCUCAGCCUCCUCCUGCUUCUUCAUCCCCGCCACCUUCCACUACAACUUCCCCGCCACCUCCGGAUAGUUCCACUCCAUCUCCGCCUACUUCUUCUCCUUCACCGCCAACCCCACCUUCCACCUCUUCGCCUCCGCCUCCCUCUACAAACUCGACUACUUCCCCACAGCUGCCUAGUCCGACGCCUCCUUCGGGUUCUGGUACACCUGCCAGUCCCGGAGAUGAUCUUCCCGGAAGAGAUCUGCCUCCGCCGUCUUCCUCACCGUCGUCGGGAGUUUCGGCUGGACUUGUGGCUGGAGUCGCCAUUGCUGGAGUGGUGGUGGUUGUUGUGGCGUUGAUUAUUAGGUUUUUGUGUAUGAGAAAGAAGAGAAGACGCGACGAAGAGGCUUACUACCGGCCGCCGCCGCCACCCCCGUCGUAUAAAGGUCAGAACGGUCAAAUAUAUUCCAGAUUUCUCAACUAAACCCUAAAAUGAAUUGUGGAAUUUGUAAUUAACUUUUAUGAACAAUUGAAUCUCAGAUGGCCCAUAUGGUCAACAACAGCACCACUGGCAAUCACAUCCCCCGCCGCCGGCGGAUCAUAUUGUUGGGGCAGUGCCGAAGCCAUCUCCUCCACCAGCACCACGGCCACAGCUGUCACCUCCGAUUAUAAACAGCAGUGGAGGCUCUGGAUCUAAUUAUUCAGGGUCUGAAAAUUCGCUUGUUCCUAUCCCAUCUUCUAUUCCCUUAGGCUUUUCACAAAGCAGCUUUACUUAUGAAGAGUUAGCAAUGGCGACAGAUGGGUUUUCAGAAGCCAAUCUCCUUGGACAAGGUGGGUUUGGUUAUGUGCAUAAAGGGGUUCUUCCAAAUGGAAAGGAAGUGGCAGUGAAACAACUUAAAGCUGGAAGUGGGCAGGGAGAACGUGAAUUUCAAGCUGAAGUGGAAAUAAUCAGCCGUGUUCAUCAUAGACAUCUUGUUUCCUUAGUUGGAUAUUGCAUUACUGGCUCCAGAAGAUUGCUGGUCUAUGAAUUUGUUCCUAACGACACGUUGGAGUUUCACUUGCAUGGUAUACCCUUUUGCUAUUUGGGUUGAUCUGAUAUGUUUUAUUGUUGGGAGAUUUGAAAAUCUUGACUUAAUAGAGUAACUCUGAUUUUUCAGGGAAAGGACGACCCACCAUGGAUUGGCCAACGAGAUUGAAAAUUGCUCUUGGAUCUGCCAAGGGAUUGGCUUACCUUCAUGAGGAUUGUAAGUAUAUUGUGUUUGUGAUAAGAUGUGUUCUGGCUUCUGGGUUUGUACAGUUCAUGUAUUGAAAGGAAGCUUGUGAUGUAAUGUCCAGGUAAUCCUAAGAUCAUUCAUCGUGACAUCAAAGCAGCAAAUAUACUUUUGGAUUUGAAAUUUGAAGCAAAGGUGAUAAUGGGAUCUUUCUGAAUUCUUGAAUUUGAAUAUAUAAUAAAGUUGACUCUGUUCAGGUUACUGACCAAGUAGAAGACUGAGAUUUCUUCUCUUCUAAUGAAAUGGGUAUGUUGCUGAUAUGUUAAAUUUGAUAUCUUUUUUCCAGGUUGCUGAUUUUGGGCUUGCUAAGUUGUCUUCUGAUGUUAAUACCCAUGUUUCAACCCGAGUCAUGGGAACUUUUGGGUAUGCACUCUCGAACCACAUUCAAUUCAUGCCAUCAAUCUGAGUGAUGAAUUCGUGAUAAACUGAUAAACCAUAUUUCUGUGUUCUCGAAUUUGAUAUAAUGGUUACUCCAUUCAGAUACCUUGCUCCAGAAUAUGCUUCAAGUGGGAAACUCACCGAGAAAUCAGAUGUCUUCUCCUUCGGAGUGAUGCUUUUGGAGAUGAUUACUGGACGUAGACCUGUAGAUACGACUCAAUCAUUCAUGGACGAUGGAUUGCUCGAUUGGGUAAGCCCAUUAGACAUUAGCCCUUAGCCCUUAGCCAUUAGCCAUUAGUCAUUUUUGUUCAAAUUAAACAUCUAUGCAAACCUUCCUCAGACAUCUGGAAACUAAAUCAACCCAUCUUGUCAAUUUCAGGCAAGGCCGUUACUACUUCGGGCCACGGAAGAUGGGCACUACGACAGUUUAGUAGAUCCAAAGCUGAGAGAUAACUACGACCACAAUGAAAUGGCUCGCAUGGUUGCUUGUGCAGCUGCCUGUGUGCGCCAUUCUGCGAGGCGCCGACCACGGAUGAGUCAGGUGGUUCAUGCUCUUGAAGGUGAAUCCUCACUUUCUGAUCUUAACGAAGGGAUUCGGCCUGGACAUAGCACUGUCUACAGUUCUUAUGGAAGCUCUGACUACGACACAGCUCAGUACAAUGAGGACCUGAAAAAGUUCAGGAAGAUGGCGUUGGCAAGUCAGGAGUAUGGCAGUGAGUACAGUGAGCAGACGAGCGAGUAUGGUUUGUAUCCAUCUGGGUCGAGUGGCGAUGGCCAAACAACCAGGGAAAUGGAGAUGAGAACGACGGGGAUGAAAGAAAGUGGAGGUUUUAGUGGAAGCUCAUGAGGAGAGGAAGCAAAGAAGCACUGAUUCUGUAAUGUGUACAAUCUACAACACCUUUCUUUCGUUCUUUUGGAUUUAGUUUUUGAAUUAUAGGAAUUCUUUCAAAUGUAAGCUGAGUUUGUAAAACGGAAGAGCGUUUUAAGAUUAAAGAUCGGAUUAGAUCUUGUCUUAACAAAACAAAACAAGUUAUAAGAUGGAUUUCGAUUCUUUUAUUUGUUAUCUACUGCAUUCUGGAUUUUUGUACAGUCCAAAAUGCACUUCAAAUCUUCAUGUACUCUUUGUUUGCAGAUAUCCCAAGAAUUAUACAUCGGUUGAUAUGAGAGUUUUUUUUCACUCAAAGUACUUCGGUGGUGAGCUGUUUACACCUUUUAUCAGGUCUACAAAUUACAUCUUUCAAGUCCUUCGCUGGUGAUCAAAGUAUUUCAGUGUGCAUUAUCAUGUCAUUGUCGAACGGAAACUUAUAGAAGUUAAAAUAUUAACUACGUAUAAACAAUCAUAAUACAAAUAUUCUUUGUUACCAAAUUCUUGUGGAGAAGUGCCACUAAACAAACAAUGAAGCAUUUAGAUUUAAAUUGGAAGUUGCCUAACAAUUAGAACCUUGCUUCCCUGGAAUGGGAUUCAACAAUCGAGCACUAAGGUUACUAAUUCGUAAUGAAAAAAUUGUGAUCAGGAUCAAUUUUGAUCAGACAUGUUUCAAAUCUUAUUUGAUUACGAUUGUAAGCUAUUUAUUUUGCAUUGGUAGUAUACUUGUUAUAAACCAAUAACUAUGACAGAUUCGUAAUUUUUCUAUUGCAACAAUAUUCUCUGGGUGGUCCAACGUAAUAAACAUGUUGUAUUUGUUGAUCAUAAAUUUAGUUGUGAAUCCGACCUUCCAUUAGGAUAAUGAUAAAGUAAUUGCUUCUUUAAAUUGAUCAGCGAGUGUAAGAAAAUAAUGUAUCGCCCUCAAAUUUUCUACUCUCCGUUGUAUCAUAGUUAUUGUAUCAUAUCUCUACAACUACGGGUACUGCACAGCAUUUAUGCGUCUAAUUUUACACCAAAAAUUCUUUCAUGGAAGUAAGUAUAUUAUACUUCAAAAACUACAUCAAAAAUUUUCCUCUUAACUAUAUAUUGGAAAAACGUGCAGAUCCAGAUCCUCUUCGUCGCCGUCGUCGCUUCUGUCUAAUCCGCCAAAAGCUCAAAAGGAGAAAAAGCCCUAAAAGAGUAGAAACCGAGUGAGGUAUACAUUUAGGAAAAGGAAACCAAUUCAGGAGCAACGAGGAAUAUAUAAUGACCUGUUAAUGCAACUACAGCAGGAACAAGCCAAUGAUUAGGAACAAUCAACGGCAUGUCAGGCUGCGAGGAAGAACAAUUAAGAAUCAUAUUGAUGAAAUAAUAUAUAUUAGUAAUUUGUCUCAAAUCGACGGGAAAGUUUAACCUCACCUCAUCCCGGUAGAACAAGCUUAAAUAUCGGUUUCCAUAUGUAUCACUUCGGUCUUUUGAAGACGACUUCGGAGGUCCCAUUGAAGAACCUUCUGAAGUAGAAUUCAAGCCUCGUCCCAAGUCAAUUACAGGAAAUCCAGGAAGUCUUCGAUUUCUUCCCCGGACUUGUAUACUGUAUCCCUUGGUCCCCCAUACUUCAAACCUAGAAUCACUUCUGCAUAUCAAUUCCUUUCGAGCAACGGCAGAAUACAAAGAGAAAUUUACAUCACUUCUUCGAGAUGGUAGUUUGCUGUCUUCUAGAUACAGAGGUGAAUUUCGUUUGGAAAACUUGGUGAAUAGUAUCGGAUCUCUAAUAUUUGCACUUGUAAAAUCUAAUAUUUUUCUCAGCAGCCAAUAGCAAUUUGUAACCAUAUGGCUGCUAUCUAGACAAUUGGAAUCUCCAUAGACUGCAAUGCGGCCUUCUCCUGCCUCUAAUAGGCCAAGAAUCGGAAAGUCAGCCUGCAUUUGUUGAUGAACAGUUAGCUUAAAGGAAUUACAAAGAUCACAAUAUGAAAGGAUGAAUGCAAGACCUUUAUAUGGAAGAAUCUCGAUGUCAAGAAGAAAACAUAACAAAUCUAUAAUCCAAGCAUGUAAACAUUCUUUCUGACAGUCUCGAGAUAUUUAACUAUUUAAAUGUUCUUUACAAGUCUUCUGUGGUGUCAUGCUCCUUUCGCAGGAACCAAGAAACUAACUUAUCACACAUUAAAUAGAUAUGCUGCUGCUCAACUUAUUAAUUCUCUCUUGUGCAAGAUAUUAACUGUUUUAAGGAUCUAUUCAACUAAAAUACAGAGUUGUUCCUCAUUACUUAAUUUUCAAAAUAGGAAACUGGUUAUUUAGUCAAAUCUGAAAAGAUUUUUGGUCCCACAAAAAUUAUUUUAAGAUGAAAUUUCAUAGAGAUGCUUAUGACUACCUUACUCAUGCUAGAUGUUAGUAUGCUCUGAGCUGCCCCACUCUCUGAGCUAUCAACGAAAGGGAAACUAUGCAUAUAACCACCUUGUGGAAACCUCACAAUAUCUGUUCCUGACGCAUACCGACUCUGUUCACCGUCAAUAGAAAAAUCACCAUUCAAAAUCUUAUCCCCGAAAGCAAUGCCAAAUGGGGCUAAGAGAUCAUUGAGUGCAGGAAUAUUUGCACCUCCAGUAACUGGUGUCCACCAACUUCUUGUGUUAUCAUCAAAGAAUCUCAUCUUUACCAUUGUUUCUACAUUAUACCAUUCGGAAAACACAGCCAAUCCCAAUCCAGUAGUCAUAACAUCGUCUCUCAACUUCUCAAUUUCCUCUUUGAAGUAUUCGUCUUCAAGAUCCACUAGUAGAAGUGUUCCAUAUUGACGAGCAUCAAAGCAUGUAAGAGGAGAACCAAGGGUUUCAACAUAGUACCCAGCAUCUCUUAACAUGUUAAACAUGAUAUGAAAAUUUGUGUGCAGGUGGUCUCCAUGCCAGUCCAGAAUGUCAUUGCGUACAUCCAAGGAAUCUCUAGGAAUAUAACCAGGAGGAUAUUUGAUAUUAUGAAAUUGAUCCCAUAAAAUUCGUUUUGAUCUUGGAGGUGUAGGAACUACUUUUAGCUUCAGCUGUAGGACACAAGUACUAAUCCUGCGGUUCUUCUCGCCUCUUGAUGGAGGACUAUAUACUGUUAGAGUCACAUUGCCCUCAAUUUCUCCAGAAAAUUGUGCACCUUCUUCCUUAAUUUGCAUAUGAAGUGCAAUAUAACCAGUCCAUGGCCAAAUGACCUUAGAAUAAGUGAAGUGAAUACUUAAGAGAUUGCCUUCUUCAUCAGAAGGGUGCCAAGUUGGUUGACCUUCAACAUAGCCAAUUACACCCAUACCAUUCAAAAUGGUAGCAUUGAAAAUAAUAGGCAUCGCACCUGCAUAAAGAGGUUGGCGGCAAAAGGGCCAUGUAUAAGGGCAAUCUGUAUAGUCAAGAACACCAGGGAAGAUACUUGCCCUGGGUUGGUAGCUCUUAAGUACUUCAUACGAUUCUAACCUGAGAAUAUUCAGAGAAAUAAGAAUACACUCUAGAAGCAAAACAUAUAAAGAAAAACAACAAUGAGAGUUUAAACCUACAGAUCAACUCUGCCAGCUCCUUGCUCAUACAUAUUAGGACCAGCAAGCUUUGCAGCCCCCUCAACAAGUGCUUGUUUCAUGCUGGCUGGAUUUAAAAUAACCUUCCGCUGGCUUUCAGGGAUGACACUAACAAGUAGACAUACCACACCAGCAACAACAGGACUAGCGACACUAGUGCCUGAUAAACUUUUGCAUCCAGUACUAAUUUUGGAUCCCAUAAUUUCCCGACCAUAUGCAACAACAUCGGGCUUCACACGACCAUAACUGUACAAAUGACAAGUUUGAGAGUGUCAAUAUGGACCGAAAGAGGGAACGAAAAAAAGAAAGUACAGUAGUAUAACUGUAUAAGGUAAAAUAAUUUAGUUUAAUGAUUGUGGGGGUGGAGAAUCAAACCAUGAUCUUUGCGACGUAAUUGGAGCCUUAAUUGAUAUAAACCCAUUUAUCUAUAUAUUGGACAAGUAGUCAAAACUUUAUGGGCUUAAGUUUGAAUUUCAAUGCAUCCAACACAUCUGCUUCAUAGAAGGCCAAAUUCCAAUGAAAGGAAGGUAAUAAAUCAUUGCCAAUAUUACCAAGCAAGCAAUAGCUAUAACAUUUUGAAACUGCUCAAAAUAUCUGAAGGAGAUAGGAGUAAAAUAUACUGAAGGAACUUUAAGAGUCUAAGCAAAGUGUAAUCUACCCAUGAGGCAUCUCCCAAGUAGUCAUGCCACGUGAGGAAAAUGAAGCAAUAUGAUCAUUGUAGUCAAUACCCCCAACACCAAUGACAUCACUCUGAUCUGCAGGAUUGUUUAAAGUCCCAUAAAGUGGUCCAUCAUUUCCAAUUGCAGAAACCAUGAUGAUAUUAUUUGCUGUUAUUUCCCAAAUCUGGCAGACAAAUAAAAAGUUUAACAUACAAUGAUGAUGCCAUAAUUGCACUCAUUAGCCUGCGGUGACACGCAUGAUUAUGUUAAGUCUAAUGCAUAGAAAUUCAAUUAAUUGGAAAUAAUUUUCUGAUGCCCAGAUCAAAGGCCUCAAUUUUUUAAUAUGUUACAACCUGAAAGCCAAAAGUUUAAACUACUGAUACAACAAUAUACGAAACCAAAUACUCAAUAAGCUAAUAAAUCUUCUGACGAAACUUCAUUAAGAGAUUCUUUCAAUGAGAAAGUCUUCAACCGCAUGUUCAUCGAUGAUCAUGUUAUAAUUUAAUAUUAAUAAAACUGCAAGACUAUAAUUCAAUUAAUUGGAAAUAAUUUUCUGAUGCCCAGAUCAAAGGCCUCAAUUUUUUAAUAUGUUACAACCUGAAAGCCAAAAGUUUAAACUACUGAUACAACAAUAUACAAAACCAAAUACUCAAUAAGCUAAUAAAUCUUCUGACGAAACUUCAUUAAGAGAUUCUUUCAAUGAGAAAGUUUUCAACCGCACGUUCAUCGAUGAUCAUGUUAUAAUUUAAUAUUAAUAAAACUGCAAGACUAUAUAGGUCGUCCAAUAAUUGUAAACAUAUAGGUUAAAUUACAGGGUUAGUCUCUAAACUUUGAACUUUUAAAAGUGUAAUAGAUUUUUAACAAAGUCAAAGCGUUUAAAAACUAAUUGAUCUAUUAGAUAUAAAUUUUGAGUCUAAUAGAUUUAUGAACUUUACAAGAUUUAAAAGUUCGCAGAAUGAAUUUUGUAUUUAACCUAACAUAUAUCAUGAAGAAAGAACUAGCAGUACCCCAACAAUAACACAUUUAAAUGAUUUCAUUAAUGUUUGUAAUAGCAAUGCUAACUGUAACCUGAAAAGAAGGUAAAUAAUUUUAUUUAAUAGCCAACUCACAUGUAGGAGAUAUUUAUUUGAACGGACAUUCAGCAAUUAAUUAACCUCAAACCAAAAAAGAAUUAAGUCGUAUUCAGUUGAAAACUUAUUUUUCCAGAUCACCAAAUUGCAAUCAGACAAUCAAAGAAAAAUUACCUUCUCUACAAAUGGAAGAUCCAAGUAAUCUGGUCCACCAAUGCUUAAAUUUAAUACAUCCAUAUUUGUGGCAAUUGCAUAGUUGAAUGCAUCAAGGAACCAUGAAGUGUACGACACCUGCAAUAGGCUGAAUACACACUUUUCAUAAUCCUUCUUUUAGAUGAAAAGAAACAAAAAAAAAAUUCCUAAUCCUUCCACCGUGCUUGAAGAAAAACCAGGAGAAAUUGAUAUAGAACACAUAUUUGCAGUCAAAAGCUGUCAUAAACACUGACAUAUUGAGUAAUGCUCAAUGUGCAUUACCUGUGCAUCUGUAAACACACGAAAAGCAUAUAUCUCUGUAUCUGGAGCAAAUCCUAGACAUUCUUCAUCUCCACCUGCAAUGACACCAGCGACAAAUGUCCCGUGUCCAAGAUUAUCAUUUAAAGUAUCUUCAUUGGUCCAAUUGGUUCGCUCCUGAAAAUACUCAAAACUCAAAAUCAAUCAUGUCAAAUAAUGGAAUCUUGAUAGGCGGAAAUUUUCCUUUGAUCUAAUAAUUAAACAAAAAGCAUGUUGAAUGGAAACAGAUUCCAUUAUUUUAUUACCUUGAUAUUCCUAAAGUGUGGGUGAUUAGCACGAAUACCAGUAUCGAAUAUAGCCAUCUUAACUUUGGAACCAGUAUACCCUUUUGCCCAAAGAGAGUCUGCUCCAAAUAGUGAGGUAACUUGGGAUCUCUGAAAUCAAGGACUGCUUCUCAGAGAAAGUUAACUAGAACCAAAAUUAAAACGGGAAAUGAAGGGAGACAUUUAAUCGUAUUUUAUUUGGUUUUUCACAUAGAACUAUGAUAAAUGGAUGAAGUGAGAUACGCAUUACAGUAGUUAUGAUUGAAUUUGGCUUAUAAAUAUGUGAACGCUUCUUCUGAGUUACAAAAAAAUCUCAUUACUUAAAUAGAGCUUUUCCUAUAAUAAAGGUCUGAUAUCCAAAAUUCAUUCUACGAGACACAUGAAGCCCUCACUGCAUCGUCAUUUCCUCAUAGCUGAUGUCCGAAAGCCAAAUAGAACAACAGAAAAGAAUAAAUUUGCCAUAAAAAGAAUAUUACCUCCAUCGACAGAUGCCGUCCCCAUCUAUUAGAGGCAUUGGUAAUUGCUGUAUAAUGUUCUCCGCCUCCUUCUUUAAACGACAUGGAGGUGAAAAUCUUCCCCGGACGCUUCUUGCCAUCGACAAAAGCCCCAACUCUACCCCCAUCCUCCGUUAGCAAACCCCUCACAUGACUUGCAUCUACAUUCACAUCCUUGACAAGCUCCAAUUCCUCAAUCUCCUCAAUCAGCUCCCCUCUCACUGAGUCCUCAAUUGACACCAAACCGAAAUCGGUUGGAUACUUGGACGCAGGGUUCCGCCUCUGGAUCCAUUCCCAGCCGCCCGAUCUAACAUGCGAUUCCAGAUAAAACCGAUGGUCCUUCGCCUUCCUGUAGUGAAGGAAGCGAACAAUGUAGUUCUGCUUUCGCAGGACUUGGUUUCCGUGAGUGAGAUUGUUGAAGGGAGAUGGAUCGAAGGUUGAGUAGUUUGGAGUUAGGGUGUGAUCGGAAGAGGGUUUGAAUUGGAAAAGAUAGAUGGAGAUGAAGAUAGGAAGAAAGAUGGCGAUGAAGGAGAUAGAGGAAGAAGCGAUCAUGAUUGCACGAAGAAGAAAUGGUAAGAAUUCAUUGGAUUGACGGGAAAUGAUGGACGAACUGAGUAUGAAGAAGACGAGGGAAAUUGGAGUUCGUGAAAUUAUUCUCAGGACUUUCCGAUGAUUGAACUUUCUUCCUCAGUGUUCUUUAGAUUCCGGUAUUUAUAUAUUUAUCGUCAAUAUUUUAGAAAAGGAUGAAUCCAAUUCUAAUAUAAUCGGUCAUAAAAUAAAUUCUAAUAGUUUAUUAUUAAUAUUUUUUAUAAAGCUUAAAACAUAUUUUCAGUUUUGAAAUUUAUUCAAAACUAAAAUCCAACCGUAUAUUUCGGAACCAAGAAUCUUUGAAAUAAGAAAGUAACACUUCUUUAUCACUGAAUGACUCGAAUGCAUGCUAUCACAAAAUUACAAAUUAAGCGAAAAACUCUUCAAAUGAGAUUUCAAAUUACAUUCAUCAAAAAUCUUGUUCUUACCAAUGAAAGGAUAAAAACAUUGUAUAGGCUUAUAGUAAUUAAUGAAAAUACAAAAAGUCAAAACAAAACUUUAAAUAAGUUUUCUAUCUCCCAACAACUAUUUUCAUAGUGGUUACCCUAACUUGUCAAAUUAAAACAAAUGAAAAUACAAUAAAAAUGUGAUAUUAACUAAAUCAUGAGGUCUUCAAAGUGUUGGAUUCAAGAAAGCUAGAUGUGUACCCCAUUAUCCGCUUCAACCGAAAAAACAUUGACAUUUAAUAUCCAAAUGGCUAUUCGUCUCUUGUAUUAAUGUUGUAGUUCGUCCGUAUUGAAACCAGACCAAGUGAAAAUUUAGUGAUUAACUUAACCAAAUUUUAAACACAGUUAUGGAACCAAGAGGAUUUAACAUUUUACGUUGGGAUUACCAACUGAUAUCAAUUACUAAUAAACUGCUCUUUUUAUCAAGUAAAAUAAAUUUUAAACUUUGAAGUAUAAAACAUUGGAAGAAUAUUUGAUUGUCAUGGUGUAUGCUUUUUUAUCAAAAGAGUUUGUUUUAGAGAUUCCAUAUGUAAUUCGUUAUUUGAAAAGAAAAAAAAAGUACGGAUUGCAAUUUCUAUUUGAAUUUAUGAAUCUAUUUUCAGUUUGAAUGGAUGACCGAUUAAAAUAUUUUCAACUGUCAACAUUUGAUUGAUACAAAAGAUCAUUUAUUAUCUUUAAAAUAAUUUAUAAAUGAUGUAUAACAAAAAAAUAAAUUCUUAUAUACGACAUGUAAUUUUUUUCUUUUGGCUUAUAAAAAUAUUUGUUGGUAUUACUCAUAAAAUUAAAAUUUUAUCCACAAUGGUAUUUUAAUAUUUGGGAUGGAUAUUGCUAAACUGAAAAUAUCAAACACCAAAAUAUACCUUCGAGAAGUGUAUUAUUUCUAAGAAGAGAAUAUUUCAUCAGAACAAACCGAAAAGGUAGGGGAAUAGGGAAAUUACAUCCAAUGACAAAAACUUUUAGAAAAAAAUAGCUCAUGAUAUUAAUUUUUUGUAUAUUGCAAAUACAGCAAAAUUAGUGAUAUUAUACGACUAUCGAUAAUUAUAAGGCUAUCAGAUGACCAUCACAAGGCUAUCAGAAGGUAAUUAUAGGACUAUCAGACGGUCAUCACUUUUAAAUUUGCUACUUUUGCAAAUUUAGAAAAUUGAAAUAUUGUCUUUACCUUCCUUAUAUUUGAUUACAUAGGGAAAUGUUUCAAUGAACUCAAUCCACUUUGCGUGCCUACGAUUCAAUUUGCUUUGCCCCUUAAGGCGCUUCAAGCUUUCAUGAUUAGUGUGAAUCACAAAUUCUCUUGGUCGGUAAUGCUGCCAUACCUGUAAGGCACGAACUAGAGAAAACAAUUAUUUAUCAUAAGUAGGGUAGUUCAAACUUGCCCCACUUAGAUUUUCACUAAAGUACAUUAAAGUCUUCUCAUCUUGCAUCAAAACAACACCUAUUUCCAACCCACUUUCAAUGGUAAAUGUCGUGACUUUGAACAUUUGUAAAAAAAAAAAUGUUGUGAUUUGAGAGAUUUCAUGUUGAACUUUGUUGUUUGUGAAUUCAAGAACAAAGAAGAUGACUACCAGAAGCUAUAUUUGGAAUAGAUUUAAGAAAAAAUCUUCUUGAAGAAGAGGAGAAUGAUACGAAUCAAGAAAUCAGAAUUGAAUCAAAUGAAGAAGUUGAAGAGAUGCAAUACUUGGAAGUUGAAGAGUUUUUUGGCAACCCAAAAUUCAUAAAAUUAGAUGUUUAAGAAAUGAUGUAUUUGUGUCUUUUCAUUUAUUAACAUAGUUAAAAGGGCAUAAAAUUAAAAUGUUGUACCUUUCAUUUCAUAUUUUAAUUAGUAUAUAAUAUAAGGUUGUAAUUUGCAUUUACAUGCCUAAGAAAAAAACUUCAAAAGUCAUUAGUGGCAAAAUCUUUUCGAAAAAGUUUGGUUGAAUUAAAUCAAUCAUUUGAGUACUUAUGUACAUUGGUUGAACAGCUGAAUUUAUGAUACCAAAAUUUGGAAAACAACAGUGUACCUACAUAAAUUAGGCCUAUUGUUAUGGUAAAGAAUGGCAAAGUUGAAGACAACAUACUUUGUCAAAACUCAUCUGGGUUUAUUGUAACUCUAAUCGUGAAGUUCAUGUUGAUGUAGGUGAGUUAGAGAAAAAAGAAGGAAAAAAAAAACAUGUAGUUUGAUUGAAAAUGAAUAUGGCAAGAAAAAGUGUGAGAAUGAAAGGCAUCAGAAUAGUUUAUUGACACGAAUUGAAGAAUGAAUCAAAAAAUCAUAAUAGAAGCAAAUGAAAAAAUUGAGAGAUGCAAUGCUUGAAAGUUGAAAAGUUAUUUGGACAACCCAAAAGUCAUAAAAUUAAAUGUUUAUUAAGAAAUUAUAUAUUUAUUUAAUGUUAUAUUUUUUUCAUUUAUUAUGCUCGUUGAAAGGACACAAAAUUAAAAUUAAAUAUUAUGACCUUUCACUUCACAUUUUAAUUAGUAUAAAAUUUCAUAUUUUAAUUAGUAUAAAAUAGGGUUUUGUAACUUGAGAAAGAAAAAGAAUUUGGAUAAAUGAAAACUGAAAAUUGUAAAAUGUAUAAUUUUAUUGUUGUGUGUAACACCCAAAAGUUAAAUAAUUUUUGAAUUUAUUUGGGUGAUAUUUUAGAUAUUUGUUGAAGAUUAUUUGUUUAAGUAGGAAUUAGAAUUAAUUAAAUAUUUUGGAAUAAAUAUUUAAUUAAUUAAUUGAAUUGAAAUUUUGAAGUUUUGAUUGGGUUGAGAAUAAUUAUAUUUUUGGGAUAAAAUAAUUAUAUUAUUUGAUAAGUAUUUUAUUAUUUGAAAAAAAAGUUAGAAUAGACAGGGGAGUUAAUGAAGAGAGAAAAAGGGUUAGUGUGUUAUUUAGAAAAGGAAAAAGGGAAAUAAUAAUAGAAUUAUUAUUAUUAUUAUUAAAUAUGACCUCUCGUAAAGCGUGCCAUCAUCUUCUUCAAUUUUCUUCCUCUCAAAACCCUAGCCGUCACCUCCUUCAUCGUUCGUCCACCAUCAGUCAACGCUUUUCGUUGCUUUUUGCCUCAUCGACGAACGUUGAGUUUCUCUAUUCGCCUCAUACAGCCGACGCAAGUCUUUCUUGUUCGUCCACGCCUCUGUCUGUCGCUCAGCGUCGUUGUCUCUAGGGGUGUUCGCAGUUCGUUGGUUUGGUUUGAAGCUAAAUCCACGUCCAACCGCAAAAUGAAAAAAAUCUAAUUUGAAACCACGUAUGUAUAAAUAAAACUAAAUUAAAAUCGAACCGCUUAUACAUGAAUAUUAUAAUUGAAUCAUUUAUGAACAUUGACAUAAACAAAAGUUUUGCAAAGUUCCAAACAUAGAUUAAAUUAAUUCCUACAAAGUUACAAGCAAUCAAAGAUAUAAGUUUCAAAAUAACAAACAUAAAUGUUUCAAAUAUUGAAAUUUGAAAGUUCGUCAAAACAUAAAAGUUUCAAAGUACACGUAACAUAAAUAAAAGUCCUACGGUCAUGCCAACGUCAUCAAGACAACUUGUCCUUUACGUUCUUAUUCUUCCCGUUCCUCUCUUUGAUUUUUGCCUCUAUACCUACUUUGAAGUCAAAAAUCUUAUCAUUAGCAUAGUAAUGACAUAAUCAAUAUAUUUGAAUUAAUUUGAAGUUACAAAUUAAUUAAAAAAAAAUGCUCUAUAGAUACGAACAUUCUUCAAUCGUUGCAAUGUCCUCCAAGUAUUUUUUAAGAUCAACAGAUUUAAUAUUAAAUGCCUUUGAACGUAGCCAAUUUUGUGACAUACGAGUGCCUCAACUGUGGUUGGAGCUAACAUAGAACGAAACAGAUUAAUGAUCCUGCCACUAGUACUAAAUGCAGACUUAGAAGCAACUGUGGAUCGAUUUGACUAAGAACCUCAUAUCUUAAAGAAUUUUCUUUCCACCAGUCUAAGAUAUCAAAGUUCUCACGUGCAAUGAGAUGCUCCAAUAAGUAAAUAUCAACUUUCGUAUCCAUACUUAGGACAUCAUCUUCAUCCGUAUCUUUAAAAUGAAUACGAAAAACGUCUGAAGCGGAAGAAGAAGUUCUAGAUGUACUGGAAGUAGUUCUAGAUGUAGUGGAAAAGUUGCUGCUACUACUAGUAGUAGUACUACAAACUGAAGAUUGACUCAUACCUGUACAAUCUUUAAACACUUGAAGUUGAGAUGAUACAAUCAAGCUUAAAGAUGAUUCAUGGUUAUGAUAGUUUAAAGAAUGUUCACUAAACAAUCUUCUCAAAACAUAUUUCACCUUAUCUCGACUUCUUUUGCUGCAUCCAUGUUAAAUAACUGAGUCAAAGAAUACAUGAGAGAUUUCAUCUUGUAACAUGGAUCCAAAACAAAAGCAACAUACAAAAAGAAAUUUGUUUUCGUGGUUUUCCCCCAAUACUUAUCGUACUUAUGUUGCAUUUUCAAAGUCAUGUCAUGCAAUAACUUACUAUCAGGACCACCUACACUUGCAUAUUUUUUUAUGCAAUUCUGAACAAUACUAAUCUCAUGGAAGAUAGAGUUGGAAGUAACAUAAACAGACCCUGAAAGUCUAAUAGUUACUUCAUAGAAAACAGACAAAAUUUUGGUAAAUAUUCUUGCAGUUUUCCAAUCUCUAGAAGUUGGUUUUCACUCGUCAUUCAUGUAGACUGUAUCGUAGUCUUUUAACCUCUCAAAUGCCUUUUCAAACUUUUCAGCUGCAUCAAGCAUCAAACAUGUUGAAUUUCAUCUAGUUUGAACAUCAAUGCACAACAUACUCUUGCAAGAUAUAUUCUCCUCCUCAUUGCACUUCUUAAAUUUACCAAGUCUAGCAGGAGAAGAUCUAACAAACCUAACGGCAUUUCGAAUUCGAAUCAAUGUAUCAUUCACAUCUUUCAAACCAUCAUAUACAAUUAAAUUCAAUAUAUGUGCACAACACCUGACGUGCACGAAAUCCCCAUCCAACACAAAUGCAUGUUUGAAACGUUUCUUUAGAUUGAUAAGCAAUAAUUGUAUCAUUUGAUGAAACAUUAUCAACGGUUAAGGUCAAAAUCCUAUAAAUAUCCUAAUGUUUCAAACAUUUUCCACUUCUUUUCCUAUUGUUUCCCCUUUGUGAUUUUCAAUUUGAGAGAUUAAUUAUUCUCUUAUGAAGCUUCCAAUUUCUAUCAACAAAGUGUGUAGUAAAAACCAUAUAAUUAACAUUUUGAAACGAUGUCCAAGUAUCUGUCGUAAGUGAGACUCUACAUUCUUCAUUCACAAAAAUAUCUCUCAACUGUUCUUCCAAGUUAUCAUAUAUUCCUAAAAUAUUUCUAGCAAUUGUAGUUCGAGAAGGAAUAACAAAUCUUGGUUCUACUAACAUCAAAGACCCUUCCACAAACCUCCUAAAUCCCUCAUUCUCCAUAAAUCUAAAGGACAACUUGUCAAUUAUGAUCAUCUCAACGAUUAAUCUUCGAGCAUUCUCAAUGGUAAAUAUCUUAUAAUUAAUUUUUUUACCAUCAUUGUCUUUAUUCUAAAAUGAUAACUUUGUUUGAGUCAGAUCUACUUUAUUGUCUUUCAAUUGAAAAAGAUUCUUUUUACAGUAAUGUUCAAGAUGUGUUCUCAUAGUUGAAUUUCCAUUCCUUCUAGGAUGACAUGCAUACAUCGCAUCACAAUAAUGACAUUUAACAUGUGAAUCAUCAUCACUAUAUCCAUAGCCUUUAGUAAAAUGAUCCCAUACCAUAGACAUAUUUUUCCUCUUCUUUUGAGAUGGUUGGAGUUCUGGUGGUGGCAUGACAACCUCAACAACGACAUCAUUUACGUUCACACUAGAACAAUUGUUGUUAUUGUUCCUGGUGUCUAAUUUAAUGUCUUUGUUACCAUCGUUAUUGUCAUUGGUCAAACUUGUCUGACAUUUUGCCUAGCGCCUACAAUAAGUAUAAAAUUCUUAUUCUUAGUUAUCUGAACUAAAAUUUGAUAACAAACAAUGUAUUGAAUUGGGUGUUAUUAGACUUUGGGAGAUUAUGACAAAGCAUUAAAUAUUGUAAUAAAAUAGCAAAAUGGUUACUUCUAAUAAAAGACAAGUGGUGUGAUAUAUUUAACCAAACAUGUUGUUUUGCACAAUUUAAAUUUAUAAACUCACAUAUAAACCAAAUCUCUGUGGAUGUCUCUAAUAAUUCGUAUAGGAUGAAGAGAAAAAUGAUUAUGACAUGUUAUAUUCAUACCAAUUACAAGCUAUCACAUUGUUAUCUGGGCAAAAGACUUUAAUAUUACUCAAAAUGAUAUUACCUAGUAGUUAGAUGUGAACUUUCGAAACUUUUAACAUUGUUCUAAGUCGGGUUGUUUCUUUCUAAGACGACGCAUUGAUCAUUUUUUCAACGUUUCGAAACAGAAAUGAAAAACUGAGUCUAGGGCAUCACUGUUCGGUAUUUGUGGGCAAAAAACUUUAAUAUUAUUUAAAAUGUGAACUUUCGAGAUGUUUGACAUUGCUCUAACUUGGGUAGUUUCUUUUUAGGUCGUAGCAUUGACCCUUUUUUCAACGUUUCGGGACAAAACAUAAAAACUGAGUCAGGGGCAUCACUGUUUGUCUUUUGUGGGCAAAAAACUUUAAUAUCACUCAAAAUGAGACCACCCAGUAGUUAGAUGUGAACUUUCGAGACUUUUGACAUUGUUAUAAGUUGGAUAGGUUUUUUCUAGGUCGUUUAUAGGCCCUUUUUUCAACGUUUCGAAAUGGAACUGAAAAACUGAAUCUUGGACAUCAAUGUUCGGCUUUUGUUUGCAAAAAAGUUUAAUAUUACUCAAAAUGAGACCACCCAGUAGUUAGAUGUGAAUUUUCAAGACCUUUAACAUUGUUCUAAGUUGGGUAGUUUCUUUCUAGGCAUAGCAUUGACCAUAUUUUCAAUGUUUCGUGACGGAACUGAAAAACUGAGUCUGGGCAUCACUGUUUGACUUUUGUGAGUAAAAAACUUGAAUAUUAUUUAAAAUGAGACCACCCAGUAUUUAAAUGUGAACUUUCAAGACCUUUGACAUUGUUCUAAGUUGGGUAGUUUCUUUCUAGGCUGUAGGAUUGGUCCUUUUUUCAAUGUUUUUUGACGAAACUGAAAACUUGAGUCUGGGGCAUCAUUGUUCGACUUUUUUGGUAAAAAAAACUUUAAUAUUACUCAAUAUGAGACCACCCUAUAGUUAGAUGUAAACUUUCGAGACCUUUGAUAUUGCUCUAAAUUGGAUAGUUUCUGUCUAAGCCGUAGCAUUGACCCUUUUUUCAACGUUUUGAGACGGAAAUAAAAAACUGAGAUUAUAAACCCCUCGGGCUGAGACAGAAAGAUACUUUUUCAAGAUUGCCAUUAAGAAAAGUAGUCUUGACAUCCAUUUGCCAUAUUUCUUAAUCAUAAAAAGUGGCUAUGGGCAAUAGAAUUCUUAUAGACUUUAUUAUAGCAACGUGGGAAAAAGUUUCCUCAUAGUCAACCAGUUCCCUUUGGGUAUACUCUUUUGCUACAAGUCUAGCUUUGAAGGUCUGUACCUUCCCAGCUGUAUCUCUCUUCAUUUUAUAUAUCUAUUUUCACCUAUAGGUUUCACUCCUUUACGUAGAUCUAGAAGCUCCCACACUGAAUUGAAGUACAGAGACUCUAUUUUAAGGUUCAUGGCUUUAACCCAUGGAUCCUUGUCUACAUCAUUCAUUGCCUGUUUAUAGAACAAUGGAUCCUCAAUGCCAUCAUUUAGUAUGACAACUUGAGUUUCAGUUAAACUCAAAACUCAAGUAACAGUUAGGUUGUGAUACAAUCCUCCCACUGCGUUGAGGCAUUCUCAACGAUUGAGAAGGAUGAGACUGACAUGAUGCAUUGAUUUCAUCAACUCUUGAUAAGGGACCAGCUUCAUCAACAACCCUUGUUGAUUCAUCUGUAGCUUCAUUUAAUACUAAUUUUCUUUGUGGUUAAUGAUCUCUCAUGUGGUCUUCCUCCAAGAAAGUAGCAUUUUUCGAUACAAACACUCUAUUUUCUUUUGGAUCAAAGAAUAGACCACCCGUUGUUUCUUUAGCGUAAUCAACAAACUAGAUAUGAAUUGAGUCUCUAUUACAUUACUUGAUGGAAAAAGUUUGGUUAAGAACCUGUUCACAUUUACCGAGCUUCUCCUUUUCUCCAGUGUACCCCUGCCCAUGAACAAACCAACAUUAGUUAUCCAUCAUUUGCCUUACUACUUGCAUUUAUCAGAAACUUAGAAGUACUUAAAUUAUUAGCAUUAACAAGGCCUAUGGUGCCUCCACCAAGAGAGGAGGUAAGGCCUUUCAAGUUUACAAGGAUUAUCAAUUUUGGAAAUUUACUGACCUUAAGUAAAUCCAUUUCCUCCUUUGUCGGACAAAACUUAAUAAGAUUCUCGACCUGAUCGAUAUCCAAAGCUGAAUCUUCAAGGUCAAGCACAGAACUCUGCCACCAUUACCCAAGAAGGCAAGUUAUUAAAGGUUAAUGAGUAAGAAUAAAUUACCAACAAAUUUGAGUGUGCAUUACACACAAAAUAUCAAUAUUAAUUAGCUGCAUUCGUUUAAAACGUAAAUUAUCUUUUAUUGAAGAGCGCAAAGAAAUAAAUCAUCUUUCACUAAAAACAUCAAACAUUAGAAAAUGAGCUACACUACAAUUCAAACUAUAAAAGAAACAAAAUGAUGCAUAGAAUUAACAUCUCUAUCAUGGUUAUAAGCAAACAUUUUGACCCUAUACCUACUGUUCUUUAUACACUAAAGAAAAUUUUCAUUUUGUUUUGUCAACUUUAACCUGAAACUAGCUAACAAUAUAAGACAGAUCUUAAAAUCUAAUCAAAUUGAGAUUGCAAGAACAAUGCAAACUUCAAUGGAGAGAUAAGGCUUCCAUGGUUUUGCCGUGAAUCAUUCCUUUAGUACCAUGACAAGUAGCAAUGAUGACUGGAUAGUUGAAGCAUUUUUUUUUCUCAGCUUCAUUGAAAGAUAUACAGAGAUAAACCAUCUUACCAUUAAAUCAUGCAAAGGCACCUUGACCUUUGAAAGCAUAAUUUCACAAUUGUAAGCACGUCUGUGAUCAAUCUGUGCAAGUAGCAGGUAAUCAAACAUGUUAAGGAAUCCCCAAAAAGAUUGAUAUUAACUAUAACUAGGAGAAAAGCAGAAAGCAAUGAUAAUCAAGCUGACAUUUGCAUUUUACAACAGUGUCUGUCAGCAACAAACUACUGAUUAGGAAAAGCGACUGAAAUGACCAUUUGAAAUAAUAUACAUAUAUUUAGAAGGAAAUUGAAAAAUAAUUCAUCACACAAUAACAGAUGAAUUUCAUUCAUCAAAUUCAUCCCUCAAAUGAUGUGUUGUCAAAUAAUUUCUUAGUGUUUUUAUAGCAUCCUUCAAAUCAUUUGUUAUAUAAUUUCAGGAUGUCCUUCAAAUGAUGCAUAGUCAUUCACUCACCAGAUUCAUCCCUCUGUUCUAAUAGUUCUUUAUAUAGCAAUAAUUCAUAACCUACAAAAAAUGACAUGAUAACUAAAAAACUAUUGUAUCAAAAGUAUCACAAGAAUGGAGGGUUCUAAAGUACAGAAUGCCCAGAAUCAACUAUUAGAUUAACUUAAUCCAUAACCUACAGGAAAUGACAUGAUAACACGUAACAAAACUGUUGUAUCAAAAGUAUCACAAGAAUGGCGGGGAUUCUAAAGUAGAGGAUGCCCAGAAUCAACUAUUAGAUGACUUUAAUUCAUAACCUACAGCAAAUAACAUGAUAACAACUAACAAAAAUGGCAUAUCAAAAGUCUCAUAAGAAUGGUAAUGGUUCUAAGUAGAGGAUGCCCAGAAUUAACCGUUAGAUGAAUUUAAUUACCAGUUGUACUUUCUCAGGCUUAUUGCCAACUGAACCGCGUCCACUCGACUUUUGGAGCUGAUCAGGAGCAGGAACUGCCGCUGAGAAAAGACUUUCAAGCUCUGACAUGUCAAUCUCCGGUGCCCUGCAAAAGAUAUUAACUUGAUUGGCCCAAAAGCACUGACUUGUUUCAAGACUUUGCUAGAAUUGAGAGGGAAUACCUGGCAGCUUCACCAGUUUUUUGGGCUUCAGCCCAUAAGCUUCCUUGCACUGCUUUAGAUAACUUUAACCAAUGCAGUGGCUUCAAUUUCUUGGUUAUAUGUGUUCUUGAACUUAUGGUGCGUGACAAAGUCCGUCCCUUUAUACCUAAUGGAGAACCACUUGGUGGCACAGGAGAGGAAGACGUAGAUGAACCAUUUCCAAGAAGAGAACCAGACAGUUCACCUGAUUUUGAAGGCCCUCUCCCAGAAAGGGUAGGAGGAGGGGGAGCAGAAGGAACAGAUGAAGGGGAGCCUUUGGUGGAAGCAGGCGGUGGUGGAGGAGGGGGAACAUGUGAAGAUGUUGAAGUACUUCCAACCUGUCUGGAUGGAAGAGGUGGUGGUGGUGGAGGAACAGGCGAAGAUGUUGAAGUACUUCCAACCUGCCUGGAUGUCAUAGGAAUAGGUGGUGGUGGUGGAGGAGGAAUUGUUGGAAUUCUUUCCUUUUUUUCUAGGCUUUUUCCUUGUUAGAAUCCUAGAAUAAUUAUGGAAAGAUUAUGGGAAUGUAUUCCUUAAUUUCCUAAAUCUUUUCCUUUUUUAUUCCAUUGUGUACUCUAUUUAUUCUCCCUUGUACCUAUUGCUUUAUUCAUUAGAAAAUAAUAACAACACAAACAAUCGUGGUUUUUCUCCCGGUACUCGGGUUUCCACGUAAAUUGGUGUGAACUCGUUGUCUCUCUUUUCAAUAUGGUAUCAGAGCGGGACAAUGAAAACACCCUAGAAACCCAAAAAAACCAAACCACUUAUGAAAAUCAAACAGAAGGGACAGCCAUCAAUUUUAGUGCUGCCGUAGCUGCUUGCCAUCGAUGCUCGGAUGAGUGCUGCCAUGGACGAAUUAUUAAGCCGGCUACAAAAAACGUCCGAAAAUAAUUUUUCGUCAUUACCGCAGUCGUCCGCGCCGUCACCGGACCACCACGCGCCGUCACCCGGACCACCACGCACCGCCGCCGGACCACCACGCGCCUGGUUUUCUUCCUCAGACGGCGCCGACCAUCCCAUCUGUCCAACCCUUUUCUUCGUCCGCGGCCUAUAUUGCUCCCCACGCCCCGAUUUAUGUUCUGCCAUCUAAUUCCAAUCGGCUACCACCGCUUCUGCCGUCAAAUCUGUAUGGCCAGCCACCCAAUGAUCCUAGCUACCAUCCCGAUGUUAAAAACUCUCAAAUUCACUCAACAUUUGAGGUUGGUGGAUCUUCGGCAUAUUCCAACCGUAACGUGCAAGCUUCCUCGAGAAUAGUUCAUCAACAAUUGGAAGGGCUUCGACAACAGAUAGCAGCACUUGAGGCUACCUUAGGGACGACAUCCACUCUACCGAUGUAUUCUGAGAAUCCGGUAAACUCGUUCCCUAAUGUAUCCUCUCCUUAUGUGACUAAUACGGUGGCUCAGUCUUCCAUCCACUCUGCUGCUUUUAGUGCAAGAUCUUCGAACAGUAGCAGUGACAAGCAUAAUGGAAAACCAAUUCUUGUCUGCGAGCAUUGCAAAAAACAAUGGCAUACCAAAGAACAAUGUUGGAAGUUACAUGGUCUUCCCCCAGGAAGUAAGAAACGCCCUUCCAACGACAAACAGAACACAGGGCGGGCGUAUGUGAGUGCCAUUGUCCAAUCAGGUAUACCUCAUUCCUUCGGUCUUGUUAGUAUUGAUGGGAAGAACCCCUGGAUUCUGGAUUCUGGUGCCACAGAUCAUUUGACUGGGUCCUCUGAACAUUUUGUAUCUUACAUUCCUUGUGCUGGGAACGAGACAAUUAGAAUUGCAGAUGGCUCCUUGGCCCCCAUUGCUGGAAAGGGGAAGAUUUCUCCUUGUGCAGGGCUCUCCUUACAUAAUGUUUUGCAUGUGCCCAAACUAUCUUAUAAUUUGCUUUCGAUAAGCAAGAUCACUCAUGAGUUAAACUGCAAAGCAAUAUUCUUACCUGAUUCUGUCUCUUUUCAGGACUUGAGCUCGGGGAGGAUGAUUGGCACUGCCCGGCAUAGUAGGGGACUCUACCUCCUUGAUGACGAUACCUCUUCUAGUAGCAUUCCUAGGACUAGUCUCUUAUCUUCCUAUUUCACUACUUCUGAACAAGAUUGUAUGUUGUGGCAUUUUCGUUUAGGCCACCCUAAUUUUCAAUAUAUGAAACAUUUAUUUCCACAUCUCUUCUCUAAAGUUGAGAUGACUACCUUAUCUUGUGAUGUGUGUAUUCAGGCCAAACAACAUCGAGUCUCUUUUCCCUCACAACCAUACAAACCAACCCAACCCUUCACUCUUGUUCAUAGUGAUGUCUGGGGACCAUCCAAGAUAACAACCUCAUCUGGAAAACGGUGGUUCGUAACCUUCAUUGAUGAUCAUACCCGUCUUACCUGGGUCUACCUUAUCACUGAUAAAUCUGAGGUUUCCUCUAUGUUUCAAAAUUUCUAUCACACCAUUGAAACACAAUUCCAUCAAAAAAUUGCUAUUCUUCGGAGUGAUAAUGGUCGGGAAUUCCAAAACCAUAACCUUAGUGAAUUUCUUGCUUCCAAGGGGAUUGUUCAUCAAAACUCGUGCGCCUACACUCCUCAACAAAAUGGAGUGGCCGAGCGAAAAAAACCGUCACCUUCUGGAAGUAGCCCGUUCCCUUAUGCUUUCUACUUCCCUUCCUUCAUACUUGUGGGGAGAUGCUAUUCUUACAGCAGCUCAUUUAAUCAAUAGAAUGCCUUCUCGUAUUCUUCAUCUUCAAACUCCCUUAGAUUGUCUUAAGGAGUCCUACCCAUCGACUCGUCAUGUUUCUGAGGUUCCUCUUCGUGUGUUUGGGUGUACCGCUUAUGUCCAUAAUUUUGGCCCUAAUCAAACCAAAUUUACCCCUCGGGCUCAGGCAUGUGUGUUUGUUGGGUAUCCCCCUCACCAGCGUGGUUAUAAAUGUUUUCACCCACCAUCCAGAAAAUACUUUGUCACUAUGGAUGUUACUUUCUGUGAGGAUCGACCCUACUUUCCCGUUAGCCAUCUUCAGGGGGAGAGUGUGAGUGAAGAGUCUAACAACACCUUUGAAUUCAUCGAACCCACUCCUAGUGUCGUGUCUAACAUCAUUCCUCAUUCCAUAGUCCUACCCACAAACCAAGUCCCCUGGAAAACGUACUACAGGAGGAAUCACAAAAAGGAAGUCGGUUCCCCUACUAGUCAGCCGCCGGCUCCAGUCCAAGACUCUGAACCUCCUCGAGAUCAAGGUAUGGAAAACCCUACUGAACCCUGUACUAAGAAUAUGAUAAGUGAGAAUGACAGGUCUAAUGUUGCUGUUCUUGAAAACGUGGAAGAAAAGGACAGUGGUGAUGAGAUUGAGGUCAGAAUAGAAACCCGUAAUAAUGAAGCGGAACAGGGUCAUACAGGAAAAUCAGAUGAGUAUGAUUCCUCUCUUGACAUUCCCAUUGCUCUGAGAAAAGGCACCAGGUCUUGUACUAAACACCCCAUUUGCAAUUAUGUUUCCUACGAUAAUCUCUCUCCUCAGUUCAGAGCUUUUACAGCAAGCCUUGACUCUACCAUAAUACCAAAAGAUAUCUACACUGCUUUAAAGUAUCCUGAAUGGAAGAAUGCUGUCAUGGAAGAGAUGAAAGCUCUUGAAAAGAAUAGUACUUGGGACAUUUGUACUCUACCUAAGGGACACAAAACUGUGGGAUGCAAAUGGGUGUUCUCUCUCAAAUACAAAGCUGAUGGUACUCUUGACAGACACAAGGCAAGGUUAGUUGCGAAGGGAUUUACUCAAACCUAUGGUAUUGACUAUUCAGAAACUUUUUCUCCAGUUGCUAAGUUGAAUACUAUUAGAGUUCUGUUAUCUGUUGCUGUGAACAAAGAUUGGCCUUUAUAUCAGCUGGAUGUUAAGAAUGCCUUUUUGAAUGGAGACCUCGUAGAGGAAGUCUACAUGAGCCCUCCGCCUGGAUUUGAAGCCCAGUUUGGUCAGCAUGUGUGUAAACUCCAGAAAUCUAUAUAUGGUCUGAAACAGUCUCCCAGAGCAUGGUUUGACAGAUUCACUACCUUUGUCAAGUCCCAAGGGUACAGGCAGGGACACUCUGAUCAUACUUUAUUUACAAAGGUUUCCAAAACAGGAAAGAUUGCUGUUCUAAUAGUUUAUGUGGAUGACAUUGUUUUGACUGGAGAUGAUCAGGCAGAAAUCAGUCAACUAAAGCAGAGAAUGGGCGAUGAGUUUGAAAUCAAGGAUUUGGGAAAUUUGAAAUAUUUCCUUGGAAUGGAGGUGGCCAGAUCUAAAGAAGGUAUCUCCGUAUCUCAAAGAAAAUACAUCCUUGAUUUGUUAACCGAGACAGGUAUGUUAGGAUGUCGUCCCACUGACACUCCUAUUGAAUUCAACUGCAAACUAGGAAACUCUGAUGAUCAAGUUCCAGUUGAUAAAGAACAGUAUCAACGCCUCGUGGGUAAAUUAAUUUACUUAUCUCAUACUCGUCCUGAUAUUUCCUUUGCUGUGAGUGUUGUCAGCCAGUUUAUGCAGACCCCUAAUGAGGAACACAUGAAAGCUGUCAACAGAAUCUUGAGAUACUUAAAAUCAACACCUGGUAAAGGGCUGAUGUUUAGAAAAACAGACAGAAAGACCAUUGAGGCAUACACUGACUCGGAUUGGGCAGGAUCUGUUGUUGACAGAAAAUCUACCUCUGGUUAUUGUACCUUUGUUUGGGGCAAUCUUGUAACUUGGAGGAGUAAGAAGCAAAGUGUUGUGGCCAGGAGCAGCGCUGAGGCUGAAUACAGAGCUAUGAGUUUAGGAAUAUGUGAGGAAAUUUGGCUUCAGAAAGUUUUGACAGAUCUUCAUCAGGAAUGUGAGACACCAUUGAAGCUUUUCUGUGAUAAUAAAGCCGCUAUUAGUAUUGCUAACAACCCUGUUCAACAUGAUAGAACUAAACAUGUUGAGAUUGAUCGACAUUUUAUCAAAGAAAAACUUGACAGUGGGAGCAUAUGCAUUCCGUACAUCCCUUCGAGUCAACAGGUUGCUGAUGUUCUUACCAAAGGGCUUCUCAGACCAAACUUCGACUUCUGCGUUAGCAAGUUGGGCCUCAUUGAUAUUUACGUCCCAACUUGAGGGGGAGUGUUGGAAUUCUUUCCUUUUUUUCUAGGCUUUUUCCUUGUUAGAAUCCUAGAAUAAUUAUGGAAAGAUUAUGGGAAUGUAUUCCUUAUUUUCCUAAAUCUUUUCCUUUUUUAUUCCAUUGUGUACUCUAUUUAUUCUCCCUUGUACCUAUUGCUUUAUUCAUUAGAAAAUAAUAACAACACAAACAAUCGUGAUUUUUCUCCCGGUACUCGGGUUUCCACGUAAAUUGGUGUGAACUCGUUGUCUCUCUUUUCAAUAGGAAUAGAUGGGGAUGUUGUAGUACUUUCAACCUGUUUGGAAGUCAUAGGGAGAGGAGGUGGUGGUGGAGGCACUGGAGAGGAGAUUUUAGGAUUUGUAAUGACUACUGGAGGAGGAGGAGGAGGAGAAGGAGUAGGCGGUGGUGGUGGAGGUGAAGGGAUUGGAGAUGAAAUUUUAUGAGUUACAGUGGAUGUGGAAGGAGGAGGAGGAGGUGGUGGUUGAGGAACGGAGGAUGCAAUUGUAGGAUGAGAAGCUAAUGUAGAAGGAAAAGAGGGUGUUGUCAAAGAAGCUUUAACUCUAACAGCUAUGGUAUCCUUCAAAGGAGGUGUUGAAGGAGGUGGUGGAGGAGGUGGUGGAGAAGACUGUACUGAGGAACUAAUUGUAGAGGUUACAGACAGGGAAGGGAUGAUGGCUGAUAACUGAUUUUGAUCCUUUGAAUAGAUUUCUAUUUCCUCAGUGAGUGAAGCUCUAUUUGGUUGUAGAGUUGAAAAGUUAUUAGACUGAAGUAGUGAUUCAGUUGAAGUAGAGUGAGGAGAAGGUAGGGAAUUUGCAGCAUAAAUAUCAGUGGAAAGUUGUGGGAGAGGAGGAGGUGGUGGUAUGGUUGUCUCUGUAUAUAAAUUUUUAGUCUGAGGAGAUUCAGGUGCUAGAGAAACAUCCAAUGUUGCAUCCCGAAAAGAUGAAGAUGCAGUUUUCAGAUGAGAAACAUCUAUUUCUCCUUCAGAAUCAAUAAAUGAGUGGCUUCCAACCGAAGCACUGUAUGAGGUCCUAUCACUUCUAUCUGAGAUUGGGGAAUCUUGCAACAUGUCAAAGGUGAGUGGAAAAGGGUCUGGAGAUUGAGGCACCCGUUGGAAUACUGAAUUAGAUUCAUUGUUUUGUUCGGUUUUAGCAGCAUCCGGAGAAAAUUUAGAGGUUGGACUAGAUCCUUCCUUCUCUAGGAAUUUACUUCUGUUCUCCAAUGUGAACUUCUGUGGAAGUUUUCUGGGACUUGCACACUGAAGUAAAGAACUAACUUGCGUACUCCAAAGAGAAUUAUUGUCUGGCUUCUCUUGGGCUAUGUUUAAGGCAUUCAUCUGAUGGAGCACAUUAAGGGCAACAUCUGCCUUGGGAUCUAACCAAUCCACAUGACUAAAGAUCUCUUGCACUUUAGCAAAUGCUUCCAUGGGGAGACCUUCUUCCUCAAUGCAAAGUACAUCAUUUGCAACAGUACGAGUUCCAGCAUCCAUCUCAGAGAAAAGAAUCUGCAUUAAAUUGAUGAUCAAAGAAAAUAAGUAACAGAAUUAGUACUAGAUAAUCAUGUCAGGGAAAACAGGCAUACCUCUGCUCGGAAGUCUUUUGGAAAUUUAUCUUUAGCAUUCCACAAUGUAUCAAUCUCUUCACGGUUGAGAAUUAAAAUAUUAGAGCGAAUAAAAGCAGUAUUAUUAAACAUUGCUCUGAACAUCAUCUCUUCAAAUUCCAUGUCGUCAUGCAAGGUGAUGCACUCAAGAACAACAUCACCUUGAAUAUGACAUUAACAUCAAUCUUAACCAGUUCAGACUCUGCCUGCAACAGCCAGCUUUACUUUUGACCAGGCCAAGAGUUUUUACACAAUCAGCCAGCUUUACUUUUGACCAGGCCAAGAGUUCGAAGCAUAGGAAAAGUACAGGAAAUGAAUCUCUUUAUAAAUUAAAUCAUAAAUUGCAGACCUCAUCUAAUUUGAUUCACUAAAAAGCUCGUUUACAAUGAAGAAAGAACCAUGGAGCACCCCAAAGUUACCUCCUAUCAGUAAAUGAUGUCUGAUAUAACGUGGUGAGCAUCCAAAACCAUUUAAUACAAGUAGAAUUAUAAAUUCCGGAAGAGAAAAAAACCUAGUUGCUUAUGAUCACUGCACAUAAUGUUUUGUUUAUUAUCAUGUUGAAAGUAAUUGCUACCAUGUUUGCACUUCAGAAUUAGGUUUGAAUCCCCUAUACAUGCUGUCCAUUCCUGGCUCCAGUUUACAGACAACAAAUCCCAAACUUUCCUACUUGACCAGCUAUAGAUGCUAUGAGAAGAAAAUAAUUUACUUUUUUCUUUAGAAAACUGCAGAAUGUGUGGGGAAUGCAAGCAUAUGACCACUUAGAAAAAAUAGAGAUACUUUGAAUGCUUAGCUAUGCUCAAAUUGGCCAAACAAAACAAUAUCUUAAGAAUCUCAACUUUUUAUCACUUGAAAAAAUCAUGUUUCUGGAAACAAUCAUAUGAGGUAUGUUUUUAGUCGACUUGUGAUUCUGAUAAAUACAAAUUAAGGAAUCACAUCACCUGUUUGAAAGCUCGGACAUUUUUGCUUCUUUUUGGAGUUGAAUAAAGAACUUUAGGAGUUCGAUCACUGACCAGCAGAGGAUCUUGUCCAUAUAUUCGAAAUAUUGGACGGCAACCACCCUCCCCAUCAAAAUUUGGAAUAAACCUCAAAAUGAUACAAUCCAAAGUGAGAGCUCUGUCCAUAGGAGGCCAUUCUAAGGCUACAUUCCUCCUCGCAACAUAUUGCAGAUACCUUAAUUGAGAUGGAAUCGGAUUCAUAGGAGACAAAAAAUGCAAAAGCUCACGAGGUGCCUGCCUAUAAACCAUGUCCAAUGUUCUUUGUUCGCCACUAUAUUGUUUUCUAUAAAUCAAGAGAGCUGAAAGCAUGAAAGCUAAAACUGGCCAACCACCACGUUCACAAUGCAUUAGCAAAACAUUAUUCUGCCCAAGGGAAAGCCAACUCUCACAUGAUCUUAAAAAAUGGUGAACCACUUCCAUCGUCAGAACUGGGCAGCCCUCGUACUGCUGAGGGUAGUCCAUUAUGGUCAUAUCAUACUUAGAUAAGAUAUCACCCAUCUGACUCUGCAUCUCUAAUCUCCUAAAAUUGAAUACCAAGAAUGAUGCAUCUGCUAAAUGUUCUCGGAGUUGAGCAACUAUUCCACCCAAGUAAACUUCAUAGUUCUCUUCCUUCCAAGCAUCCGUGGUAAAACAGCAAUCAAAAACUGCAAUAAAUAUUACAGAUACAUGUCAGCCAGCAUGUAAUAACUAGUCUCAAAUCAGAAUCUAAUAUGAAAAUGCCCUGCGGAAGAUAAAACUCAUUUAGAAGUUCGAUUUCAAGUUCUGUAGAAAAAAGUAGAGUUAAGAGGAUAGAACCAUGAUCCUAGAGUGCUUAUAUUCAAGAAUGAAGGUUGCACCAUAUAAAACAAGACGAAUAAAAAACGGGCAACAUUGCAAAGAAUCACCCAAUAAAUGAUUCUAAAUUAUCAAUUACUUAUGCACUGUUGCAGUGACACGUUUCCUGUAAGAACGAGUUUAAAGCCUUCUCUGUCAUCUAGCUUAUUUAACUUGAUUGCACGAGAAUUGAAGACUGUGAAAGAUACAGAAUCUCGAAACAACAUUCUAUUUCCAUUCCUCUCCCCCAUUUGUACUAAAAUCCGAAUUUACACCACGGAAUUAACAAAAGAUAAGCUGAUGUAGCAUAAACACCAUCAGUGCACAUCAAGACAAACAAUCGAGAAUUGGAAUUUAUGCAUGAUUCCAUAAUAAAAGAGGAGGCAAACGAAUCAAACCAUAAAGAAAAAACAAAAACAAAAGGAAGAGAAAAAGACAGUACCAUAAACUCUUUCACAGAUCUCGAGAAGGCCAUCGGGGGGUUUCCGGAAGAACAAUUUGCGCAACAACGCCAUACCCACCGGUGAACUAAUGUUUCCAAUUAAAGCCCCAAAUUCUUUAACAUAAAAACGAAAAUUGGGAACGAUGGAUUCGGUUUCUUGUCAGUUCCUUUGUUGAAGCUCGAAGGUUUCAGGUGGUAUUUUCGUCUUAGGCUUCGUGUUCCUUUGCAGGGUUUGGCAUUUCCCGGCAGAUGGCUUCGUUUUUGCGUUUGUUAGUAGUUUCAGUUUUCCGUACUUCUGCCAUAGCUGAUACCUUCAAGAGGGAUGACGUGGAUAUCACCGUUAGCCGACGUGUAUAAUUCGCAUUAUUUUCUUCUUAUUAUUAUUAUUUUCACUUUGGUAUUAAAAAAUUUCCCUUUCGCACCGCCACCAUUUUUAUGUAAUUAAUAUGCUUUGUGUUUGGUCUGCCUCGAAUGGCCGCAUUGAUCGUUUAUGAGUAAACCUAAAUAACUCAUUCAUCCAUUACCUUUUCUUUAUUUAACAAUAAUAAUAAUAAUACUAAUAAGACAUCAUUUUUCCUUUUAUUAAAAAAACAUAAACUAUAAUUUAAACUUUUUCGUUUUCAUUUAUAUUGAUAUGAGAAUUAUGUAGAUAUAUAUAUAUAAUAAGUUUUCCAUAAUAAUUUAGUAACAAAAAAAAAUCUAAAAUAUUUACUAUUUGUAUAAUAAAAUAAAAUAAAAGUUCAUAAUGUUUUAUCAUUUGUUCAUAAAUUCCAUAUACGCCCUUGCAAUUUAUUAAUCUUGGGUCAUCUAAGGUGUAAUUAAGGUAUCAGAUUGAAUAACUUAAGGCAUAAGUUUUACAUUUUGGACAUCUCUAGACAAUAUAUAUCCGAGAUCGAAUAAAAUAAACACGUAGUUCUUUCAUCUCGGACCAUUUCGAUGCAACUGAGGUCUAAGAUCGUGUAUCAUGAUCUACACGAUCAUUUAAAUUUGAAAGUCAUUGUUUAAAAUGAAGUACAUGAUCGUAUAGAUAUAUACUUUUAUCUCAGUGCAUUGUAUGUUCGAGAUCAAAUGAAUUAAAAACAUAAUUAUUUCAUCUUGGGACAUAGUAUGCUCGGAAUCGUGCAUCAAAAUCUACACGAACGUGUAUCGUGCCAUGUGGCCGAUUGAUCACGUGUUGAUCGAUGUAAUUUGGUAUUUUACAUUGUUGGUCAUGAGACUAUUUUUGUUUUUAAAAUUGAUUUAUACCGUGUAAAUAUUUUUCCUAUUUGUUAUAUUUCAAAAAAAUCAAUUUUUAAAAAUAGAAAAAUUGACAAACUUUUGAGACGACUUAAUUCAUUUCAGUUAAGUUUUAUGUGAAAUGUAAAUAUUUUUGCUAAACAUAUAUAUAUAUUUUACAAUGAUCUGUUUUUUAAAUAUUUUGCAUUUCUAAAGGUUAUAAAGAAGAAGAAAAAACAGGUAACAACUUUACAAAUACUUGUAAACUAAAAUGUUUAAUUUUAGAAAAUUAUAAGUUAGAUGUUAAUCCUUGUUUAAGAUAGGGUUUGAUAAUUAAUUGGUUUUAUUAAUCUUAUUUUGUGUUUUUUUUUUCUUAUUCAAUUUAUUUACAUGUUUGUAAUAUUAAUUUAAACUUGUUUUCAUCUAACACUUCCUUAAGCCUAAGACCAAGCAAAUGCAUUUGCAUCAUUUUCUUUGAUACCAAAGUCAAGGGUGAAGUCACAUAGGAGCGAGAAGCAUGUGUCCCUUCAUUCGUUUAAAAUUACUUAGAUAUAUACAUUUACAUUUAAGUAUAUUUACCAUGACAUUCUAUAUUAGUAUCGAAAAUAGUUCUUUGACGCAAUGGUUGGUAUUGACUCUUCAAACUUAUUGGUGUUUCAUUGUGUUAGGUCGAAAAUGUGCUUGACUUAUCAACUUAUGUGAUAAACCAAUGGGAAUCAUGAAGCUCAUGUUGGAUUAAUCGUAUUUUGGAUCACAACAAUUAAUCUAUUUGAAGUGGCCCAUUCCGUACUAGAGAAGCCUAUGGAUGAACAACGGAUUAAUUUUACUUUCCCUUAGCUACUCUAGGUUAGGGGUAAGUCCUAGUGGGGACAAAAUUAUUUACUUUAUGUUUGGAGUACUUCAAGUAAAUUUCUAUGCAAUAUUGGGUUUUUGCCGUAUUUAUCAUGCACUUAUGAGACUCGAGAUCUUUGAAAAAUCUUUUUCGUUCUUCGAUUAUGUGUGUAAGCAUAUAAAUAAAGUGACUACCAUUUUGAGUAUUCCCCUCACUUUGUUAGGUAUAGGUGCUUUUCUUAUAGUAUUCAAAGAUCUUUAUUUUGAGAGUGUAUAUGAUACUUGGACUACAAGGGCGAGAAAAUAUAAGAAAACUAACCAACUUGACCUUAGCUCAAGUGUUAUAUAUAUUUGGUUAUUUACUAAAUUCUCCUUUUGGAAGAGAAUAAUGGAUUGAUUCUUAUGGUGGACGAUUAGGAAGAUGCAACUAGAGGACAUGUAAAAUAAGGUAUCGGAGAAUAUUGAUAUUUUAGAGAAAACCCUUCUCGGUAUUCUCAUAUAUUAUUGAGUAUACAUGGCAACAUUUUAUACACAAAUCCCUAUUUUAGGAAUGAAAUAAAUAGAAAAAUAAUAGUGAAUUAUAGCCAUUAUAUUACAGGUGGAAGAGAGUCAUUGGUUGAGGUAAAAUUUAUUUUAACCAACAGAUGCUUUUGGAAUUAUUCCCUAACAAUGCAUGGUUAGGUUUCAUUUGUAUACUUGGUAAAAUUUGACAUAUCGUAGCUAAACUUUUUGCAUUAGCUCACCACACACUUGUAUGGUGUGAAUAACCUUACUUGUCUUUAUAGUUUAGGUUUUUUAUUGCUCGUUGUUUUGUCUAGUUCAAUAAUACUACCUAUCAAAGUAAGUUAUACGGAUUGGUUGGACCUGAA
rnacentral:lncRNA from 1 species